rnacentral:lncRNA from 1 species
UUUUUUUUUUUUUUUUUAACUUUUCUAGUAUUGAUUACAUCCGAUCAGCGCAUCAUCAACUCUGUCUAUCGAUGGAUCUCGCCUCCUCCUUCGCUGAACAGUAGGAAGCAAAGCAGGGAUCUCCUUCUCCUUCUUGACACCAUAGGCGUCAAACGAAGCAUCGGGAAUGCCAGGACUGAGAGAAGCGAAGCUGCUGCACUUAGCGGAGCGGAGCCAAGUAGGGGAGAGAGGGGGAGAUUCAACCAGAUGGGGUGUUAUCGUCGUCGCCGUCACUGGAGAGAAGAUCGUACUCUCUCUCUCUCUCCUCCGCCCUUGAACCAAGCAAACUCGUAAGUUUCUUCCGAUUUUGGUGUCUUAUUGCGCGUGAAUUAGUUUGAAGCCGGAAGUUGGUUUCGUAGACCUUCCUCAAUCCUCGCCUUCUUCUUCUUCUUCGGCUAGGGCUCUGUUCUUCAAACUAGCAAUUUUAUUGCCCCUAAAUCCACAUCUUCCGUGCUUCCCUCGCGAGCAUUGGCGAGAGAAACGCGUCUGCGUAGGACAUUUCUGCGUGUUUGAGCUGUCAUCGAUGGAGAUGAUAUAGGGAGAGAUAUCUCUCGAGCAUCAUGAAACUUGAAAAUAUUCAGAGAGAAUUUCACGCCUUGUCAAAAAUAUGAGGGGAUCACUUUUACGCCUUGUUCUCAAUGUACUCUAGACUGCUUAUCCUUACGAGAAUUUCUUGCGGUUUAACGUGUCUUUGUUUUUGCUUGCGUCUUUCCCGUUGUUCUUUUCAAAUUCUAGAAUAAUUUUUUAGAAGCCCUUUUUCUUUUGCCUUGAUUGGUUACGAGAUGCUGCAAUGAUAAAAUUUGUUUCCAAUUUAUGCUAAAUAUUUUCAUAGCCAGUCAAACUAAUGAAGUGUGCUUAAAUUGCCUCUUCACAGAACUGUCCCUCUCGCUGCUUUGCUUGCCAUCCUCUUGUGGUCCAAUCCAGGUACGGUUGAGGCGCUAUUGUUGUCUCGCAUUUCUUUUAUGUAGAGCAAUAACAUGGAUUUAGCUUCAGUUUUUGUUCGGUUCCUUUCGAAGAGUAGUUUCUGCUGAGCAUAUUUGAAUUUGAUUUGUACCUAUUCCGCUUCUGCAUUCCACAUGUCUGGUCAAUGAGAGGGAACUCCCGGUGUUCGUCUUUUUUGUUGGGGGAAUGGUUAUUGGAAAAAGCGAAGGGUGUCAUCAAGCUUCUACCAUUGAGAAGGAUAAGGUUGUGUUUUUAGAUGUGCAUCCAUUACACAAGGCUUUUGCGGCCUGCAGUACUUGUUAUGAUAAGCUUUUGGAUAGUGGAUGCAUCUAGAGUUAGGUGGUCCUAUUGGUCAAUCGUUCGCCCUUUUUGAAGUCGACGCAACUAGGAUGGUCAUGUAAGGUGUGUGCUUCAUUUCAUUGGCUACGGAAGAAGAUGUCAAUGCAAGUAGAACAAUGUCGACAGUCUUUUUGACGCCUUGUUCUCCAUAAACUCCGGACUGCUCAUCAUCAUGAGAAUUUGGAGGGGUGACUUGCGGUUUAACAUGUCUUGUUUCUACAUGCCUAACUCUCUUUCUGUCGUUCUCUUCAAAUUCUAGAACAGUUUCUGAGAAGCUCUUGUUUAAAUCUUGAUUGAUUACGUAACGAUGUGGGGGAUACUUUUGACUUCUGAUCUAUGCUGAAUUUUUCCGUGGCAAGUCAAAUAAUAGUUGCCAUUUUUCAGGUACUGGGAGGACCAAACAGUUAGCAGAUUAAGGCAUCGUGAGCUGGUUUUUUUAUGGUCCCACACACCCAAGGCCUCUCACUGUUUUUAAAUCGGCCGAUAAAUUUCCCAACGGAGUAUCCCUUUUUCGAGGUGGUGAUGAGGCCCUCUUAUGUUAAAUAUGACUUGGUAUGAUCCCAAGCUUAUUGACUCAGACUGGCAAUGUCUGAAAAUCAAAUAUAUCAAUGCUCUUUAGGUCUUUGCUUAUAAUCUAGUGUAUUUCCAAGUUUACUUCAUUGUGUAGUAUACCACAUGAUAUGUUAUUUCCUUGAAGUGUUCGCGGGUGUAUGUUUAAAACCAGGUAUAAAUAUCUUAACACUGGAGUAAUUGGACGUAAGCUGGUGAUUGGAGGUUCGAAAAGAUAACAAUCAUCUUCUUUUUUUUUUUUUUGGAUAGAUGUUGUUGGGAAAGCAAUUGCUGAGGCGUCUUAAGAAUAGAAUCCAAAUUCUCUAAUAUGGAGCAAUUGGACAAUGUUAUUCAAUGCUGUAAAUUUAGAAUAUAUAUGUAAAUCACACCAGGAGACUAGUUGAUAUGGACAAGCAAAUUGCAAAGAAUGUUGCUGCCUCCAUAACUAAAGAGAAACACCUAGUAGAUAAGGGGGUGGCUUGUUGUGAUACUAAAAUUUCAUUGUAGAUCUAAUGACUGAUAAUUUUGUUUUCAAAUGGGAGAUACUGUUGUACUUCGUUAUAUUAAUCAAUUUUUUUUUGGGGGGAGAGGGGAAGAUGAUUUUGCUUCGUCAAACUGAACCAACAGUUUGAUAAAAACCUUGUUUGAGCUGCGCUUGAAAGAAUCAAAUAACUUAGGUUUAAAUUUUCAAUUCUAUCAAUGAUCUAGUUAUCAGUGUAUUUGCUUUUUCCCCUGUGAUUGUGAUUUGUGUGGCUGAAAUUGAUAUGUUUUAAAUAUAUAUAGGAUCUGGAAGGCUUCUUCUGAAUGUAUACCCUAUUGCAUUCUCGGAGAAUAGAUUUGGCCUUAACUUUGGAUUGAUGGCUUUCAUUAUAUGGUUUACUGUCUAUUAAACUCCUGAAACUAGCAAGUAAUGCCUUAAACUCACGACAUGUACGAUUUGAUUCUCUCAUUAGGGUAUGCUUAUGUCUUGGUCUGUUCUUCACUAUAUGUUGGUUUUUCAACCAUGUAGAUGGGCAGUGUGCUCCUGUUCAAUCCAUCGCGCAACAUAUUCAGGACAUUAAGCAAAUUGCAACUCUCACGUAUUUAGACAGUUCAUGGAUGGUCAAAGUAAGGAGUUGUCGAUGAGAUUUUUUUUGGGGGGGGGGGGGGGUUCUUUUCCACUGGUUGGCCCACAUUUGCAAGAGAAAGUCAUCUGCAUGUAGAAACUCAUCUAUAGAGAUGAUUUUGUGUUCAGAGUCUACAUAUUCACUAGUGCUGGUUAGGACUUGAUUUACAUUGAUCGAGAUGAACUCUGGACUUGUCACUUUUGCUGGUCUAAAAUGAAUUCAGUAGUCCAAAUAAUAACUCCUUUAUAUAGUCUUGAGGAAUCAAGGAAGUGUACUUCUAUGCUGAUUGGGUUUUAUGAGGUUGAUCAUAAUCCAGAUGCACACUCAUUAAUGCCACAUUCCAAAUUUGAAUGAACCGAAAAGUAUGUGCUUCAAGAUGUCCUUUUUGGUUUAUGCAUUCUUGUUAUGUUGUUCUUCGUUCUGAAUUUGAAAUCAGGAGUCAUAGGCUUAUUAAGAUUAUGUGUUUUAUUCUUCCCACAGGGAAUACCAGAAAGGUUCAAGAGGAUGCUUUUGAGAGAAUGGUGCAAUUAUUUGGCUUGUGGAAUUGGAAAAAUGUGAUGAGAUGGUUUAGCUAGCAAUGGGUGGGAAUGAAUUUGCAGAGCAUUACUCUAUCUAUGAGGGCCAAUUUUUGGUCUUCUAAUCUGAAGGGGACUCCAUUUUCCAUGUCACCAUAAUUGAUGAAAGGAUGUCUGAGAUAGAAUAUCCGUCAAUCGAUGUCAAUGUGAGGAGCCGAGCCUCAGCAAUUGUGGAAUUGUCUUGCUGAAAGUGGAAGAUGCCUUUGCUUGCUGUGAUGUUUCAGUCUAGCUUCGAGUCUGGGGGGAUGAAUUGCAUAUAGCCAAGUGUCCUCAGUUUUGUAUGGAAAUGGAAUUUGAUCAGGUUUGCAAAGUUCAUGGCGAUUCCUAUGCAUAUUCAUCAGCAGAGUUUGCGGAGAGACAAAAGUUCAAACUGCUCAUCACAAGAUUUUCCAGCUGUGAAUCUUAAUUUAUUAGCUAAUUCUCCCUUGACUGUGUUGUUCUCAUGUUUGAUUCAAAUACUGUACAAGAACUGUCCAUGUUGUUAGGCUAAGAGAAACUGCGUUAGAGUUAAUGCUAAGAGAAACUGUGUUAGAGCUAAUUCAUUCUCUUAGUGUUUCUCUGUCUCUAGAUCUCCCGUGUGUGCAUAUGUAUGUGUUGGGACUAAAUGUGCCGGCGAUUGCCAUGAUGUUUUGGUUGAGCUUGAAGCCUUGGGGGAUGAACUGCAUUCAGCCAAGUGUCCUCAGCUUUGUAUGCCAAUGGAAUUUGAUCAGGUUUGCAAAGUUCAUUGCAGUUCCCAUGCACAUUUGUUACCAAAAAGUUUGGGGAGGGAUAGAAGUUCAAACUGCUCAUCAUGAGAUUUUCCGGGUGUGAAUCUGAAUAUAUUAGCAAAUUCUCCCCUCGAUUGUGUUGUUCUUGUGUUUGAUUCGAAUUCCAUCAGGAACUCUCCACAUCAUUAGGCUAAGAGAAACUGUGUUAGAGCUAAUUCACUCUCGUAGUGUUUCUCUGUCUAUAGUUCUCCCCUGUGUGAAUAUGCAUGUGUUGGGGGAUCUCAUAAAUAAUAAAAACAAGCCAAGCCGGUCAUAUCAGAUUUGAUUGUGCUGUGAAUCAUAUUGGUGUGCAUAUAGGCCUUGGGAAGCUAGACCAUUAGUAAGACUCAGAUCGAUUUGGGGUUGCUGUGUCGGCAGAUAUGAGUUUUACAUAACAAGAAUAGAAUACACCUAAAAAGCAAAUGCUUUCUUCAUGUUCUGUUUGUGACUGCUGCAGGUGAGCUGAAAAAGUGGCGCUUAUGCAGAGCUCUCGAAUCAACCAGCAAAUUUAUACUCGAUUAUCCUUUCUCUGAAAUUGCAGUGAGGUUAAUACAUUUGAAGAAAAACAAUGUGGUAAGAUCCUUGUAAUAAUGACAACCCUUGGAUUUAAAUCACAUAAAGCAACCUCAUACUGUCUUCCUCAGAAAUCAUUAGUUGUUUUCUUCUUUGUAAUGACAAAAUUGCACAAUGUCUACUUGAGCAGAGAGUUCCUGGUUCAUUCCCAAAGACACGUUAAGAAAAGCCCGCAGACCAUGGCUCUCAUAUUUCAAGAUAAAUCGUGGCCGUCGAAGCUCAUCAGCCACGAGCAUUAUGGAAAGUCAUCUGCCCAUUGGACCGCAUUUACAAGAGAAACUUCUCUGAAGGUGGAAGAUGUGUGUGUUCGAGCUUUUAUUGAAAGGGACAAAUCUCGUGUUCAGAGUAGAGUAUCCAUCUUCAGAACCAUUGAUAGGACUUGGGUGUAUAAUAAUACUAUGCAAUACGAUAAAGCAAGGAAGCAUCACUUUAGCUCACUUUGGGUGAGAACAGAACUUACAGGAUUGCUAGGCUGAAUUCUGCUUCCGGUUCGGCAAAAUGGAUGAAAGCAUGAGUUUUGUUCCGAUGGAUGGAAUGGUCCUGAGCGUGUACGUUGCCUUUCCUUGAUCCUGGACUUAGUGAUCAGCAUGAGGGCAAGAGUCGUGAGUUGGAGGGAGCCGAUAACUAAUGUCGCUUCUGUAACUUCCAUUUCUAGAGAUGAUCUUUCAAAUUCGGUGCUUCUUUCUCAACCUGACCUUUAAAAUUGUAAAUUGAAGUAAUGAUGAUUUUACAAGCUCCGGUGAACUUACAUCAAAUUCUUUUCAUCGUCUCUUUUCGAUUUUUCGAAGAUUUCGUGAUCAGUCUUUUCACAUGUGGGCGCAAAUUGAAGUUUGACAGUUUCUUCUCAUGUGAAGGGCUUUCGGAAUCUUCUAAUUUUUUUUUUCAUAUUGACUGGAUGUUGAUAUGCAUGACAAAGCAAAUACGCUAGUGUCUUUGCGUCGCUGCGGCAUGACUCUUCCGGAGGCUCUCUCUCUCGACACAGCAUCCGAGCCUCCAACAGUGGCUGUUCGUCUUAGAAUAUUAGCAAUGGCUCGGCACUCUUGAACUCGCUCUCGCCACCGGAUAGGGCUAGCCAAUUCUCUCUCUCUCUCUCUCUCUCUCUUCCUUGCAAGAGCUCAAUACCUCCUCCAAAGUGCAACCUACGGCAAUGGAAAUUCGGGAGACGACAAGAGGAUGGGAGAAAACAAAAGCGCAACGUCUCGGAGAUGGAACGUCCCGGCAAUUGUGACUGUUGAUCAAGGAAACUCCGUGGUCAAGUUUCGCUGUCGUGGCAGCAAGGUGACUGGUAUCUUCGAAUCGGUAGCCACACUGUUUGUGCUUCAGUCGGUGCUGGAAGCAACAAUCGGUAGAGAACUCAAUCUCGAUGAAUCGCUAGUGGGUGCUCCGUUCACGGUUGGACUCUCUCUAGAUUUUCUCUGACUAGAUAUUUUUUUGCAUCUUCUCUCUCCUUCUCUCUCUCGCUGGCUCGGAUUCCUUGAUUCAUCUCCUUUGCGCGGCUCGGACUCUCUCUAGAAUACGUUCUGUUGACUCUUGCUUCGUUCUGUUCCGCUCCCACUUCAUCGCCAUCUUUCAAAUUCCAUCGUUUUGCCUAUCCACGCCGCGCAAAGGGGAUAUGGGGUGGUGUGUUCACUGUUUACAAGAGCUUUAUCCAAUUGCCAAGGCUAAGGUCGGAUGGAUCAUCGUCAUCUGGAUACAAUCCGCUGAUUCGAAGGAUGAGAUUCUUCGAGUUUCGCUCUCGGCACUCUCGCCUGUCCGGUGUCGCUUUAGCAACAGCGGCAGCCAAGGCCAAUCUGAGUCGUUGUCAUCAUCUGAGACGAUAUGCCAAGCGUGACGAUUGGCAACGGCCAGCAUGAAGAGAAAACAACGAAGAAUGAAAAGGCACGAAGUGAAGGUGAAGCUGGUGGGGGCUGCUGGAUGAGAAGGAAGUAAAGUGUUAAAAUUUCUUUAAAAAAAUAAAGGAAAAAGAAAAGGAAAAAAAGAGACAAAAGGAAAAUAUAGAGAGCCCACGAGAAGUCGGUCAAAAGGAAGACUUGUCCAAAAGACGUAAUUCAUCGUUCCAUCGAACAUAGUGCAAUUGGCGGCAAUGGGAAUUCGGAAGACGGUGAGAGAAUUGGAGAAACAAGAGAUGAAACGAUAUCAACAGAUGAAGUCGGAACGUAUGGAAAUCAAUUCUAGAGUCGAAUCAGAGAUGGAAAUCAUCAUCCCCCGAAUGUCGAUUUGAUAGAGAUCAUCAUCCCCCGAAUGUCAGCGAGGAACCGGCUGUCCGUGGAUUAUUUCUUAUGGCACGAACUUCCUUCCUCUGCUUUUUGUUACAGAAUCGUCUCACUCUCUGUUUCUCUAUUGCGCAAUUCAACAAACAGGUUCUGCUCAGAGGAUGCAGCACAUUCAACGACCAGGGUCAAGUUCUUCACCAUGCAUCGUUUUCUCUGUCCAUCUUCAUUUUUCACCAAGUCUUUCUCCAUCGGGAUCCUUUCCUAUCCGAUUGAACUUCCGAGUCCAAUUCCGAUUCGUUCCAGUAUACGUUCUGUCGAUUCUUGCUUCCUUCUGUUCUCUUCCACUUCAUCGCCGCCUUUCGGAUUCCAAAUGCAGUCGCUCCCAUCCUUCGUUUCACCCUCCUACGCCGCGCAUGAAGGGGAUGUCGGGCUAGUGUGUAGGAUCCGCCAAUUCGAAGGAUGAAAUCUUCGAGUUCACUCUCGGGCCUCCCACCAGUCCGAGAAGCCCGUCAAAAGGAAGACUUGCACAAAAGAUGGAAUUCCUUGAGAAGAAGAUUCAUCCCAUAACUCAGCCAUCAUUUUCUUUUUCUUUUCCUUGAAAAAGGCAUCACAAACUCCAAACGACGCCAUCAACGACGCCAUUGCAGCAUUUCUUGGCUUCAGGUACCUUUAUCGGAUCUCUCCCUCCAUCUCGAUGCGCUCCCCCUCUCAGUGAGUUCCGAGUUGAUCCACCAUCACCCUCACUGUCUACUACUCCCUUGAAACCGAGUUGCACUCGCCUCGUGAUUGAUUCCAUCGGCGGCCGUCUAGAAACUUCGGUGAUCUUCUAUGUUUUUUUUUUUUUUUUUUCUUUCUUCCAGUUUGAAUCGCGUUUUCGUUUUGUGGAUUCUUACUUGUUUUGACAGAGGUUUGAAUCUAGUGGCCUCGAGCGAUGUUUAAUGCUCGUGUCGUUUUGCUCAUCAAAGGAGUUCAUGUCGGAUUUUUUUUUUUCUUUUUUCCCUGUUUCCAAUCAUGAAUCCGAGACCACUUGGAAACGAGCGAAAAUUGAACUGAAAACGUCGUGAGAAAUCGCUGCAGCGAGCGAGACUUGUGCGGAGUUAAGCUCGGUCUAACAGUGGUUAGGUUUUCCUCUAUUUUUUGGUAUUCUCUAGUCGCUUCUGCAUUCAGCUGUGGUGCGAGGGUGACUCGCCAGCCAUUCUUGAUCGGUCGCUUCAGUUAACACUUUCUCUCUGUAUAGAUUUCCGAGCGGCUUGGGACUUGGAGAUGGGAGUAGCACCGAUGAGUUAUGACAUGGAAGAGGGGACUCUGGAGGUUGGCAUGGGUAAGCUUUUCUCUGCUUUUUGAUUUCUUUUUUUUUUGAGCUACGGACAAUAGAAAUCUGCUGGGAUGCUUGAAUCUCGUAAUUAAGCUUUGAUUAUACUGUGGGGAGUAGCUUUAUCUCCUUGUUUGUGGCUUAUUGUGUCUUUCGCCAUCUAAAUUUCAGCGUGCUUGGAAUCAGAACUUUAAUCAUGGGGUAUUUUUGUCGAGGCUUUUCCAUGUAGCUUUCUCGUCUCUGAAAAGUUUAUGUUGCCCCUGUUAUGACCACGGUUAAGACACUUAUUACCUAGAUCUACACAAUGUCUAUCAUUUCACAUGUAUUGGUCCAGAGGUGAGGAAUUAGUCAGCUCUCGUCCAAGUCAAAUUUUUAGCAUGCCUUAGUUGCUGGGCCUUAGUUAUCGGCUGUUCAGACAAUUGCUUCGCUGCUUGCAAAGUAUAGGACCGUCUCUGGUGGAGCUGGGCCAUUGGUUAUACCCGACAUAGUCGAGGAAAAUUUCACUGGUUAUGAUUUUAAGAGGUUCAACUGACAUGUUCGAUUAAUUUUAUUGCAUAUCAGGGACCAAAGUAUCAACAGAUAGUAAAUAUUCGCUUGGGAGAUGGAACGACUAGAUUUGGGAAAGUCCUUGAAGUUGAUGGAGAGAAAGCUAUUGUGUAGGUUCAGUAUAAGCAGCCAGCCUCUUCUUUGUUCCUUUAGUUCUCUUGAUACUCUGUAUUUUUUGGUUGGGCUGCAUUAGUUGGGUCACUUUUGUGUGCAAUACUUUUCAGCUAAUGACAUAGUGAAAUCUCUAUCAUUCAUUGCAAGCAUAAGAAAAAGCAAAACAUGAAGAAUAUUUCCUUGGGUAUAUGUGAUGAGAUGUGAGAAAAUCAUAUGAAAUAAUAAUUCAAAAAAUUGUAAUUCUUGAGAAGAACAAUGUUAGGAAUCUAAUCAACAUUUGUGUAGGCAAUUAUAGAUCCCCUCCGCUCUUGAGUGAUGGAAAUCUAGUCUCAGUAUGGGUUAUUUUGGCUUUGAAAAAGACUAGUAAUCUUUCCUAUGUCUCUUAUUGUUCUCAAACUUUCAUCGGUUAUGUUAUUCACUAGUUUUUGUGUCAAUAAAAUUUAGAUAUGAGUAUUCUACUCAUGCUUGUGUGACUAGGGGUCAUUCAUCUUAGAUUUCCAGUAUGUAAAGCUUUCUGGUCAUUCGUGUUUCACUUCCUUGUCACUAGGUUUUUGAAGGGACUUCUGGGAUUGAUAAUAAAUACACCACUAUGCAAUUCACUAGCGAUGAAAGUUGUUGUGCAAGUUCAGUUUAAGCUACUAGCCUCUUCUUUGUUCCUUUAGCUCUCUUGAUAUUGCAUUUUUUUUUUCCAGUUGGACUACAUUAGUUAGGUCACUUUGUGUGCAAUAAUUUUUAGCUAAUGACCUAAUGAAAUCUCUAUCGUUCAUUGCAAGCAUCAGAAAAAACAGAACAUAAAGAAUAUUUUUUUGGGUAUAUGUGAUGAAAUGUGAGAAAAGCACAUGGGAUAAUAAUUCAAAAAAUUGUGAUUCUUGAGGAGAACAAUGUUAAGAGUCUAGUCAGCAUUCCAUUUAGCCCAUUAUAGAUCCUCUCCACUCUCGAGUGAUGGAAGUCCAGUCACAGUGUGGGUUAUUUUGGCUCUAAAAAAGGCUAAUAAUCUUUCCUAUAUGUCUCUUAUUGUUCUCAAACUUUUGUUGGUUACGUUAUUCACUAUUUUUUCUAUCAAUAAAAUUUAGAUAUGAGUAUUCUAGUCAUGCUUGUUUGACUGGGGGUCAUUCAUCUUAGAUUUCCAGUAUGUAAAGCUUUAUGGUCAUCCAUGUUUCACUCCCUUGUCGCUAGGUUUCUGAAGGGACUUUUGGGAUUGAGAACAAAUACACCACUGUACAAUUCAUUGCCGAUGUAAUUAUGCAUGUUGUUUGUUUUUGUUUUCCUAAUAAAACAAUGUUUCAUCAUCCUGUAGAGAGAAAGAGUUAUAUUUCUUUUUCCGUAUAAUACUGCUACAUGUUGGCAGCAAGAUUUCACUUGUAGCAUGAUAAAUAAUUUGGGAUAUGUCAUGGCCUUGGCUACAUAAAAGGCUUUCAAAAGUGCUUUGUUUUUCUGCCUUCACAAAUCCCUUCAGUUGUAUUAGCAUUUACUCUCUUUGAUCAUGGAUAAAUAAAAUAACCUUUAGAAAUUUAUUGUGGAGUUAUCACACCAUUUGUCCUUUCCAUUGACUAUGUAGGUAGAUUUAAUCAAAAAUACAGUCUAUCUGCUUGCUAUCUAUGGCUGCCGUCGAGCCACCACCAUGCUCCUACGGCCCUAUCCCUCAUAGACGUCCUUGGCAUGGAGCCCCAUUUGAGGUUCCUAAUCCUUGUAGGAAUAGCAUUACUUUUAUUGAUACAUGUGAUUGGAUGAGAUAAUCGCUUUGCCAUGCCUUCUUAUGUCACGAUGAGCCAUUUUCAUGCUAUUAUUUCACGUUGAGGCUUUGCUUGUUGAGUAUCCUUCUCGAAUUCGACUCAAUCUCGAAUCAUUCGUCUCUUAUUGUUUUCGUUGCUCAUAUUGAUUAGUUACAAAUUCUAUUUAUAUCUAGAUGUCUAGUCUAAAAAAAGAAAGAUUAACCUACUUAAAGACAGUGCCUCGUGACCUGGUCGGUCGGCCAUUGUUGGAGUGUCGGCGUUGAUAUAGGCGGUCAUUCAUUGGUAAGUUGCCAGCAAAAGAAUCUUUACCGUCCCGGCUUCUCUGGUGGUCUUUGCCGCGAAAGAUGGGCCUGCCACUAACAAUUUUGUUUGGGCCUAGGCCUCCCAUUAACAUCUUCAGUGAGCAUGUUACAAUUCUCAAGCGAAGCGAAGUUUGUCAAACUGACCCAUCAAGAAAGAAAGGAAGUGGUCAAAGGUUGGGCUGGUUCAGAGGAACCCUAACUCGAAACCAAUCGCCAUUAUACAAGUCUUGUCACGCACCAUGAACUACUUCUCUGAACUCCAUCUUCUUCACGAGAAUGAGCCGAAAUAUGUUUACUUCUCUCAAUCCCAAUUGUCGAUUACCUAUGCUAAUGCAACUAUUCUGUCAUUAAAUUAGUAAUAAGGCUCGAGGACCCUGUUUCUGAAGAAGGACCAAUCAAAUACGCCAGGACAAAAAUAUGUUUUUCAUUGCUACAAGCCUCUUCCGGCUUUUGUGCUGUGAUUUAGAGGCUGUGUUACGUGGAUCAGUCUGGUGAAAUCGUGGAGGUCGCCUUCGCGAUGCAUGUUCAUGUUCCCUUUCUGCUGCCUUGCGAACUUGGUCCGCGCAGAGUUUGGUUUGAAGUAGACAAGCUCCUCGAGGCGCAUGCCUGUGAGCACGAUUGGCUUAUUCCAAACUGAGAUGCGUGCGUGACUCAGAGUCCAAGCCUUCUCGUGGAUGAUCCAGAUUCUACGCAGACCGAGUAGUUGUCUAACUAACGUACGACAUCUGCCGUCUUCGGAAUUAACGUUGGGAAUCCCAUCCAGCAAUGUGCAUUCUAUAGAGUUUGAGCUUCGUGGAUUUCUUCGCCAAUCUCACGUAUGAUGACGUUUGCUUAAAGACUUUUUUUUUUUUACUCUUUUGAACAAUAUUAUAUGUUUGUUAUUUUAUUUUCACUCAAGGACUCCAAGAGACAAAGAUCUACACUUUAGGAAUCCUCAGAACAUGAGGUUUUGCAUUUUGUCAAGUAACUUCAGCAGUUUGUCUCGACAUUUUCCGUGCUAAGCUAGUUUCACGUUCAAUAUGGAAUCCAUCUAGAAUUUAAUAAUCCCUCCUACUAUAUAUGGGAAUAUCUUAGAGUUGCAUUGUACUAGAUGGUCAAUGUGGUGGGUGAUACGAAAAGUGAUAGGUAUAAACAACUAGUCUACCGAAUUAGUGUGCAAAUGAGAUUUUUCUAUAUGUCGGGUAAAUAUCAUAUCGAGUUAUUUUGUAUAAUCAAGUCACUAAACUUUAAUUUAAUUUCAAUUGCUCGAUGCACUAACGCUAUUUUCUUUUCCCAUAUGCAAUCAAUGCAUUAUGAAGACUUUUUCGAACAAUUUUUCAAGGCAAUAUUGACAUGGUAGUCUUAUAUGUCUAAUUGGAGAUGUCGUAAUGAUCAUAGGAUGCCACACGAGUCUCAAUUAAGAAAAAGGCAAAAACAAAAAAGAGAGAGAGGAUUACAUGGCCCUUGUGUAACGAGGAGAGGUUCUCAAGACAUAAUUGGAUCGGCAAGAAGCUAAAGUGAUGAUGAGUAUCUAAAUCAUUUUUUAUCCCCAUUGGAUUUUCUAAAAAUCUAUAUAAUCAAGAAUGUAAUGACUUUUCAAUUCUAUUUUUCCUCACAAUUUGAUAAGACUCAAUAAGCAAUUGUAGAAUCAUGAAAAAUCUAGUUGCCAUAAAUGAACCAAACUAACCCAACGGUAAUUUCAUUACAUACUUUUACGCUCAAAAGCGUUGUUUUACUUGCUGAAAUAAUCAUUAUUUACCGAAGCUUGCCCCCACUAAGAAAAAUUUCUAGAUACAUUCAUGGAUUGGCCAUAAUUUGGUUGGAUUUCGAUUAGUUACAAAUUCUGGAGCCCAUUCACCAAUUGAAAUAAAAAAAUUCAAUGAUCCAAUUGCAAAAAUGUGCUAUAUAAUUCAGUCAUCGCUACUGAUUUCUCAUCUAUCAUUCCCUAUAACAAAUUUGAAUGCCUAGCCUCACCCGAUCAAACAUCCACAAAAUUCCCAUCAAUCCAUCUCCUUUUUCCCUUCAACCGAGCGGGCCACUCGUAACCGCAAUCUCCGCAAUGAAAAGCUGCUGAAUGGCGUUAUGCGAUCUUUUGAGGCCAUUUUGGCUCGGUCUUUGAAGGUUGAGCUGAAACCUUUCGGAAAUAAAUAUCUGAAAUCAUUUGAUAUAGAACUGCAAGGUCUGCUUCUACUUUGGAAUCGUAGGUAACUGUUAGUUUUUGAAUUUUUUCGCCGGAGAGAUGAGCUACUCAUCUAUCCAUCUUUAACUAUGGUAGUUUCUACUACAGGCAAAGGGAAGAGACUAGACUGAUGAGCUACAUCUAUCCAUCUUUAACUAUGGUAGUUGUUGUUGUUAUUAUUAUUAUUGUAAGUGGAACCAAGAGUUAAUCAUGUGCAAGUGUCAUGCAUGAGCAUGUCAUGUGAAAUCCAGGCGGGCCAAACAACCUCAGUGUUAGCUUUAAUUUCUCCUACUAUUGGGGAUGCUCUUGUUAUAAGAGAAAAUAGAAUAAACGACAGCGUAAAAUGGUUUCUUUUUUCUUUUCUUUUCUUUUGGGUGUUUCGAGAAAUUACUCGAAAAAGCUCUAUCUUUUAACUGGGGGUUGAAAGUCUGUUUUUUUAACUUGUGUGCAAUCACAGAUUUUCUAAUAGAACCGAGAUAUAGGAUGCGGUUGCUUCUCAAAGGGGCUUCUCAAAGGAGUUGUAGCACUUCUUGGUGUUCUCAUUUUGACAUCUAUCAAGCUAAAGAAGAACGUGAGGAAUGGAGAUUCGCUAAUUUGAUACAAUGCAAGAAGUGAAGCGACACUAAAAAUUGAAGAGUAACCAUUCAGCAAGUCCAAAAUAUUUAAGCACGCAACAUUGCAGCUGUAUCAACACAGCAGAAGACGGCAUUCUGAUACAGCCAAAAUAGGAUGAGAAAACAAAAUGAAUCCGUCCACAGCAGUUCAUGCAACAUAAAAGAGACAUUGAUCAGAAAUAGGGAUACAAACAUAAUCACAGAAACUAAUCAUGAUGAAGGAGUUUAAAAUGAUAUAGAAAGAAACGAAAACUGUAGGUACAAGUAUCUACUGUUCAUGCCUAUUGAUUUAGUAAAUUUUAAUUUUGUCGCAACACAAGGGCCAUAUAUGCUAGUACUUCAUUCUCUCUUUAUUUGGUUCUUGUAUGUGUGGAUGGCUGCUUGUAUUGGUGCCUUUUUCUUUGCAUAGACGAAAGUGAUACACACUUACUUCCAUUAGCUCCCACUUGAAGUAUCCUUCCCCCUCCGCACACCCGCCCCAUUCUCUGCUUCAUGUUUCUUUCAAUUUAUAUCAGUUUCUCAAUUAAGAGUAUUUGAAAUUGAGCAAGAAGAGACCUGGAAGCAUGAAGGAAAUGAUAGCGCUUGGGGUGGGCUCUUUUGAUGAUAUUUUCUCUAAUCCAUGUCAUACCCACAUUGUUAGUACACUCGGUACUUCCUUAUGAAGCAAUCAAAAACUGCAUAUAAAAGAGACAUCCUCAUUAAAGAAGGAAGCACAAAGGCACUUCAAGGCCAGGAUUGUCAGUGCCUGCAAAGCAGAAGGAAGAGAACUAAGAAGAUAUAUCUAGGAAAUGCUGCGAUAUUCAAUGAGGUAAAACCAACAUGGCUGAGAAGCUCACCCAGAAUGCAAACCUAGAACAUCUGAAAUGCCAUGAAUGAUAUGUAACCAAGCCUUCAUAAAAUGUAGCGUUCAGCACAAAAGCCAUUUCUGGAAAUGAGAGACUUUGCUCCAAGGAUUGGAAUUGCAUAGAAAACUGCUUUUUCAAACAUGCCUUGGAUGGACAGCAAAGCUGAAUGAUUACCUUAGCUUAGUAGAACAUGCUCCUAUCAUUUGAUUCCAAUCAAAGUGAUCAAAACACAUUUAUAACUUCCACAAUGCCAUGUUAGGAGGGUAAAAACUCAUGUAUGCACAGGAGUUAGAUGCCCAACGCAUACACUUAAAAUGUUUAGUGGACCGGUGAACCUCCCUCUCUAUCAUGAUUCCAAUCCGACUACAUCAGCAGUUGAACACACAUAAAUAUAUAAGUAAAUGACAUUGUAUGAAACAAACUCAUGGUUGAUGUGAUUCAUGUAGAACCAAAACAUGCCCUCCAAGUUCUCUAUCUGUUCCUGUUUGUAAUGCCUAGCAUUGCAAUUAUUAAAAUGGUGACUACAUUCCCACCAAAUACCACAACUGUGGACAUCAUUAAGGAGAAGCAAAUCCAAGAAAUGUGAAACUACCAUACUAUUCCAUUUAUACCAAAAAGACAAUGUAUCAGAUUUAAAGGAUAUAUUACUAAGGAACUCAGACAAUUUAUUUCCAUCCUGCACUUGAAAAACCACAAACAGAGAUGCUCAAUCAAAAUCCCCUAAAACAACAGAUGCUCCAUUAACUAGUUAACGAACGAAUGAAACUAUGUAAACAUUAAUCAUCAGAUUACUUAUUUCCACAAAGAUUGGACCCAAAAUGGGGCAUAGGGACGAGAGAGAAGUGUGCAGUGAAAGCUUGUUUAAGUGGAGUCCUUUGAUCAUUACUUUUCUCUACAGUUGUAGUGGAACUUAGGCACUUGUUGAGAUAUAUCAAAACCGGUCAGUGGGAAGGACAACUCAAUGAUCCCCAAGUUAAACUAGAAAGGGCUUAACUAGAAACUCGAAAAGCAAAACCAUCACAUGAUUCGUUCUAAAGCUAGCUCCAAAAAAAGUGAUUGCAUCACUGAACAUUUCUAAAUAUACAAAAUUUACAUAUCGAGAACUGAUGAUGAAUAUAUGUAGCUAGAAGCCUAGAUCAAGACAAUGAGACACGAGCUGGUUAAAGGCUAGAAAGUGAAAACACUAUGAGAUUUCAUUUCCACUAUGGACACGAUUCCUUCCUUGGUGGGUAGUAGAAGAAUUCAAGAGUUACAGAUACCACGUCAAGUAGAAUUAAAUAAUCCAGCCCUAGACAUAAGAUCAGGAGCCACUAUGGUUCACGUGUGAAGCCACUGGAACGAGCUAAAGACCGAUUCUCAUCCACCUGAUCUGAUCUGACACUUCGGUUUCGCAGCAACCCUGAUGUCGAAUCCUGCGGCAACAACAUCAUCACCAUUGAAUCUAGCAUCGAUUAAAAGUGAAUCGACAAGUGUCAAAUUCCAAGACCUCAACUUCGCAUCAGAAGCGGCUUAAGAAAACUUACGGGAGGAGAAGGAGGGGGGAGAAGCCGUGUGGUGAAAAGAGGAGGAACGGUCUGCCGUUGGGACUGAGGUGUCGUUGCCGGGGUGGCUCCCUAUCCUCGGGUGUGUCAGAGAUCGGACUUCCCAACGGCGGCAACGGUGGUGUCGAGGGCACCGGCGAUCGCUUGGCGCGAGAGGAAGGAGAUGAAGCGAUGAAGGUGUUCCCGAGAAUUGCAAUGGAAGGGACUAGAAAACCGUGAAAUUGGAAAGGGAAACCUGAUCCCGAUUCGUUGGGGAAUUUUCUUUAUUUUUUGGCCAAUCACAAAUUUCGGAAAAAAUUGCCUCAAUUUAAAUCGCUGAAAAAUGUGGUGUAAAUAUUUGACCUGGCCAGUGAGAUCAAAUUUUUAUUUAAUACUGAUUAGGCAAUUUCAUAUUCUUAUUUGGCUGGCCAGUGAGAAUGUGACAGGAGAGAGGAGAGAGAAAUGAAGGAGUUUCCAAGUAGGAUGACGGGAGGGAACAAAAAACGUGAAAUUGGAAAAGAAAACCUAAUCCCAAUUUAUUCUUAUUUUUUUGCCAAAUUACAAAUUUCGGACAAAAUUAUCCUUUUUUAAGUCGCCGGCUUAGACCUUUAUUUGAGCCUAUUUUGGCCAUUUUAUGCUUUAAUCUAUAGCAAAAUCCAUACUAUUCUUUUUCUCCAUGGAAGAACUUGCUAUAUGAAAAUGAAGGAGCUGGACUUGAACGAUUUGCAUGAAGACUUCGGACUUUGACUUAGAAAAACUUUUGGAGUAUUGUCACAGGAAAAUUUGUUAGAUGAUGAUUGUUGAUCUUUCGUCAUUUCAAUUUUGAAGAGCUUCGAUGCUUUAGGAUCAUUUUCUCUUGAAUUCUUUCUGCUUUACGACCACAAUUAUCUUGUAAAGAGCAUUCAUGAUAUGCAUGGCAAAGCAAUUACCCAUAUAUGCUACAUCUCUUCGCAGUUAGUCAAUUAAACAAAUUUUUACAUCAAUGUCUACUAAGACUCUAUUCGUUUCACGGAAAAUAUUACGUUUUUAGAAAAAAAAAUUCAAUAAUUCAUUUUCCAAGAAAAUGAUUAUUUUUCAGUAUUUACUUGAAAUUUGAAAAUGAAUCAAAAAAUAUUUUCUGUUGUUCUGUUUGGAAAAUUUGAUUUGAUUUCCCUUCGUGCACUCCCUUUAACAAUUUUCUUAUUUUUUUUAAAAAUAUAUAUUUUUAAAAUUUUAAAAUUUUAAAAUUUUAUUUUUCUUAUACUUUUUUAUUUUACUUAUUUUAUUUUAUUUUUUCAUUCUAUUUUUUCUUUUCCUCCUCCUUCUUCACUCAGUCGCCGUGGCCAAUGGAAUACUAGAACAAUACUCAUUUAAUGACAUGUGUUAAAAACAAGAUUUAGCUAUAGCAAGUUUUUUCAUCCUCGAACACUUUCAAAAGGAUAAAUUUAUCAUUGGAUUUCUACAACUUCAAAUGGUUACCUCCUUACUCUUUGCCCUCCAAAUUUAUCCUUGGAUUUCUCAUUCCACUUCAACAAUUUCAUAGCCCGCUCGUUCAAACAUGUACCCGUGCAGAUUAUUCCAAGCGAAUUCAUCAAGCACCAUAAGCAAAGAACAACUCUUAGAUAUUCUGGUGACUGUGCUUUUUCUCCCCCCCCCCCAUGUCGCAUCGACAAAUGCAAGAUGAUACUUCCUUGGAUCUCCAUGAUCUGUAUAUUCAGAGAGUUUUUAUGCUAAUCUGCUGUCGCUAAAUACAUGUAUACAAGAGAUACAAAUGCUGCAAAUGGCCUAUAAUCAACUAGGACGUUGCCUGGGUGGGAGCUUGAGAAGUUCACCAAUUUCCUACACCGCAUUAUAACAGAAUGAAACAACAUUUAAUAUUGAUGCUAACAACCAUGAAGCAAAGCAGAUCCAUAUAAAAAUUCAUUCAACUGCUAGAACACCAAAGCACGUAAUUAACAAAUCGAAUUCAACACGACUGAAUCAUUAACUAAUUUAAAGAAUAGCAAUAAAGCUAUGCAACAAUACGUCCCGGAUCAAUGUUUAUGAGAGCAAAGAGUGUCAUUGAAUAGUGUAAGCAAAUUACUACUUUGAAAUGAGACAAGCAUGUCCAGAAUUUGCGAAUGAUUGCUCACCCUUUCGAACAAAAGAAGACGAAGGAGACACGAAGCUUUCUGAUGCUAAUACCAAACAUUACAAGCUGAUGAAAUUAGUGUAAUAACAAUGGUCCCAUCCUGCACCACACAUAAAAACAAUGCAACACACUGCAUUAGAAAUCGAUGACCGCAAAUCUGAAAAGGCAGAGGACAAGGAAGAACUUUGGUUGGAGGAACGUACUGGAGAUGUUACAUGGUUCAUGAGCAAUCUCAUUUCGCAUGCCACGGACGAUUCUCUUGUCCAAUAGAUCCUGAGGGCGAUGGCUGAUCUAGUGAGGCCAGAUCUAGUAAAGCUUCCUCUACGUGGGAUGGCGACUUCUCCGCAGGGCUUGGGAGUGAUGGGCACUGACUCCUGCUGCAACUCCUCUUAAAACUAUAGGGACUGACAUAUCAUCAGCUAACAUGUACUUCAUCUUUUCAACAGAAUUUAUAACUUGUUCGGUCGCCUGCAUGGCGAAAUUGAAUGUCAGAAACUCCACCACAGGCCUCAAACCAUAGAAAGCACCGUCGAAUUCAACUCCAACGAAACCAGCCUCUGUGAUUGCAGUAUCAACAACCCUCUCGGGUUCAUGCUUCUGCCAAAAAAAAGAAACCCGAAGUAGCAUUCGAGCCUCUCUCAUAGUCAUCUCUUUCCUGUAGUAGCAUAACUACGUAACGGUAUUUCUGCGGCGCAACUCUUCCGCAGCCUUUCUGUCAACAUCAUAGCAUCCAAGCCUCUGGCAUUGGCUUUUCGUAUUAUAAUCGACAACAUCAUGCGCCGUCGAACUCGAACUUGCUCUCUCUCUCUCUCUCUCUCUCCGGAAUGGGUAUCCUUGGAAAGAGAGUCCAGUUUCGUCAUUCCAUCAAACACCUUCCUUGCAAACUCGAUUCCCUCCUCCACAGCACAACCGACGACAAUUGAAUUCCAGGAGACAGCGAGAGAAUUGGGAGAAAAACAAAAUCGAAACAGAAAUCAAUAGACAAAUCUGGAACGAAUCGAAAUUAAUCCUACAGUUCAACGGGAGAUGACGAAUUUCGUCAUCUCUUCAAUAUCACGAGGAACCGGCGUCUCUGGAGAUAUCUCGAGGCAACGAUCGUUAGAGAUUCCAGUCAACAGCUUCACUCCUUCAUGUCUUUGUAGAGAGAGAGAGAGAUUCUUCUCUGAACUUUAGACACUUCUUUUCUCCUCUCUCUCUCUUUUCUUUUAUUUGUACUUUUGUUAUUUCUUUUUAUUUUAUUUUAUAUGUCUUUGAUUUGUAUUUUAUAAAUAACAGAAGUACAAAUAAAAGUCAGCUUCUUCAAUGAAGGAACUGAAUUUUAAUAUUUUAUCCCCUCUCUUUUCUUUUAUUUGUAUUUUUGUUAUUUUUAUUUUAUUUUAUACAUCUUUAAUAUGCCGAGAAAAUUAAUGAUUCAGCAUCGAGCCCCGUCAGUCACCGUAUGCUCUCUCUCUCUCUCUCUCUACGCUUGCUCUUGCAAUCUUUCUUCUCGUGUCUCACACUAACGCCAACGAGUUACAAAGCGAGUGAUGGGACGGACUCAUUCUUUUGCUCGUGUCAUGGUCUCCCUCCUGCUCCCCCUUCCUCUAGCAAGUAGCAAAACAAGUUUUUACUAGCCUGUUCUGAUGUCUUCAAGGCUUUUGGUUUUAGGACGUGCUAUUUGAAUUUCUCAUGGAGAGUAAAAAAAAAAAAAUAAAAUAAAAUAUACACAUUUUUAAAUUUCGGGCCGUGGCAGAUCCUUUUGGGUCUGGGCCAAAUGGCAUUGGCUUCAGUUUGGGCCAGGCCCUCAUUCACGUAUUCUCCCCCCACCCCCUCCAAAAAAAAGAAAAAAAGUUUCGCUCUGGUCCUUGGCCACGACGCUUCAUCGGCUUCCACAGCUAAUUGAUGGUCCAGCGAAUGACUGCAUAGCCGUUGGAGAUGAAUAGGGGACGCUAUUCUUCCAUAUUAGCCAACCUCACAAGUUUUCGGAGAAUGAUUUUAUUUUGCCUCUUCUCUUUACGUUUUUCCCUUUUCUGGGGUUCGUUUUUUCUCUCCCCUUUCUAUCAGCAUUGUGUGAUAUUAGCACAUGCGAGCAAGCCAAUUGUGGGAAUUGCUUGUAAUUUUCUUUUUCUUUCCUUGGCAAAUGGAGCAACUAUUGCGACCCAUCUAAAGUUCCAAUCGCAUUUCAUUAAAACGGGUAUCAUUCAUCCGGCCAAACCUACAACUUGAGGUGAGUUGUUUUCUGUUGUGACAAAAGUAGGAACACUGCGUCUUCCUAGUCAAAAGUUAAAAAGACUUACAUCAAUAUACGAUAGCCGGAGCUAUAUAAUUCGUGAUAAGAUAUCGUGCUUUUCAAUUUCCUAUCGAUCGAGCGACAUGAAAUGACUAAUAUAAUUUCUGAAACAAAAGGUUCUUUGUUAUUACCCUGUGAUAAAAUCUAGGAAAAGGGCGAAACAAGAAUUGAAAACGUGAAGAGAACAAAGGAAGAGCAAAUUCUUAUCUGGAUGCGGGGAAUCAUGAGCAAAGGGGUUCUUGUCAUCAUCGUUAGUCAUUGGAGCCCCGUACGUGAUUAAUGGCUCGAUCAAAUCAGGCACACGAAUCCGGAUCCGAGGCGAAAAGAGGGAAAGGGCCCCGUCCUGAAGAUGAUCGAGCAGGGGAGGAGGCAGGGAACACGGUAAGAGCGGUGGGGUGGCAGGGCAAGAGAGUACACAAGCAGACUGCUCCUAUUCAAUUCUAAUUGGGUUUGUGAGGUUCAUAAUAAUCCAGACGCACACUCAUUAAUGGCACAUUCCAAACUUAGAUGAACUGAAAAAGGACGUGCUUCAGGAUUUAUGUUCCCUUUCGUCCUCUUCCAUGCUCAGCCGUCAUCCACACUGUACAACGCCAUUGUUGCCGCUUGUCAUUUGCUAUGAGGCCAUCACCGUGCCGUUGUUGUCGUCCACUGCAAUGGGGCUUGCAACUAUCUCUCUCACUAUCCCGAACCUCCAGAGACCUCCGCUUGAGGUUGCUGCCUUGAGUCUGAGGUCUCACAACCUCGAAUCUAAGGUAACGUCCUCUGAUUCAAGGUUAUGAGACCCCGAUCUGAGAUGUACGCCUCAGCUAGCCCCAGAGAGAGACGACGAACAAUGAGUUUGAGGUCAGUGGCGGUGCUGGUGGUUGCGGUGGUCGCGUUUGCUAAUGGCUGUUGAAGGUUGUGGGUGUCGGUUGUGAUUGCAGUGGCGGUGGACAGUGGUGGCCGUACUGGUGGGCAAAGGUGAUGGCAUGAUGUUUCAAGAGAGAGACGGAGAUGGAUUCCGCAGUGGUUUUACUGCCACUUGAAAAAAGUUUUCCUUGUAAGCGCCACGUUAACAUAUUUAACGGUUUUUCAACAGUGUUAGUGGUACAUCCAUAAUUUUAAUAAUGUAGUAAACGCAAGGUUGACAUUGUGCGCAAAUUUGAAAAAUUUGUGGUGUUAUUGUAUGCUUGCAUUCCCAUGUCUUAUCAUAUGUAUUGGUUGGUCAAAUGUUUUCAUGGACAGAACGUCACUUGGGAAUUCAUUUAGACAUACGGUCAAGAAAACCAGAGAAUUGCAACUCUUAAGUAUUCGGACACAUUGUGGCGGGUGAUGGAAUAUGGAUAGACUAUUCUUGAAGCAAUGAUGAGAUAUUAAAUCCAGAGAGCGAAUUUCUCUCAGAGAAAAUGGGAAGAUUCUGAAGAUGUCAUGGACCUUGAAGAUUCAGAAGGUUUGUCGCCAUGUAGGAAACUAGAGGCUAAAUUGCGUUUACCUUCUUACCAGCCUUCCAAGAUGUUGAAUUCCCUUUACAAUUUGUGAGUUUCAUAGUAAUUAAUUUGCACACUCAUUGAUGCGACCUUUUAAAUAAAUAUGCUUGAAAUCAAAAAGGACUAAGCUUCGAACGUCAAAGAUUAACAGAAGUUCCAAGUUGCUCCCUAGGAUAAUUGGGAGGCGUGACUUGUCAUUUUUAUAAGUUUUGUAUGUGUAGAUGACAUGCUUUUCCUAGUCACUUUUCAAAUUCUCAAGAAUUUGAUAAUAAGCUUUUGGCACGUUGAUUGAUGGCAUUGAUAAGGGUGGCCUAAAUUGUAGUUAAUACUUAUGUCUAAUACAAAGAGUGGGCUAAAUCAUUUUGUAGUAACUCAAAAAAUUUCACAUAGAUAUUUCUCCUUUUUCUUACUGUCAAUCAAACCAAACAGCCUAAAUGUCAUGUGAGUCCUACUGAGCUACUUUUUCAUUGUUCUACUCAUCUAAGGCCUCUCACUGCCCUUGAAAAGACUACAAUAUUUGAAUUGGAGUGUCUUUUUUCCAAAAUGGCGAUUUGACAAUCUCUUGUUAUGAAAGAAAAAAGAUAUACCACCCCGAUCUCCAUUCAUCACCAGCAUAUCUCAAAUAUGAAAUCACACGACAGGCUAUAGUAAGGAAAUUAAUCAAAAGGUAAUCGGAAUAGUAAUGGUAAUAUAACCUUAUGUUUGCACGUGCAAUGAUUCAAGUGAUUAAUAUGAAACCACUGGACUGAAUUGAACUGAUACAUGCCGAUGGAAAAUUAUCCAAACUACCCACUAAGCUGGAAAAUUAUUUCGAUGGGCAGAUUGUUCGUUGACGAAUUCAUAGAGAGACACGUGUCAAAAAUUGACGAAUUCUGGCUCUUAGAAUUCAAACAAAUUGGGGCUGAAGCAGCUCAGCACCUAUCAGCAAUAACGCCCCCUGAACUUCUCCGGUGGUUGGUCAACGUCUGCGAGAGAAACUCUCAUAAAGGAGAUAUUCGUUUGAGCUCAUUGAAAGGGAGCAAUGCAGUGUUCAAAGUCUCCAUCUUUAGCAAUGUUGGUAAGGACCCGAUUCAGGUUGGAUUGAGAUGAACAAAGGAAGCAUCGCUUUAUGCCAUAUUUAGUUCAAACCAACAUACCGCAUAUGUCAUUUUGUCUUUGUUCUCUUUUUGGAGCUAGUUGCAAUCUUAUCAUUUUUAGAUUGUCUGUAAACAUAACUAGUUGCCGUGAGUCAGUUGCUAAGAUCACUCCUGUGCCUCUACAAUUGAAGAAUGCAAUUCUGCUCUAAUUGUUUGAGAUCGAGGAUUCGUUCUUCAAACAUAUGUCAAGCCAAGCCUGUAAUUUAUAUAGCCAUGAAGCUCAGGUGCAAGCUCAUUCUUGUUGAUGAUGUCGAAUAAUUGCUGCAGCUGCAGCAAGACCGUCCACUGCAAUUUAUGUUUAAAUAUAUCUGUAAACCUGAGAUUACUCGUUUUAUCUCAGCUACUAGGUGAUUGUGAUCUUGUUGAUGUUGAAACAUAAGCAUUUAAUUAACCAAUCCAAUAUAUAUGAGCAUUUACUAUAUCAAAUUUUUACUUUGAUAUAUUAUUCACGUUUACCUUGCUUUGACUGGAAAUUACCUUGUUAACAUAGCCGCAGCAUUAAAUACAGUGUUAAUAUAACUAUCAAUAAUGAUAAUUCGAUCCAAAUUAGUUAAAAAGAGAAAUAAUUCCGUGAUUCCUUAUUCUCAAUUCUCAACUCAACAUGCUAAACCCUGAAAUGUCGGGAAUUCAUCUCGUGAAUGGUUUGCCACGUGAUACUUUUAUAUUCUGUUUGAAUCAGGCUUAACAACAAAUAUGGAUUCACGAAAUUGUAGAAUAUGCAUUAAAUAUCCAUUCCAAGCUAUCUGACUCCGUCAACGAGUCAUCUAAGUAUGGGAUACGAAAUGAAAACCACAGCAUCAGAAAAGUCACAUUUUCAGAAAUUUUCCACCUCUUGUGCACGCAUCAAGAGACAAUGAGGAAGAGAACAACACGCAAGGAAGAUCGAUGGCAAUUCUGACGCUCCAUUCUUUGCACGCGACCACGCAGAUCUCGCACUCCUUCACCACAGAAUUCACAUUUUAAAAAUUGACUCUGUUCAUAUAGAACCCUUUAACUCGAACCAGAGAGAUCAGCAAACCACAAGACCGUAAUUUUCGCAUCAUUUGUUGAGCACACGAAGGAAGUCGGCCAUAAUAAGGGUUCAAUAAGUCGAGAACAAAUUGAAUUGAUGCAAUAUGAUUUUGUGGUUCAAGGAUUGAAUCAAAGGUACAUACUAAUCUAGUUCGAACGUUUCAUCCAACAAGUGAUAGGCAUUUCGAUCAAGGUGUUCGUAUGCAAAUACAAGGCAAAGAUUCACUUUCAGAUCAUCACGAAAAUAACAUUGUGAGUUCGAGUUGCUAAUCGAGCUUCAAUCGCAACUGAUUUACUCACACAAACAUUAGCUAAAGCUCACUGGCUCUCUUUCGUUCAGUGACAAAGUUCCCGGCGGUGUACACAUCGAUAAUCGGGGCUGGUGAAGGGGGAACGACCAAGGGUUCAUGCCCUUUCGGGCGUCCUGACCAGAAAACAGAGCAGAGCGAGAGCUAGCCUUGCUGCAGCGAAACCUGCGAUGGCGGAGCGACUACGGCGGCGGCUAACGGUUUCUGAAGGACGACGGAGAAGGAGAACUGAUGAAGAAGCCUCGAGAAUUCCCAAGAAAAAGAUGGCGGACGGUGGCUUUCUGGUAUCGAUUAGUGGUGGAGAAUCUUCUGCAACUCGGCCGAUCGAAUGAGAGAGAGCUGUGGAUCGUGGGCUGCGGUGAGGGAAAUUGUCUGGGCCGAGGCUUACUCUGAUGGGCCUGUCACGCGCAUUCGGGAAGAGGAAUCCACGAACGGGAGCUCAGCAAGAGAGAAUUUCUCCAUUGGGUCAACCCAUUUCUAGAAGCGUCUCCAUCUUCACUCCCUCUCCGUCGCCUUAGUCCCCCCGGCAGCCACCGCCGCUCGUCCUCCAUCGCCGGCCACGACAACACUCAUGUGCUCAGCACAGAUCACACAAGGUGGGGAGGCUCAAAGAUUUCUAAACGUCCAGAGAAUCAUCUCUCUUGGCUUCUUGCUUCGUCUGGUGACCUCCAACUGACCUCCCGGAUCGCUCCACCACCAGGCCGUAGCUCUGUUAGCACCGUUCUCCCGUCAGUUUGCUUUGGCUGCUCUGAAUUUGUUCGUUUCUCCUUCGCUGGCUCCGAUCUUCAACGUCAUUGUCUCGCACAACCUCUUCCUCUAAUCCGAUCGUCCUUCAUGCAUCGGAUAAAAUAAACACUACAAUCUUCCUUCUUCGUUCUUAGCUUCGUGAAGAGAGACCCAGGCAUAUUUGUGUGAUUUUCGUUGUUCAAAUUCACUGCUAGCGCGUCAAUGCACGUGCUAUAAGUGCUUUGUAUAAUCCAUUGCAUGAAGUGCUCACUGUGACAUGUUCAUAUUAAUAAUCUGAAUCACAAAUCAACGUUCACUGCAAUGCGUGUUUGUCUGCUAGAUGGUCGAUACUUGUUUAGUUCUCCCUACCAAAAAUCUUGCAAAGAUGAUUCCGUCUACAUCUAUGUUACUUUGGCGGUUUCUGGAUUAAUGUUCUGUAAACUGUACUAUAUCUUCUACUAGGAGGAGAAAGAAAUUCUCAGCAUUAUCUCCCGCUUGCUUAAAAUUUAUUCUCAUGUUGUUUACAUUAGAUCGCCUAACCAUUGAGAUUAAUAUGAUUUCUUUUCUACUGAUUGUGUGUUUGAUGAAUCCAAGUAACAAUCCAAGGUAAGUUUCGAUUGUUUGCAAUGUGAAUUUGGUGGCUGGGGAGGUUCCGCUGUGAAACGUUGGCCUCAGUUGUUCUGAAUGAAAGAAUACAUUUGCUUGAAUUGUCAGCUUGAUAAGGAAGAGAGUGAUGCAAGCUACGGUUUGUUGUGAAAAAGAAACAAGCAACAGUUGCUGAAUUUCUAUUCUGCAGGAAAUGGAAGCGAAUUAGAAUAACUAAUGUGCUUUUGAGCAAUGAUGCUGAUUUCUGGAUUAUCUUUGUGAACAUAUGGUAUCUUUAUUUCUAUUUUGAACGUUUGGUAUUUGCCCCACUCUCUGACUGAUAACCAAUGCCAUGAACUUCUUGAUUGAUUAAUUCCUCUUUCUGCAAAUGACUUUCGCCCCAGUAAUGGUCCACUUUCAGUAUACGAGUCCUCAUUGUAAUUUGAGUACCAGGUGAUGUGAUACAGUCUUUUUGAUUCAUUUCUCAAUAUGUUUCCCAAAAGUUGCCUGUUGUAAAAAAUUUCAAAUAUUAAGCUCCAUCAGCCUCAUUUUUUUUUUUUUAAUUAGAAUUUCGUGUUUGAAAGAGUGGUUGGUAUGAACUUGAUCUUUGCACUGGAUUAACUCAAACGAUAUUUCAUCAUAGAUAUUCAGAACGGAGUAUUUCUUUAGUUGGCUUUUUAUGACCUUUGCUGCUGAUAAAGUAGAUUGACUUGCUAUAAGGAAUUAGUGCUCUGUAAGUGCAGCCAAUUUUGUUAAUUUUGCUGCUGGGUAUUAAUUAGUUCAUGGAAUGAUGCUUAUUAGAUUUGGUAGAUUCAAACAAUGGUAAAUAGCCCAAGCAACAUCAGGAAAAGAUGAAAAAGCAUUUCUUAUUUGUUGGGAAUCAUCAUCAUUCUUUCUCUUAGUAGUGAGAGAUACUGCAAAUAUCGUAGAGUACAAAUUGAAUGAAGAGGUAUUGCAGCUUUGGACUUGUAUGCCAAUCUUGGCUUAUCUCAUCAAUAGCCAAUGUUAUGCUGAUCUUUGAAUGAAUCCAAGCACUUAUCUUUAGUAGGCUUUGGAAUUUUCACAAUCUAUGGAUCUAACAAGUCUUAACAAUCGAUGUGUCGGGGAAUUUCUAACCUGUAUCGGGUACAUUGAGUGGAGUCUACGUCAGUGGUUGAUCAUUUAAGCCCCAUAUGCAACAUUCAUGUGAGAUUCACUUGAACGACUAUUGAAAUCGACCCUAUCUAAGUGAGCACAGGCACCACCUUGUGGAAGCUAUUCUUUGGCUGAUGGUAUAAGACGUGAAAAUUCUUAAAUCUCCGCCUUCUUUGUGCUUUUGCACGUUGGAUUUAGGUUGCGACAAAUAAGUGCCCUGGACUUACUUUAAGUUAUGUUAAUGGGGGAUUAUGAAAAUGUUCUUAAGGAUAUACGGAAAUACUCUCCCGAAUUCGAUGCUUCCAAAGGUCAAAGUAGUUCAACCUGGGCAACUAGAAAAGAGUAACAACAAGGUCAGAAUGUUAUGGAGCAUUACCCCAUUGGUCAUUUUCAUCUCAACCUUUUCAAAUGUGGAGACAAUUCCCUUUUUCGGGCGAUAAUACUUGAUGAAGGUGCUUCCGAGAUAGAUUAUUCCUCAGGAUCACUGUCUUGGAUGAUCUCUUCCUCUAAUCUGUUCAUCCUUCAUGCGUCGGUAAAAUAAACACUAUAUUCUUCCUUCUUCAUUCUUAGCUUCAUGAAGAGAGACUUCAGGCGUUUUUGUGUGAUUUUUGUUGUCAAAUUUACUGCUGGUGUGUCUAUAUGCGCGCUAUAAGUGCUUUAUAUGAUCAUUGCCUGAAGUGCUUACCGUGAAGUGUUCAUAUUAACAAUCUGAAUCACAAAUCAACUUUCACUGCAAUGUGUGUUUGCCUGUUAGAUGGUCGAUACUUGUUUAGUUCUUCCUGCCAAAAGUCUUGCAAAGAUGAUUUGUUCUUCAUCUAUGUUACUUUGAGAUUGCUGUGUAGGUUAAUGUCUUUGGCAGUUUCUGGAUUAAUGUUUUAUAAAUUGGACAAUCUGUUCCACUAAGAGGUGAAAGAAAUCCUCAGCAUUAUCUCCUGCAUGCUUAAAAUUUAUUCUCAUGUUUUUGACAUCGGAUCACCUGACCAUUGAGAUUAAUAUGAUUUCUUUUGUGUCUGAUGAAUCCAACUAACCAUCCAAGGUAAGUUUCGAUUGUUUGGAAUGUGAAUUUGGUGGCUGGGUAGGUUCCUCUGUGAAACGUUGGCCUCUGUUGUUCUGAAUGAAGGAAUACGAUUGCUUGAAUUGUUAGCUUAAUAAGGAAGAGUGAUGCAGGCUACAAUUUGUAUUGUAAAAGACACAAGCAACAAUUGCUGAAUAUCUAUUCUGCAGGAAAUGGAAGCGAAGUAGCGUAACAAGUAUGCUUUUGAGCAAUGAUGCUGAUUUCUGGAUUAUCUUUGUGAACAUAUGGUAUCUUUAUUUCUCUUUUGAACGUUUGGUAUUUGCUCUACUCUCUUUCUGGUAAACAGUAGUGUGGACUUCUCAGUUGAUUAAUCCUUCUUUCUGCAAUUGACUUUGGCCCCUGCUAUGGUCCGCUUUCAGUAUACGAGUCACGUUGUAAUUUGUGUACCUGGUGAUGUGAUAUGGUCUUGUUGAUUCAUUUCUCAAUAUGUUUCCCAAACGUUGCUUGUUGUAAAAAAAUUUAAAUAUUAAAUUUGAUCAGCCUCAGUUUUUUUCCCUUUUUUUGUUGAUCAGAAUUCUGUGUUUGUAUGAACUUGAUCUUUGCACUAGAUUAACUCGAACGAUAUUUCAUCAUAGAUAUUUAGGACAGGGUAUUUCCUUAGUUGGCUACUUUGUGGCAUUUGCUGCUGAAAGUACAUUGACUUGCUAGAAGGAAUUAAUGUUCUGUAAGUGCAGCCAAUUUUUUGUUAAUUUCGCUGCUGGGUAUGAUGAUGUUCAUGGAAUGAAUGCUUAUCAGAUUUGGUAGAUUCAAACAAUGGUAAAUAGCCCAAGCAACAUCAGGAAAAGAUAAAAAAAGCAUUUCUCAUUUGUUGAGUCAUCAUUAUUCUUUCUCUCAGUAGCGAGAGACGCUGCAAAUAUCGUAAAGUAAGAAUUGAAUGAAGCGGUGCCGUAGUUUUGGACUUGUAUGUCAAUCUUGGCUUAUCUCAUCAAUAGCCAAUGUCAUGCCGAUAUUUGAAUGAAUUCAAGCACUUAUUUUAAGUAGGUUUUGGGAUUUCACAAUUUAUGGAUCCAAUGAAUCUUAACAAUUGAUGUGUUGGGGAAUUUCUUACCUAUACCGGGUACAUUGGGCGGACUCUAUGUUAGUGGUUGAUCGUCUAAGCCCUAUAUGCAACAUUAAUGUGAGACUCACAUGAACAGCUAUAGGAAUGGACCCAAUCUACACGUGCAUAGACACUACCUUGAGGAAGCUAUAUUUUGGCUGACGGCAUAAAAUGUAAGAAUUCUCAAAUUUCUGCCUUUUUUGUGCUUUUGCACUUUGGAUUUAGCUUGCGAUUAAUUAGGGCCCUGAACUUACUUUAAGUUGUGUUGUUAAUGGGGGAUUACGAAAAAGUUCUUGAGGAGAUAUGGCUAUUCUCUCCCGAAUUCGAUACUUCCAGUCACAAGUAGUUCAACCUGGGCAACUAGAAAAGAGUAACGACGAGGUCGAAAUGUCAUGGAGCAUUAGCCCAUUGGUCAUUUUCAUCUCAACCUUUUCAAAUGUCUCCACUUUUCAGGUGUUAAUCCUUGAUAAAGGUGCUUCCGAGAUAGAUUAUUCCUUGAGCAAUGGCCAAAUAUCAAACCCCGAGGAUCAAUUUCUCUAACAAGGAAGGAAUGACAUUGUCGAACUUGAAGAUUUAGAGGGUUUCCUGCAAUGUCGAUCACUUUUACCCUGUUCUAGCGAAGUAUCUAACUGUCCAUUACUCACUCAUCAUGAGAAUUUGAUGGUAAUGAAUGGUAGCUUUAUUAGUCAUGUUUCUGCCUUUAUCAGUGCCUUGUCUUCGUUCUUUCAAUAUUAUUUAAUUCUUUUUUACCAGCGUUUCGGAUGUUGAUAUAUACGGUAAUAUUCGGGAAGUGCAGAUUGUAAUUAAUUGGUGGGGUAACUAGCUCUAAUGUUAAAGGGAUGUAAAAUUAUUUCAUCAAUUUUAUUUUUCUGAUUUUCCAUGGAAAUACUAACUACCAAUGUAUGCUAAAUCAUUUCAUACUAGGUCAAUGCUCAGUAAUUUCUGUAAAUGGAAUCGCCAUAAUCUGAAACUUUACACAGACAAGUCUCAAUCGGCAAAGAGUUGAACCCACCGAAGCCGCGAACUUUGAAAAUCAAUGACGGCAGAGCUUUUCUUGAAGGUGAAACAGUUGGAGCUAUUUUGGGAAUUCUUCCCAACGAAGCGGGAGCUCUACUGGGUGGCUCUACUACGAAAGUUGCAGCAUUGCCGGCGUUUUAGACGGAAGCCAUUUCCCCUGCUCGAAGCUUUGAAACGUUUUCAGUCAAGGAGAGAGAGUGUGUUGGAGCUCGAGUCUGGCUGGGAAGAGCUGGUCAGCGCAGUGCUGAUGAAGACAGCUCUAAUGGAGAAAGCCCAGCUAUCUUCGGCCCAAUUUCAGUUUCUCUCCUUGGCCCAUUGUCACCGGUCCGCAAACAAAAUGGCUGAUUGGGUCGUGAAAACCUAACGUACGAAUGCUCUCCCUCCCUCUUGACUGACCCAUCCCUCCAGUCUUUAUGGAAUUAUUUACGUUUGGAUGCCCCUUUGCUGGGCUUUUGUUUUAAAGACCCCAGGGUUUUAAUUCAUGGCAUGUCCUCAAAUUUGAAAGCUUGCCUCGUAUAUUAGUUUGUCUUAAGCUCGAAUUGGUCGACGGUCAAAACCCAAGUUCAAAAUUACAUGGAAAGUAGAUGAUCAAGCAAGUCUUAAGAGCUAGAAUCUGGAGGAAUUGGACAAUUCUAAUUGAGGUUGUUCACGCAAUUUGACUUGAAAAACUAGAAAACUGAAAUUAGAAUGGAAAGAUUAAUUAAACUGGAUUUUCAUCCCUAUCCUGUUGGGGAAAAGACAAAUAAUUAGUGCUUGAGUCUUUUCCAGCUACUCCACACCAUGCCACCAAGUUGUCGAAGCAGUGUUUCUUUAUAACUCAGUCUCUAUAUGAUUGAUUUUUGGUUGAAAUAACCUCGUAAGCAUGAUCAUUUCUCCAAUCUAAUGAAGUAAAGUAACCUUCACUCCAAUCUUUAUUUCUCUUUUGAACGUUUGAUAUUUGCUCUGCUCUCUUUCUGGUAAACAGUAGUGUGGACUUCUCAGUUGAUUAAUCCUUCUUUCUACAAUUGACUUUGGUCCCUGUUAUGGUCCACUUUCAGUAUACGAGUCACGUUGUAAUUUGGGUACCUGGUGAUGUGAUACGGUUUUGUUGAUUCAUUUCUCAAUAUGUUUCCCAAACGUUGCUUGUUGUAAACAAUUUUAAAUAUUAAAUUCCAUCAGCCUAAGUUUUUUUUUCCCUUUUUUUGUUGAUCAGAAUUAUGUGUUUGUAUGAACUUGAUCUUUGCACUGGAUUAACUCGAACGAUAUUUCAUCAUAGAUAUUUAGGACAGAGUAUUUCCUUAGUUGGCUACUUUGUGGCAUUUGCUGCUGAAAGUACAUUGACUUGCUAGAAGGAAUUAAUGUUCUGUAAGUGCAGCCAACUUUUUGUUAAUUUCGCUGCUGGGUAUGAUGAUGUUCGCGGAAUGAAUGCUCAUCAAAUUCGGUAGACUCAAACAAUGGUAAAUAAAUAGCCCAAGCAACAUCAGGAAAAGAUAAAAAAAAAAAAAAAAGCAUUUCUCAUUUGUUGAGCCAUCAUCAUUCUUUCUCUCGGUAGCGAGAGAUGCUGCAAAUAUCGUAGAGUAAGAAUUGAAUGAAGCGGUGUCUUAAUUUUGGACUUGCAUGUCAAUCUUGACUUAUCUCAUCAAUAGCCAAUGUCAUGCUGAUAUUUGAAUGAAUUCAAGCACUUAUUUUAAGUAGGCUUUGGGAUUUUCACCAUUUACGGAUCCAAUGAGGCUUAACAACUGAUGUGUUGGGGAAUUUCUUACCUAUACUGGGUCCAUUGGGCGGAGUCUAUGUUAGUGGUUGAUCGUCUAAGCCCCAUAUACAACAUUAAUGUGAGACUUACAUGAACAACUAUAGGAAUGGACCCAAUCUAUACAUGCACAGACACCACCUUGAGGAAGCUAUUCUUUGGCUGAUGGCAUAAAAUGUAUAAAUUCUCAAAUCUCUGGCUUCUUUGCGCUUUUGCACUUUGGAUUUAGCUUGCGAUUAAUAAGGGCCUUGGACUUACUUUACGUUGUUUGUUAAUGGGGGAUUAUGAAAAAGUUUUUGAGGAGAUCUUGAUAUACUCUUCCGAAUUCGAUGCUUCGAAAGGUCACGAGCAGUUCAACCUAGGCAACUAGAAAAGAGUAACAACGAGGUCGGAAUGUUAUGGAGCAUUAGCCCAUGGGUCAUUUUCAUCUCAACCUUUCUAAAUGUGGAGACAACUCUACUUUUCAAGUGUUAAAGCUCGAUAAAGGUGCUUUUGAGAUAGAUUAUUCCUCAAGCAAUGGCCAAAUAUCAAAACCCUGAUAAUUGAUUUUUUUAACAAGAAAGGGAUGACGUUGUUGAACUUGAAGAUUUAGAGGUUUCCUGCAAUGUCGAUCGCUUUUACCCUGUUCUAGCGAAGUAUCUGAUUGCCUAUCACUCACUCAUCAUGAGAAUUUGAUGGUAAUGAAUGGUAGUCUUAUUAGUCAUGUUUAUGCCUUUAUAAGUGCCUUUUCUUCGUUCUUUCCAAAUUCUUCAAUGCUUUUUGACAAGCGGAUGUUGAUUUAUACAGUAAUAUCUGGAAAGUGAAGAUUGUAAUUAAUUGGUGAGGUAACUAGCUCUAAUGUGAAGGGGAUGUAAAAUUAUUUGAUCAAUUUUAUUUUUCUGAUUUUCCAUGGAAAUACUAACUACCAAUGUAUGCUGAAUCAUUUCAUACUAAGUCAAUGCUCAGUAAUUUCUGGAAAUGGAAUCACCAUAAUCUGAAACUUUACAGAGACAAGUCUCAAUCAGCAAAGAAUUGGAACCCACCGAAGUUGCGACCUUGAAAAUCAGUGACGGCAGAGCUUUUCUUGAAGGUGAAAAAGUUGAAGCUAUUUUGAGAAUUCUUUGCAACGGAACGGGAGCUCUACUGGAUGGCUCUACUACGAAUGUUCCAGCAUUGUCGGCGUUUUAGACGGAAGCCAUUCCCCUGCUCGAAGCAUUGAAACGUUUUCGGUCAAGGAGAGAGAGUGUGUUGGAGCUCAAGUCUGACUGCGAAGAGCUGGUCAACUUAGUGCUGAUGAAGACAGCUCUAAUAGAGAAAGCCCAGCUCUCUUUGGCCCAAUUUUAUUUUCUCUCCUUGGCCCAUUGUCACCGGUCCGCAAACAAAAUGGCUGAUUGGGUCGUGAAAACCUAAUGUACGAAUGCUCUCCGUCCCUCUUGAUUGGCCCACCCCUCCAAUCUUUAUGGAAUUAUUUACUUUUGGAUGCCCCUUGGCUGGGCUUUUGUUUUAAAGACCCCAGGGUUUUAAUUCAUGGCAUGUCUUCAAAUUUGAAAGCUUGCCUCGUAUAUUAGUUUGUCUUAAGCUCGAAUUGGUCGACGGUCAAAACACAAGUUCAAAAUUACAUGGAAAGUAGAUGGUCAAGCAAGUCUUAAGAGCUAGAAUCUUGAGAAAUUGGACAAAUUCCAACCGAGGUUGUUCACGCAAUUUGACUUGAAAAACUAGAAAACUGAAAUUGGACCAGCAAGUGAAUGGAAAGAUUAAUUAAACUGGAUUUUCAUCCCUAUCCUGUUGGGAAAAGACAAAUAAUUAGUGCUCGAGUCUUUUCCAACUACUCCGCACCACGCUGAUGUCGAAUCAUUGUUUCUUUAUAACUCAGUAUCUAUAUGAUUGAUUUUUGGUUGAAAUAGCUACGUAAGUAUGAUCAUUACUCCAAUCUAAUGAAGUAAAAUAACCUUCACUCCAAUCAUGACGCCUCCUUCAAUAUAAAAAAGAAUAUCCCAUCCAUGUCAAGGUGAAGCAACAUGAUGACUAUAUAACUAAAUAAGUUAGCCGACUCUUUUCAUUUAUAAUAUUCAAUUGUUUGUAAGUUACCAUUCUUGUCUUAGUUGAGGUGGCCGACAACGGUCUUUUUCUUUUUUCUUUUUUAGAUUGACCAGUUUCGACUUGUAGCAAUGUGCUACCAAGUUUUCAACUUCACAAGGAAUCUAUUUGUGUUUAGUUGAGGCCUUAACUAAUGUUAGGUUAUCGUCCACACCCAAGGAGGUCACUGGUAUUUUUAAUUGAUUAGUCUAAACAUUUUUAAUUUUCUCACUAUUUCUUUUCAUAUGUAAUAGUUGUGCUCUUUUUCUAGUAUUAAGUAAACAAAUAACAAUUGAAAAUGUAAAUAAAAUUGCUAAAAAAAAAAAAACCGAUAUAUGCAACAUCUAGGCUGUACCAUAGGUCUCUAGGUUGUCGCGCUUCAACUUUUGUGCCCCUUGAUCAUUAAAAGAAGUGGACUAAAAAAGAGAUGAUUUCUUCAUCGUAGCUUUUUUUUUUUUUUUUUGGUCUGACUUAAUCGUAGCUUACUAACAUAAAAAUUGAACAUGCCCUUCAUUUUUAGUUAAAUUUGCUUAUUAGUCAAAAAUAAACUCUCGUGUGUCAUGUAAGCCACCAGAGGGUGUCUCAAUUAGCAAAGAUUAUUAAAUCAUUCCAAAGCAUGAGAGAACAAUGUAACAUUAUCACUUGCUACAUUAGAUAAUUAUGUUCUUGUCUAUUUUCCCUUCACCUAACCUAUAAAAAAUGAAAGGAGUAAUCGAAUAUCCCCUGCAUCUAUAUUACUUAUAUUCUCUUUGUGUGUACCUGCACCGCAAUAGCAUUAAGAUAUAGCAAAUACGUGAUUGGCUCUGUUUAAAAAUAUCGCAAUGGGAGUUCACAUCCACAUCAAUCAUAUGCUAAUCAAUCAUCAAAACAAGUAAAACUAACCAUUUAACUGGAGAUUAUCCUUUAUUAAGAAAUUUUGCAAAAUGCGACAUACAUUUAUUCUUUAAAUUUUUUUUAAAAAAAUCAUGUUUACGUGGCAUCUCUAUCUUGCAAUUAUUGAACAAUAGUAAUAUGAUAAUGUUAUGUUAACAUUGAUAUUUUCAAAAUGACACAUAAUGCAAAUGACAUUAUUCUUUAGAAUAAAAAGUUAUGCUUGAUUAAUCCCAUGAUUGAUAAUGUUGGGUGGGGAGUUGGUUUCUAGCUUAGGAACCGGAGCUCCUCCAUUAGAAUCCCACAAAUGCAUGCAAACUGUCUCAAUUAACGAAGAUUAUUGAAUCAUUCCAAAUCAUAAGAGACAGUGUGACCUUAUCACUUGCCACGUCAAAUAAUUUUGGCCUUGUGGGUUCACAUCCACGUCAAUCAUAAGCAAAUCAAUCAUCAAAACUAGCAAAACUAACCAGAGAUUAUCCUUUCUUAAGAAAUUUUGCAAAACGUGACAUACAUUUAGUCUUUAAAAUUUUUUUUAAAAAAAUCAUGUUUACGUGGCAUCUCUAUCUUGCAAUUAUUGAACAAUAGUAAUACGAUAAUGUUAUGUUAACAUUGAUAUUUUCAAAUGACACAUAAUGCAAAUGACAUUAUUCUUUAGAAUGAAAAGUUAUGCUUAAUUAAUCCCAUGAUCGAUAAUGUUGGUUGGAGAGUUGGUUUCUAGCUUAGGAACCGGAGAUCCUCCAUUAGAAUCUCACAAAUGCAUGCAAACUGUCUCAAUUAACAAAGAUUAUUGAAUUAUUCCAGAUCAUAAGAGACAGUGUGACCUUAUCACUUGCCACGUCAAAUAAUUUUGUCAUUGUCUCUUUGUCCUUCCCUUAACCUAUAAAAAAACGAAACGAGUAAUCGAAUAUCCCCUAUAUCUAUGUCACUUAUAAUACUCUUUGUGUGUAUCUGCACCGUACUAUCAUUAAGAUAUAGCAUAUACGUGAUUGGCUCUAUUUAAAAUAUCACAAUGGGGGUUUCCAUCCACAUCAAUCAUAUGUAAAUCAAUCGCAAAGAAGCAAAACCUACCAUUUUACUGGGAUUAUCUUUUCUUAAAAAAUUCUGCAAAAUGUGACACACUCUUAAUCUUUAUGAUAAAAAAAAUAAUGUUUUCGUGGCAUCACUAUCUUGCAAUUACUAAACAAUGGUAAAAUGUGAAUAUAGUCAUUUUCAAAAUGAUGCAGAAUGCAAAUGACUAUUACUUUUAAAAUAAAAAUUAUGCUUAAUUAAUCCUAUAAUUCAUAAUGGUGGUUGAGGAAUAGGGGAUUUCCAGCUAAAAAAAUUAGAAAUCCCCCAUUAGAAUCCCACAAAUGCAUGCAAAUUGCUUUGGAUUAGAGUCACCUACAUAGCCGAAGGCUUAAGCUUAACCAAUUCACGAUACUUGUAAGAUAUUUCAUAAGUUUCUAGGUAGACGGGUGUCCACGCCUAUGCUCCUAGAUAAUACAAAAAAAAUGCUUACUUUAGGAGAAUCCAAAUUUUAUAUGCUAAUUAUUUUAGUAUAUACUUAUUCCUCAUAAACUAGGUAGUUUUUAUGCAAAAGGUCCUUAUCAACUAAAUUGCGAAGAGUACAUCCCCCAUGACUUUAAUUAGUAAUAACACUUUUAUUCGUUAGAAAUUAGUCAUAACCUUUUCAAAUACUCCUCCUAAUAAAUAUACAUAUUUAGGACUAAUAUGACAUUCUAAUCUAAAAAUUAUGGUUGGUAAAAAAUUACAUAACCUCAAUAUUUCCUUCUAAACUGAGUUUUUUUUUUUUUUUUGAACUACCCUUCUCAUGUGCAAGGCAAAUCAGGAGUAGCACGUGAAAUUUGACAACUGGGAGUGAACUCACACAUGAAAGGGGCAAGUAGAACUUGACUAUGAUACCAUGUUAGAAAAUCCAAUCCAAAGAUAUGUAAAGAGCAUAUAAACUUCAUUAUCAUGCAAUGUGGGAUAUUUCAAUACAUGCCAACCAAGGAUAGAGCAGAGCCCCUCUAAUGCGUUUAUAGCUCCUAAUGAGCUUUGCCAAUCAUGAUAUGCCGAAAUGCCUAUGAGUUGCUCUUUGCUUUUCCUCAAUAUGUUCCUUGAUGAAACCACCUAGAAUAGUCUGCAAGCAUACAUGUGUGAAUGACCCAGAUGUGAAUUUGCUUAAGUGGAAUGAGAAAUCCAAGGAUAAAUUUGAAGGCAAAGAGCAAGAAAAUAAUGAUAUGAGGUCAAAGAAAUCUAAUGAUAAAUUUAUUCUUUUGAAAGUGCUCGAGGAUGAAAGAAAUUGUUGGCUGGCAUUGUCUCCUAAUACAUGUCAUUAGGAGAUAGUAUGUAGAUGGAAGAAAACCUGCAACAAGUGGACAUCAAAAGCUAUGACAUGGUAACGCUAGCGUAGAGCCGCUCGUGGAGAUUAUUCAAGUGACUAUCUUUACUCCAUUUUUUAUUUACUCCAAUUAGGAUACCCUAUGGACACAUUGAAAAAAAAAAAAACCAUGUCAUAUGAUUUCCCACACAAACCAAAUCAUUUUUUUUUUUGUCGGUCAUACUCUAUUUCUAUUCUACACUCACUCUCAAACUUUUGCCUUGACUCUUGCAGGGCGUGAGAGUCGAAACCCACUCCUGAAAUUUACGCGUCCCCACCCCAUCCCCCCUGAGAAGGUGGAGAUUUAAACCCCUCACUUCCCCCUUUCAUGUUGGAAAGGUGGCCACUGAGGCGAAUCCCAGUGAUUAACCAAAUCAACUUGAAAAGCACAAUAUUGAGUCAUAACAAUUAAUGCAUUGGGGAACUCCUUGCCUGUAUCAGAUCCAUUGGGCAGAGGAAGGAUCCAGGUGGACCCUCCCUUAUUUCCAGGUGCGACAGCCUCCCCAUCACUUCGUUGGCCGGCAAGAUUGGCCGCGCUUGCCCCCGGUCAACAGCCUCCAGACACUGUAGCCCCAGAUCAAGCAGGUGGUCCAGCAGUAGCAUCCGAUCAAGGCCCCUUCGCAAAAAGAAUAAAAAUAAAAACUCUUAAUGUAAAGCUUGUCUGUUCAAAAAAAAAAAAAAAUGUAAAGCUUGUGAUUAUAUAUGUUUCUAAUUUGUGAUAUCACGUCAUUGUAUCAUGACUGGAUUACCUGUGAGUUUCUUUUCAUUCAAUAGGUAAAGGUGUCGUGUCAGGGAAAUUGAAAAAAAAUUGAAGAGACUCUUCUUUUUGGUGACAAAACGCGAGAUGGUUCUCUACUGCCUUUGUUUCCUUUGAUUUUGGUCCUUGUUGGAUAGGUCUAAGGACAAUUUAGGAGUUCUAAUUUCAAUGGAAAGCUGUUCUUCUUAGCACAUUUUGCCAAGUCGUUCUCUUCUCAAGGUUUGUCAUCUUUUUGGCACUUUGGGUGAGAUUGAAUCAUUCACUUAGAAAGUUUAGGUGACAGCAUCUCAUUUAGAAUGAGUAGUGCAUUAUCAGUAAACAGAUACAAGGGUCUAAGUUAGUCCAAAUAUAAUAUGUCAAGAAGAUUAACAUUAUCAAAAUUUGGUAUUUACUCCACAAAUCAAUAAUACGGCCAGCGAAUCAAUGUUUGUCCACUAGCGAUCAAGGAAAGGAUGGAGAAUUAAUAAAUAUUUGUCCACCAGCCGUGGAGGAAAGGAAGAUUUACCAAAUCAAAGUUUGUCUAAUCACUAAUUGUCUUGGAGCAGUACAGGACAGAAUGAAUACCUAAUCAAUGUUCGUCCAUUAGCAGUGGAGGAAAGGAUGGUUUACCUAAUCAAUGUUUGUCUAAUCACCGUUUGUCUCUGAGCGGUGCAGGAAAGAUUGGAUAUCUAAUCAAUGUUUGGUCAUUAGCAGUGGAGUAAAGGAUGGAGACAUAGACAUCCUAACCAAUGUUUGCAUCACUCAAUUGUUUAUGUGUCCACAUUAUUGUCUUGAUUGAGGCAACCGAGAGUGGUAUUUUUCCUUUCUUUUUUUUUUUUGGCUGGUAACGACUUGGCGCAUUUUGCAGUCGAUUUUUCAGCUACUUGAGGAACUGACUCGUGUUUAGAUUAAAAAUGGGUUUGUAACACGUAUUGAGACAAUUAUUACACGAAAGGUGAUUACAACAAGCUAAAAUUAAGUUUCAAAUCAUAAUAGCUAAAAUUAAGUUUCAAAUCAUAAUCUCAUUUUGACGAUGACAGACUAUAUGAAGUACUUAUUACACGGGAGAUGAUUCAAGUCAAAUCAUUUUGGUACUUUAACGGUUGGUAAUCAUAUGAUUUUUACUUUCUCUUUAAGCCACUCGGUGUUAAAAAAUGCAAAGAAACCAAGCUAAGAGCUUGCAUACCAUGUAGAUAUUACUUGAUUGUUGAUAAGCUGUGGGUUGAAGGGUCUAAACAUAAGUUAUCGAAUUGCUGGAAAAGCAAAUGCUGAGGCAAGUCUUAAAAAUUAUAAUCCAAGCCCUCUUAUAUGGAGAAAUGUAACAAAGUCAUUCAAGAAGAAUAUACGUGUAAAUCAUACAUACUAUGUUAAUAUGGACCAGCAAAUUAUAAAGAAAUUCGCUGCUUCCAUAACUAAGGAAAAAAACCCAAAAGAUAAGGGGGUGGCUAGCUAUGAUUCUGAAAUUUCAUUGGAGAUCUAAUGACUAAUAAUUUUAAUAUUAAAUAGGAGAUACUGUUGUAUUUUGUUAUAUUAAUCAGAUAUUUGAACAAAGAAGAUUGCUUUACUUUGUCAAAUUGAACCGGUAGUAUGAUAAAACAUUAUUUGAGCUAUGGUCUUGACGAAGGCGACUGGUCUUUUUCAUCUUUAAAUUUUGGCCUAUGACAACCCUUAAUUUUCAGUAAAUGCAAUCACAUCAAGUGCAAUGUCAUUGGGCGCCACAUGCUCAUUCACAUUAGGAGUCAAACCAUAGUUUGUCAAAUAUUUGAGAGUUCCAAGGCCACUCACUUCUCUUGCAAUAGCCGAUAAUCUCAAGCUAGUGGCAGAACUUAAAUCUUUUCGGACUACUCCACACCAUAUCACCAAGUCGUCAAAUUAGUGUUUAUUUACAACUCAAUUUCUGUAUGAUCGAUUUUCGGUUGAAAUAGUAUCGUAAGCAUUCAUCAUGUCUCCAAUUUAAGGAAGAAACAUAACCGUCAUUCCAAUCACUACUCAAGUAUUUUCCAACUACUCUACAUAAUGCCACCAAGUCGUCGAAUCGGUGUUUCUUAACAACUUAGUAUCUAUAUGAUCGACUUUAAGCUAAAAUAGCCUCAUAAGCAUGAUCAGUUCUUGAAUCUAAUGAAGUGGGAUAACUUUCACUCAAAUAAUUGCUCAAGUCUUUUCUAACUACUCCGUACCAUGACAACAAGUCGUUGAAUUAAUGCUUCUCUAGAACUCAAUAUCUAUAUGAUCGACUUUAAGUUGAAAUAGCCUUGCAAGCAUGAUCAUUUCUCCAAUCUAAUGAAGUAAAGUAACCUUCACUCUGAUCAUUGCUCAAGGCUUUUCCAACUACUUUGUACCAUGCCACCAAGUCAUCGAAUUAGUGUUUCUUUACAACUCAGUAUCCAUAUAAUCGACUUUCCCUUAAAGUAGCCUUGCAAGCAUCCGAUCAAGGCUCUGCGACACCCCCCCCCCCCCUUCAAACGAAAAAAACAAAAAAAACAAAGCCUUCCCAUCACUUCGUUGACCGGCAAGAUUGGCCGGGCUUGCUCCCUGCUCAACGGCCUCCAGAAAACGUAGCCUCAGGUUAAAAAACCAAAAUAAAAUAAAAUAAAAUAAAAAUUUUAAUGUAAAACUUGUGAUACUUUAUAUUUUUUAUUUAUGAUGUCACGUCACUAUAUCUUGAUUGGAUUACUUGCGAGAAUCUUUACAAUAAAUAGGUAAAGGUGUCGUGUCAAGGAAAAUUUUAAAAAGAUGGAAGACGGUCUUCUUUUUUAUGAGAAAACGUGAGAUGGUUCUCUACCGCCUUUGUUUCCUUUUGUUUUGGUCCAUGUUGGACAGGAAUAAGGACAAUCUAGGAGUUUUAAUUUCAAUGGAAAGCACAUUUUGCCGGGUCGUUCUCUUCUCAAGGUUUGUCAUCUUUUUGGCACUUUGGGUGAGAUUGAAUCAUUCACUUAGCAAGUUCAGGUGAUGCUAUCUCAUUUGGAAUGAGUAAUGCAUUGUCGGUAAAUAGUUUUAAGGGUCUAAGUUACUCCAAGUAUAAUAUAUCAACAAAAUCAACAUUAUCGACAUUUGGUAUUUACUCCACAAAUCAAUAACACAGCCAGCGAAUCAAUGUUUGUCCAUUAGCGAUUGAGGAAAGGAUGGAGAAUUAAUAAAUAUAUGUCCACUAGCCAUGGAGGAAAGGAUGGUUUACCAAAUCAAAGUUUGUCUAAUCACUAAUUGUCUAUGAGCGGUACAGGAAAGAAUGAAUACCUAAUCAAUGUUCGUCCAUUAGUGGUGGAGGAAAGGAUGAAGACUUAACAAGCAUUUGUCCAUUAGCGGUGGAGGAAAGGAUGGUUUACCUAAUCAGUAUUUGUCUAACCACUAUUUGUCUCCGAGUGGUGCAUGAAAGAAUGAAUAUCUAAUCAAUGGUUGGUCAUUAGUAGGGGAGCAAAGGAUGGAGACAUAGACACUGGUGAUGGUUACUGGUUAAGAAAUCAUCCAUUUCUAUAUGCGUAUUAGAUGGUGACUAGGACAUUAGGACUAGUAACUAACCAAUGUUUGUAUCACUCGAUUGUUUAUGUGUCCACAUUGUUGUCUUGAUUAAGGCAACCGAGUGUUAUUUUUAUUUUUUUUUGGCCGGUAACAACUUGGCGCAUUUUGCUGCCAAGUUUUCAGCUACCCAAGGAACUGACUCGUGUUUAGAUUAAAAAUGGUUUUCUAACAUGUAUUGAGACAAUUAUUACACGAGCGGUGUUUACAGCAAGCUAAAAUUAACUUUAACAUCGUAAUCUCAUUUUGACGAUGACAGACUAUAUGAAGUACUUAUUACACGGGCGACGAUUCAAGUCAAAUCAUUUCGGCACUUUAACAGUCGGUAAUCAUAUGAGUUUAUUUUCUCUUUAAGCCACUUGGUGUUAAAAAAUGCAAAGAAAUCAAGCAAAGAGCUUGCAUGCCAUGUAGAUAUUACUUGAUUGUUGAUAAGCUACGGGUCGAAGGGUCUAAAGAUAAUGUCUCGAAUUGCUGGAAAAGCAAAUUCUAAGGCAAGUCUUAAGAAUUAUAAUCCAAGCCCUCCUAUAUGGAGAAAUUUGACAAAGUCAUUCAAGAGGAAUAUACCUGUAAAAAUCACACAGACUAUGUUAAUAUACACUAGCAAAUUGUAAAGAAAGUCGCUGCUUCCAUAACUAAAGGGAAAAACCCAAAAGAUAAGGGGGCGGCUAGCUAUGAUUAUGAAAUUUCGUUGUAGAUCUAAUGACUAAUAAUUUUAAUAUUAAAUAGGAGGUAUUGUUGUAUUUUGUUAUAUUAAUCAUAUAUUUAAACAAAGAAGAGUGCUUUACUUUGCCAAAUUAAACCGAUAGUUUGAUAAAACAUCAUUUGAGCAGGAGAAUUAAACCUCUCUCUGUUCUAUUCUUUCUUUCUUUUUUCUCCAUAUAGUUACAUUUCGAGCUUGAGCUAGUAAUCGAAAUGAGUUGAAUAUAGAUUUGGUGCAACCUACAAAGACCCACAUAAUAUAUUAAGUGGCUUAGUAGAGUUAGGCACAUUCCAACCAAAAAAAAAAAGAAAAAAAAAGGACGUACAUGUCAUGUGGGUGUGGCCUGUCCUUAUGUGUAUGUUAUCUUUUAAGAAUUACACUUUGUUCUUUUGAUUAUAACAAAUUGUAUGAAGCACUUAUUCCACGACAGAUGAUAUAAGUCGAAUCAUUUUGGCACUUUUAACAGCUGGCAAUCAUUCGUUUUCCAUAUUUUCAAGUCACUUGAUGUGCGUGCAAUAUUUCUGGAUAGUUUAUAAUUCCACUUUGCGGUCUUGAUUGAGGCGAUUGAUCUUUUUUUUUUCUUUAAUAUUUGGCAAGUGACGACUUGUGCUACUAAGGAAGAAGAUUCCGCAUUUCACGGUUAACGUAGCAGUGGAACCAUACCUUAAAUUUUAAAAUGCAAUGAAAUCCUGCAAACAGUCUACCUGCAGUAGUACUCCGAUUGUUUAUAAUUCCACGUUGUGGUCUUGAUCAAGGCGAUUGGUCUUUUUCUACUUUAAUUUUUGGCCUACAAUUAUCCGCAAUUCAUGGUAAACGGAAUUACAUAAGAGCCAUAUCAUUGGGCACCACACUUUUAUUCACAUUAGGAGUGAAACCAUAGUUUGUCAACUAUUUGUAAGUCCUGGGGCCAUUCACUACUCUUGCAAUUGCCAAAAGUCUCAGGCCAAUUGUAGAACUUAAAUCUUUUCCAACUACUCCGCACCAUGCCACCAAGUCGUCGAAUCAAUGUUCUUUACAACUCAGUUUCUAUAUGAUCGACUUUCGGUUGAAAUAGUCUCGUAAGCAUGAUCAUUUCUCCAAUUCAAUGAAGUAAAAUAAUCUUCACUCCCAUCAUUGCUCGUAUCUUUUCCAACUACUUCACAUAAUGCCACCAAGUCGUCGAGUCGGUGUUUCUUUAUAAUCCAGUAUCUCUAUGAUUGAUUUUUGACUAAAAGAGCCUCGUAAGCAUGACCAUGUCUCCAACUUAAUGAAGUAAAAUAAUCUCCAUGCAGAUCAUUGCUCCAGUCUUUUCCAACUACUUUGUAUACCACCAAAUCAUCAAAUCGGUGUUUCUUUACAAUUUCGUAUCUUUGGUUACAUUUCGGAUCUCCAUAGUCAAUAUCUAUCACCUCCCCCUUCCAAGUAAUUUGGAUCUUUAAUAAGAUUUUAGAUUGUUGAAUCGCUUGUACUAAAUCUCGAGCGUUAUCAAAUUGAACAUUAUCAACAGUUGUUAUUCAAUCUAUAAAUCAAUAAUACAGCCAUUUUAUGUUUUAGAAAUGUUUUGAUCUAUAUACUAUUUUAUAUUGACUGUGGACUAAAAAAAGCCUACAAAUGUAUUAAAAUUAAUUUGUUGUUCAAAUAUUAAAUUUAAUGUGAGUAAUGCUUUUCUAGUAAAAUUAUAAACUCAGUCUGAAAUUUAGAUCAAUUCUAAAUAUGUUGACCUAAUGUUAUGUGGGGGGGGGGGGGGGGGGCGCAAACAUUUCAGAAGUCCUGAAAAAUAAAUUGGGCUAUUAUGGACACUUAAUUGAGAUGGUGGUCCAACUGUAAUCUUAAGGUAUUCUCAUACAACUCCUUUUGCUUUUCAUUUAGGUUUUUGGCCCGCUCGGAUUUUAGAGAAAAAUAAGCACGGCGACUCUUUACUUUCUAAUAAGAGCCUCGAAAUCGGGUAAACUAAGACGCCAAAAGGAAUCUUUCAUUUAAUUACAAUCAUUACGGUUUUCGAAGAAGAAUUUAAUAAACAAAAACCCUUAAAAGGCACAAAGAUACAUAGAUCGAAGCAGGAUUGGCAAACAACAUAAAAUUUAAGCAAAGUUAACGAUAAAGAGAAUCACGUGAAAGGUCAUAUCAUUGGAUACCACACACACUCACAUGGCUAUGUUAUAUAUAUACAUACAUAUAUAGAUAUAUAUAUAUAUAUAUAUAUAUAUAUAUAUAUAUACUACUUUAAAUAUGAGGUUUAAUCUAUUUUGCCAUUGCUCGUACUUCAACUUAAUUAUUCACAUUUUUAUUGAAGGUGUUUAAUAAAUUUGAAACCCCAAUCGUCACCUCGUCUCGAUUCCCACAAGUACCCAUAUGCACAAAUCGAUGCAUAUAUUAAUAUUGUGAGAAGGAUUAAAGAUGCCACUUAUUACAUGCGCAUGGGGGUGUGGGCAGUCCUUGUCCGUUUGUUCUCUUUAUUAACUACAUUUUGUUAUAUCGAUAAUGGCAAACUAUAAAAAGUACUUAUUAAACUGGCGAUAACCCUAGUCGAAUCAUUUUCUUACUUUAAAUUUUUUAUAUUUUUUCUAAGCCACUUGAUGGAACUGCAAUGCAAAAAAAUAUAUUGAAGUUCGCAAUUUUUUGUCUUGAUUGAGGAGACGAAAGAGCAGUCAUUUUUUAUAUUUAUUUUUGGGCAAUGACAAACUUGAACAGUGUGCUGGCAAAUUUUCAGCUUCCCAAAAAUGAUGCUUAGUUAACUUAACUACAGUUAUGUUACAGAUCUCCGUAAUCGACACCCAUAUCCUUCUUCUUUCGAGUGGUUUGGAUUUUUGUUAAAAUUAUGAAUUGUUGGAUCUCUAGUACUAAAUCUUGGCCGUCAAUAGGUAGAAUAUUAUCAACAACUGCUAUUCAAUAUACAAAUCUAUAACACAAGCCCCCACAUACAUAUAUCGAUGAAAAUAUUAAUAUAAUGAAGGGAUUAAAGAUGCUACUUACAACGUGCGUGUGUGGGUGUGGCCUGUCCUUGACCAUUUGCGCUAUUAAUUAAGUUUUGUUAUAUAGACAGUGACAGACUAUAAAAUGUCCUUAUUAAAUAAUGGAUGAUCCAAGUCGAAUCAUUUUCUUACUUGAACAGCUCGUAGUCAAUUUCUUUAACCCACUUGAUGGAGCGGCAACUCAAUUUUUAUAGUGAGAAGAAAUCAAUUCAAGUCCUCAAUGGAUUGAGGAGGACUAAGAGCAGUCAAUUAUUUUUUAAUAAAUAUCACUAAAAUCUUCAAAUUGAUACUUCUAUGAUAAUUUAUCCCUAAACUAAUUUUUUUUACCACCAAAAUCUAAAACUAAUAUAUUUGUAAUAAAUUUAAUUCCAAAUUAAACUUUAAAUUAAAACAUUUGUGACAAUUUUGUCAUCCGUUAGUUUCUAUUAAAUGGGAUUAAUAUCGCGAAAAGACACAAACCAAUACACUUGUAACAAAUGAAUCAUAGAAUUCCAAAUUAGUAUAUCCGUCAACUACUAUAUGUUAUCCAACAUAGUGAUUUAACGGUAAAAUUUAAUGAAAACUAAUAUAUAGUAAAUUUAUUACAUACGUACAAGUGAUAGAUUUUUUAUAGUCCAAAAAUUAAUUUAGAAUAAAUUUAUCAUAGAUAUACUAAUUUGAAAUUUUUUAUGAUAUUAAUCUCUAUUUUUUUUUUUUUUAAUGUGCUCCUUACAGUUUCCCUAAGAUUUGACCGGUGCUUAUUAACUAAAGUGAGAUUACCGAGUUGCAUGGUCCUUGCCGAUCUUCCCUUUCUUUCUCGCGGUUUGAGUCCUUGUCGAGGUUUCGAAUCCUUGAAUCUAUAGCAAAUAUUAUUGUAGCCGCUUCAUUUGAAUAAAUCUGGAAUGAGACCCCUUAGUAGAGGCUUGGUGUUCAGAAAACACAUCAUAAUACUAUCCCCCAUUAAUAUUCACUGCAUAGGAAGAGUGUAAAAAAGACUUCCAAGUCACCGCCGAUACAAGUAGCGUCUCACACCUAGGGCCCCGUUCUACUUCAUAUCAAUGUGUCCAUCAUCACUUGUCAUUACUAGACUUUGGCUCUAUAAAAAUAUGAUUCAACAAGCGCCUCCCCCCCCCCCACCCUUCCUCCUCCCCCCAAGAAAAAAAAAAGACCCAAAGCUGACUUAAUGGAAAAAAGCGAUGGUAAUGCUCCGGUCUAAAGACUCAUCACAUAUCUCUCUACCGCCCUCGAUUGAAAAAAUAGCAAACAUUAUUGUAGCCCCUUCAUUUGAAUAAAUCUGAAAUGAGACCCCUUAGUAGAGGUUUGAUGUUCAGAAAACAUAUAAUACUAUCCCCCAUUAAUAUUCAAUUGGUUUGACCACAAAAAUUGCCCCAUGCCCCAAGAUAUGUUUUUGUCCUAAUAUAUUUUUAUUCAUCUCUUUUGAUUAACCAUUAUUCGAUUUGGGCAAUUGAAUUUUAUUGAUUUUACACUGAUGAAAAGGAAAUAUUCUCAAAAUAACACAUUACUGCUUAUCAAUGAUUUUUUAACAUGGAUAUUUUACUAUGAAAUCCGUUCACAUAUGAUAGUUAACAUUUACUCGAUACAAGAUAAAGGGUAACGUGCAAUCUCAUGAAUAGGUUAAAAAAUGAACAGUACAUAUUAGUUUUAACAUUUUUCAAUAGUAAGAAAUCUUACGUUAUUGUUAAGUCACUUGAGGAUAGAAGCCCUUUUGAAAAAAAAAUAAAAAAUCUUGAGGAGGUAGUGACCAAUUAUAAAGGGGCCUUGCUUUUUCUGGAUGCCAUGAGAAAAUUGAAUUUUAUACGUGAUACUUUGUUGGGGUUGUUCCAAAUCUAUCCCUAGAAAAUUGAAUUUUGUAAGCGAAUAAAAAGCACAAAAUGCUAAAAUACCCAUUCUGUUGUAGUUGUCUUCCUACAUUCCAUAUUUUUAGAUUGUCAUUACCUUUCUUGUCUUCUUUAUUUUUCUAUUAAUACCUACAUAAUCUCUCUGUGUGGAAUGAGCUCUGAAUUGAACCAUGCUUAUGAAUCUGUUUGUUGGGUGUAGAUUUUUUUUUUUUUUGACAAGUUAUACUUGUUGAAACAAAAUUAUAGACUCACUUCACCCAUGCAAUUAAUGUGAGGAUCUAUAUCUAUAGAAUGACAUGAGAACAGUCUUUCACUUAAGAGCUGCCUUUAAGGUUAAUACAUAGCACUCUAGAUAACUAGAAAGGAUUUUUCCUUCUUCCAAGAAUUGGAUUUGCUACAUUCUCCAUUAAAAAAAAUGUAGCCCCCUGGUCUCCACCUAAGCUAAUCUUAUGCAAAACCGACUAGAAAAAGUCCACUAUCUAAACCACAAAUUGUCCGCAAUGUGAGAGUCCAAUGCCACUCACUACUCUUGAAAGUGCGGGCAAACUUGUAUAUUAAACAAAAUAGUUGGCUGUAAUUGUAGAUGAAUUUCUAUAAAACUAGCAAGAUUCGCACAGGGGCUGAGGUAAUUUUUUAUAUUAUUUUAAAUGUUAUUUUUAAUCUAUUUCGCUUUUGUUCCCACUUCAAGUUAGUUAUUUUUCAUGAAUUUUUAAUUUUAAGUUUGUUGUAUCGUGAUUAUUAUUUGUCAAUAUAUUUUAACUUAUGUUAAUAUUUUUAACAAACAACAUAGACAUUCAUGCCAAAAUAGAGAAAUAUUUGACGGCCAAUACUUUAACAUCCCUACGAGGGAAAAUGGUAUAAAAUUAGAAAGAGUAUGAGAUAUUGUUUAGAAGUUAAAAAAAAGUUUGGAUAAAAUAUAAUGUAGAUAACACUUAAAACUUGAUGUUGCCAUAAAAAUAUGCUUUGGAAUAUUAAUCUACACUAUAAAUUAAAUGAACGACCACUUCAACAUCACAGUUUUACAAAUAAUUCCAUGAAAACAUCCAUGCAUAUACUAAAAAAAGAAGUUCGGAAGUAUCCAGUGAAUCUCCUACGUUUUAAAUUAUGAUGAUAUUGAUAUGCAUCUCCUAUCUUCCGCUGACGAUUGCUUCCUUGCACCGAAAGGUGAAAUUGUCAAGACUAAAACAACAAGAUUUCUCUGGUUGACAAAUAGCUGUUGGGAUGAUUGGUGUGCGCACACAUUUGGUGGAGCUAAUUAUGCACCCAUUUUACACGUGAUACUUUGUUAGGGUCAUUCCAAAUUUGUCUCUACGUAAUAUUUCCUUAAGAGAAUCCAAGGACAAAAUGCUGGAAUAGCCAACCUCUUAUAUUUCCCCUUAUUUCACAUUUUUAGCUUGCCAUCACCUAUCUUUUUGUCUCCUUAAUUUUUCCGUUUUCACAUGUAGUAUCUCUCUGUUGGAAAGGGCUUUGAAUUUGAUUAUGCUUGUCAUUGUGUAUGUUGGAUGUAAAUUUUCAUUUUUGAGAAAUUAUACUUUUGAUACAAAAUUAUUCACUAAUUCACGUACAAAAAUCAACAUGAGAGUCAAUAUCUAUAUAAUUAUGCAAUAACAGUCUCUUCUCUAUGCCCUGCCUCUAAGGUUGACACAUAGCAUUCUAAAAUAGCUAGAAAAGACUUCUCCUUAUUUUAAGAACUGGAUCCGCCACGUUCUCCAUUAAAACAAUGUGCCCACUUGGACUCCACCUAGGCUAAUAUUUUGCUCUACUGACUAGAUAGAUUAUUCAUAUAUCAUGAUGUACUUAUAGGCACUAAUCCCUUAUUAGCUACGUGAGUUCUACUCAAUCUAAUUACAAGGACAAUGUCUCUCAUGACUUUAAAUUGUUUCUAUCUAGUCAAAAUGUUUUCAAACGGUCAUAAUUCAUAUAUGGGAUUAGGGGUACAUUGACAUUUCCAACACAACAAUUUUUUAUGGGCAAGUUUGUCAUGUGAAACUAAUAAAGAGAAUUUCAGCCAGUUUAAUAUUCAAAACAGAUCAGAGACCAAUAUUAUGCCUAUCUAUCAUAUGAUACUAUUAAUUUUUAACGUUAUACUUACUUAGCGUCUCUAUCUUGCACUUAUUGAUAUUACUAUAUGAUAAUUUUAUGUUAACCUUGUCAUUUUCUUAAGAAAGGUUCAGAAUAGAAAAUACAAUACUCUUUACUAUAAAAAUUAUGCUUACAUAGCCCAGAGUUGGCACAAUUAGUUGGGUCAUUAGGGAUUUCCAACUUAGGAACUAGAGAUCGCCGGUUCGAAUCCCACAAACUACAUGCAAACUGUUUUGGGUUAUAGUCACCUACAUAGACCAAAGAUCUGAGUUUAAUUGGUUCCUGGAAUUGGCAUGAUAUUUCAUGAGCUUCUAGGUAAAUGGCUCUCCACACUCCUACCCCUAUAUCGCACAAGCGCGCAUACACACACACUCACUUUAGGAGAAUGCUAACUUUACAUGGUAUUACACUUUAGGAGAAUGCUAAUUUUACAUGGGAUUUUUUAUAUGCACUUAUUCCUCAUAAAUUAGGUAGUCAUUAUACAUAAGAUCUUUGUCAACUUAAUUGCAAAGAGAACAUUCCCAUGACUUUGAGGAAUAUUACCAAUCGAUCUUAAACAUAUUGUACGAAUACCAAUUUAGUUCUAAACUUUUUGAUUUUGCCAAUUUAGUGAUAAACCUUUGUGCAAAAUUCCAAUAUAGUCUUUUUGGCCAAUUUCCGAUGUUGAAAUGGUCAUGUGUUGCUUAGAAUGGUCAGCAAUGACUGGACUGUGACAUCAAUAAUUUCAAGCAAAAAUUCAUCAAAAGGGUUAUAUUGAAAUUUUCCGUAAAGGUGUAAAACUAAAUUGACAAAAAAUUGAAAUGAUUAAAACUAAAUUAGCAUAUGUAUAAUAGAUUUUAGGAUUGAUUAGAUAAUUUUCCCCAUGACUUUAAUUAGUCAUAAUAUUUUCUUUGUUAUAAAUUAGUCAUAACAUUUUUAAAUAGUCAAUACAAAUAUAAGGUUUAUGACGUAAUUUGAUAUUCUAAUCUAACAAUUAUGGUUGAGUUUGAGAAAAGGAGCGAGGAAGUUAAGGUCUUGUUUGGCAAAAAGUGUUUCUGUUCCCCGGAACACAAAUUUUUGUUCUUUUGUUCUGGGGAACAAAAAAAGAACAUAAACGUGUUUUGUAAAACUUUUGUUUUCCCAGAAAUAGAUUUGGAAAAAAAAAAAACAAGAAGUAGAAAAAAAGUAGUUUCUUAUUCUUGGGAACAAUUCCGAAAGACAAUUUUUCUCUCUCUUCUUUUUUCUUCUCUUUUUUAUUUUUAUUUUUUCUUUCCUUCUUCUUUCUUUUGGCCGGUCAUCGGCCUUGGCCAUGGUCGAUGAUCAGCCAAUGAGGACCAGCAACCUCACCGGAGCGUCCCCGACCCCCAGCGAUUCCUCACCUUGCCUUGGCUGGGCGAGCUUGAGCUCGCCUAGAUUUGGCGAGGCCAAGCUCGCUCAACCACCGACGAGGCUCGACUUCGCCAGAUUUGGGCAAGUGCAAGUUCGCCUAGCCAAGGCGAGGCCGACCUCUUGUCGCCUGGGCGAGGUCGAGCCUCGCUAGUGACCUGGGGAGGCUUCGACGAGCUCCCCGGCCGUCGCGGUGGCUUGGCGAGGCUCCAGCGAGCUCGCCGAACCUCGCCCAGCUAAUCGCCAGCCACCGCUGUGGCUGACAAUCAGCCACAAAGGAGAAAGAAGGAAAAAAAAAGGAAAAAAAUAAUAAAAAUAUUAAAAAAUUAAAAGAAACAAUAAAAUUAUACAAGUUUACGAAAUGCAUUUAUAUUAUUGGAACAUGAAUUUUUUGCAGUUACCAAGUAUGUUCUUAUAUUCAGAAAUUAUUCCCUGAAAAAAAAUUAUUUAUGUUUAAAAAUUAUUUCUUAAAAUAGAAUAGUUACCAAACGCGCCCUAAGCAACCACUUGGUGUUCCGGUUGAGCAAGCCAGUGAAGAAGACGCGUGAGUUUACUUUUUGCUUUUGUCCGAGUAUACGAGUAGUUAAAGAAAACCAAUGUCGGAAUGCACUCAUUCGAGGAGCUAUGCGUAAUGACUCAGCAAGUUGCAUAUGAAGGAAACGCCUUCAUAGUUAGUGGAAUAUGCCCUUUCAACGAGAUUCACAUGGCACUCGGCAUAACAUUUUGUUGUUGUCCCAUAUGAUUGUGUCAUGAAAUAUGAAUACGCAAGAGUGAUUUUAAAAAAAUUCCGCGAGUUCCAUGGUCACUUUGGUCGACAUCUAGUUCUAUUUGCUUACACUUAUAUAUAAAAAAAAAAAAAAAAAAAAAAAAAAUUCUGCAUUUUGCUCUCCCUCGAGAAAAUUAAAAAUGGGAAAAAAAUAGGUUUCAUAAAUUAUGAAAAACCAUAUAAUAACUCUACUUGUCAAUAAAUGUGUGUUCUUGAAAAUUCUAAAAAUCAAUAUUUGAUAAUUGCAAUUUUUGAAAAAUAAAUGCGAAAGGAAAAGCUCUGGACAGAACCAAGCAUUUGGGAAAGAAAAGAAAAAGAAAAAGAGGGUUUUGUCCUGUGGGAGGGGGAGGGGGGAGACUUUAAUAUGAAUGAGAGCCCACCGAGCAAUGGCAAUGAUUUUGCGUGUUAACUUUAUCAUGUAAAGAGUACCAGUGGUCGCUAUGAUUUUGCAUAUUAAUAUUAUCAUCUAAAGGGUAGUAGUGUUCGAGAUAGUAAACUAGUUGAAAAAUGUUAAGAGAAUAGCAAAAAUUUAAUUUCCUAAGAAGUUCUAAUCUAACAAUUACAACUGUAGUUAAAUCUAACCUAGCAAUCAUAAUUGGCUUUAUAAUCUAACAAUCAACCUAUUUAUCAUGUUAAUUCUAAAUUAUUAAUGUGACUUCAUGGACCAGCACAAUGAGCGGGGGGUAGGACUAUACCUAACCUUAUGUUUUGUCCAUCAGGCGUGGAGGAAAAACUACAUGCCUAAAUUAUGUUUCUCUAAAGCGGUGAAUGAAAGAUGAUAUCUAUCAUGUCAUUGGCAUGGAGGAAAGGAAGGUGAUUUCGCCAUUGGCAUUGGUGACCCUGCUCCCCGUAUUAAUAGAUUAUUUAUUAGACUACCAUCCAUUUUCUUGAUUGCCGCGACUGACAGCAAUCUUUUUUAAUUUUUUUUAACUCUUGGCCAGUGGAGUCUCUAAGGACUUGGAGCCCCUUUGCUCCCAACUUUUUAGGCCCCUGCCAUGGAAAAUGUUUCAAAAAAAAUGUUUCUGGAACACUUUUUGUUACUUUUUUUUGUUCCCGGAAAACAAAAAAGGAAUAGAAACGCGUUCGGUGCGUUUCUGUUCUUUUUUGUUUUUUUUUUUCCCGGAACAAAAUUGGAGCAAAAAAAAGAAACACAAAAAAGUUGCUUCUGGAGAAAAGAAACACUUCUUCAAAGCCAAAAAGAAACGCUUAUCUUCUUCUCUCUCCUCUUUUCUUCUUCUCUCUCUUCUCUUUUCUUCUUCUUUUCUUCUUCUUUUUUUCUUCUUUUUUCUUUGGCCGGCGAUGCCGUCGAGGGUCGGCGACCUCGCCGGAGCGUCGCCGACCCCCGGCGAGGCCGAGCUCGCCCAGCCAAGGCGAGGCUCGGCCUCGCUCGAGGGGAGAUCUUCGGCUAGGGUUCCGGCGAGGGGCUCCGGAGGACGGUGCGACGGCGGCGCGGCACUAGAGGUUUCGGGAUCGACACGGGGCGACACGGGCAAAGACUGGCGGACGGCGUCGCGAAUGGCGUGGUGAGAUCGGGACGGUGUCGAGUUGCAGGCUUCGGGGCGCAGGUGCUAAGCUCCGACGGCAGGGCGGCGAGGCUCGGCCUCGCCCGCGCCGGCGACGCCGAGCCUUGCCUUGGCUGGGCGAGCUCGGGCUCGCCCAAAUCCGGCGAUGCCGAGCCUCACCAUGGCUGGGCGAGCUCGAGCUCGCCCAGAUUCGGCGAGGCCGAGCCUCGCCGGGGGCCGAGCCAUGCCCAACCACGGCGAGGCUCGGCCUUGUCGGGGGCCGGUCGCCGGCCUCCGGCGACUGGCCAAAAGAAGAAAGAAAUAAAAAAGAAAGAAAAAAAUGGAAAAUAAAAUAAAAAUAUUAAAAAAUUAAAAGAAACAAUAAAAGAAUAAAAUUUACCAAACAUGUUUCUAUUCAUUUUUUAUUCCCGGAACAAACGUUACCAAACGCGUUCUUUUGUUCAAAAACCGUUCCUCGGAACAGAAACACUUUUUUUUAUUUCUGUUCCCGGGAACAGAAAAUGAACAAAAACGUUUCCAUGCAGGGCCUUAGUUUCCGAAGGAAUUGAGUGGGGUUUAGUUAAAGUCUUAACUGAGGUUAGAUUUCCGAGCUCCAUAGUCCAUACUCAUCCCAUCUUUCUUCUCGUGAUUUGGGCCUUUGUUAAGAUCUUAAAUCAUUGGAACAAUAGUAGUACAUCUCAAUCGUUUUUUUUUUUUUUUGACCUAGGAAAUUUCGUAUGGCUAGCAACUGGAAGUAAACCACUGAGGGCGAAACGUGCUAGUCACCACACACGUGCUACCAGGUAAGUCGUCAAAAGUCUCAAAACUAGCUUUCCUGCAAGGCGUAGGAGCUUUGAACACUAGAUCUCUUCGAUGGAAGUCUAGCGCCUACCCAGCUGAGCCACCAUGGCGGGUGGUUUAUCUCAAUCGCUCUUGAUCAAAUAUUCCAGCAAAAAGUUACCAUGUCUCUUUCUCCAUUGAUUCUCUUUGACGCUCCCCUUCCUUCAUCUUUUCUCGCACUCAUGUCUCUUUGCCUUUUCGUCUUUCAUCAUUCUUGCUCUGUUCCACUUUUUCUUCUCCUUGCUACAGCCCUACUUCAUCCUCUUUUUCUUAAGUACGUACGGCCCUUUUUCAUCGUCCUCUCUCUCCCUCUCUAUGUCCCUCUGCCUUUCCUUUCGAGGGGUUUUUAUCCGAACGUUUUCUCGCUCUUUCUUUUUCGGAAUACAAAUCAAAGAAAAUGUCAGAUCGAUGUUGCUUUUGAGAAAAAUAGAAAAUUAUUAAAUUCAUAUUGAUAUGUAAUUGUUGAUACAAGUGUUAUGAAUACGUAGCAAAAGUUCAAUCCGAGAGGUUAUCAAGAGAAAGCUUGAGCCCAUUAACAUAUUAAGUUAACUCAUCUUUAUUAAAAACAUGAGCUAAAAAGUUAUUGAUCAAUUAUAAUAUAUUAGCUGCUUAAUACUAUAUUAAUUCUCUAUUGUGAAACUUUUCUAACCCAACUCACACACAUCUUAACAUUCACCUCUCGCGUGUUGGCUUAGUAUUAUGUCUGCUUCCCCUUGAUUCAAGUAUCGUUCUCCAUUAACAUGACUCAAUUAGAAUCUUCGCUUUGGUGCGUCUCCUAACUAAAAUAACAACAAUGCCCAUCUUCAUCCCUAGUCUCUUUCUUCAAAUUGAAUCAUGAAGGUUACCAUCAGAACCACAUUGUUACACAAUAAUGCCCACCUCCAUUCCAAGUCUCUUGUGCUAGAAUGAACUAUGAAGGCUGCCCAAAAAUUGCGUUGAUCACGAGAUUCCUUUCCUAAGAUAUUCUCCAAACAUCGGUAUACAUUCAAAUUGGCCAUUACCUAUCAAUCAUCGGCCCUGAAUCAUCGGCCCUGGCAUCAUUUCUUAGGAGUGUCUAGCAAAAAUUUGAUACCUUUAACCAAAGAGAUCACCAAAGAAAAGCACAUGUCCGAGCUGGCCAAUAUGUUUUAUUGAAGCCAAAUUCACUCAAAAACUAGGAUAUAUUAAUUGCUCCAUACCAUACUAAUUCUUCGGUAUAAGACUUUCUAACAUAACUUACAUAUAUCUCAAUAAGAAGUAUCUAAGUAAUGGUUAAAAGAGUGAGAACGGAGAGAUAUUGGGAAAAGUGCCAAAAAAGUCCUAAACCUUUUGCUUUUGUGCCAAUUUAGUCAUAAACCUUUUUUUGGUGCCGAUUCAGUCAUAAACCUUUUUAAGUUGUGCCAAUUCAGUCAUUUCUGGCCAAUUUUGCUGACUGGACGCUGGCCGGCUGACGUGGCAUGAUUGGUGCUGAUGUGGACAACUUUUAAUAAUAUUUUUUUUUUAAUUUUUUAAAUAUUUUUUAAAUACUUUUAAUAUUUUUUUAUUUUUUUAUUUUUCCUCCAGCCGGUCGCCGAGGUUCGCCGACCGGCCAGAAGCGACCGCCGGCGAGAGCGAGGCCGACCUCGCCGGCGAUCACCUCUGGCCGGUCGCCGGGGGUCCAGCGACCGGCUAGAGGAAAAAGACAAAAAUAAAAAUAAAAUAAAAUAAUAAAAAUAUAUUAAAAUAUUAUUAAAAAUUGUCCACGUCAGCCGCUCGGCGUCCAGUCAGCAAAAUCCGGUCAAAAUUGCCAGAAAUGACUGAAUUGACACAACUUAAAAAUGUUUAGGACUGAAUUGGCACAAAGACAAAAAGUUUAUGACUUUUUUGGCACUUUUCCCGAGAGAUAUUAGAUGAAUUCCAACCACAUUAUCAUAUGGCAAUUUUUGAUAAUGUUCCACACGGAGUAUGAAUGUGUCUACCUUAAAUAAUUCACUUCUGUAGUGGUUCCAUCAAUUUGUCAUUUGACUCCUUUUUUGAGUGGAAGUCAUGAUGGGGUUUUUUGGGAUUUGACAAACUUUAACAGUAACUGCUUUUAGCCUCUAGCGCAUGAUCAAUGUCGAUACUGAUAUGCAACUCCAAUUUUCCAACGAGAAUAUUUUCAUCAAGUGACUAGUGUGGGAUGUUAACAAAGAAGAGUUCCGCUAUUCCCUUCCAAUAGCGACGGCGCAAAUGGGACCACGAGUUAUAUUAUGCUUGUAAUGCGCAACCGGAUUACAACUUUAAAAUGGGAAAUCUUUACUAAUAUCCUUAAAAUAACUUUUAUCCCUUUCUGAAUGAAAUGUCAGUCAAAAUGCCCUCCCUCCAAAUUGAGCACCAAGUAAAGUCAUCAAUCAUUUCUUUUCGUUACUCUUGAAAGCAUAAAACAUUCAAUAUAUAUACUAGCGUGCAACUAACGUAUAACCGCACACAAUCUCGUCAUAAUUAUAAAUAUACAUACGUAUGUAUGUAUGCAAGCACACAUGAAUAUGUCUAAAAGUAUAUGUAUUUUAAUUACCUCUUAUUUAGUUAGAUAUACAUCUUGAUCACAAAAAACUUUUUUUUUCAAAGAAUUGGCAACCGGAUGAGUUUUGAAAUGACUUGCACUUGCACUUCUGCGUUCUCUUUCAAAUGUUUUUUUUUUUUAAAACUUUAUUAACAAAGAAAAAGCUUCACCACGUAUUGUUGCAACUGUUUCUUCCUACUUCCUCAUUAAUUGAAGAAUUAUUGUGUACAGCGGACUUAAAUAACAACGGCUCUAUACUUGGUUACCGCGAAAUACUAUACAGCCUAUUAACAUAUCGUAAAAUAAAAAAAUCACCUUUAACCUCUUUCAGUUAAUUAAUACAGUAAAAAUAAAAUGGGGGAUAUCCAAUCAUUGCAAAAUAACGUAAUAUAAGGUGUUGACUUGCAUAUUGAUUUUUUCUUUUUUGAGAAACCCCUUUUCAGAUAGGUGAAGUUCAUAUUAAAGGUAAAGUGAUUGAUGAAAAUAAUGCCAAUACCAAAACGAGACCAAAAAUAUGAUAGAGAAGAAAGACUUUUAACACCAAAAGAAAUGGAAGUUGGGUUGUAUCGAAUAAGUAUGUAGCUUUUUUCUUUUUUUCACUAAGCAGAGAGGAGAAUCAAAAUACCUAUCAUGGGCAGGGGUGUGGAGUUUAACUCUUAGGAGGAGGCUUAUGAAUUUUAUAACAAUUAUGAGAAAGAAGUAAGAUUUUGUAGUAGAGUUUCAAAAUUGUAGAAAAGGAAGAGUAGAGAGGCAAAGUGAAGCACAGUUUUUUGGGGCUAGCUCCAAAAAAAUAAAGCAUCAACUUUAGUUUGAGGGACAAAUCUGACCGAAACUUCUUUUUUGUCUUGUAAAAAAGCACAAAUUUUAGGUUAAGGGACAAAUCCGGCCUAAACUAUUUUUUUGUCUCGUAAAAAAAUGUCAAUUUUAGGUCAAGUGACAAUUCUAGCCCAAUUUUUUUUUUCUCGUAAAAAAUUACAAACUUUCACCAUUAUUCAACUUUCUAUUUGAAGUUAAUCUUGUUUCAAGAAAAAAGUUUCUAGCCGUGAGCUUGGCAAAUCUUGUUCAUGGGGUCUCUCGAUGGGCGGUGGUCCAUAGCUUCAUUUUAAGACAAAUUGAAUUAUUCAAUUUACCAUUAUUCUCCAACUUGUGGCUCAAACAAGAAGAUCAUGAAUAGUGUUUUAAAUCUGGCCAGCAAGUGCACAUGGAUUUAUCGCUAAAAACAAUCAAUGGAUCUAAAUUAAAGGGGGCUAAAUUUAGGAUUUAAGUGAAAAUUGGUGAUUUUUUUUAGACAAAAAAACUUAGGAUCAUAAUUGUAGCUCAUCCCAAAGUCAGUGUUUUUUUAUGUGACAAAAAAAAAGUUUGAGCCAAAUUUGUCACUCGACUUAAAAUUAGUGUUUUUUUAUGAGACAAAAAAUAGUUUUGGUUAGAUUUGUCCCUUAACCUAAAAUUUGUGCUUAUUUUUGGAAUUAGCCGCAGUUUUUUGCUGCAUUUGUCAAAGGCUCAAGAAAAAAAAUGGUUCAGUUAAGUCGAUUCAUUUGAAAAGGUUAGAAUUCAAUAUUUUUUUUAAUCACUCAAGCACAAAGAAUGAGAAGCCCCAAAAAUGUACAAAAAUAUCUUUAUUAGUCUAAAAACAACCGUUCUGGUGUUUUUCUUUUCUAUUUUAGCAAUAUAAGUCAUAUUUAUAAUAAAAUUAAUAAUAUCUUUUUAGUGAUAAUUUUCGUACUUGUGAUUCUUAUAUUGUAGCAUUCAAUUUCCUUCAAGUCAUUUUUCCCUUGCUUUCGUAAGGAUGGAAAUUCAAGAAAUUAAUUGGUGUUUAGUUGAGGCCUUAAUCAAGGUUAGGUUAUAGACAAGAAAAUCGAACAUGCACUCUAUUUUUAGCUAAAUUUCCAUAUUGGUUAUGUCCAUAGUUUUAACCCACCAAUCAAAGAAUUGGUAAGGAUGGAAAUAAAUAAACUCUGACUUAAUAUAAACUCGCAUACAUUAAGGAAGCCAUUGCUCUCAAUUAACAAAGAAAUCCAAUGAGAUGUAAAUACUAAAUCAUUCCAAAGCAUGAGAAGAAAAUGUAACCUUAUCACUGCUGCGUCAAAUAAAUUUGUCCUUGUCUCUUUCACUUUUCCCAACCUAUAACAGUUGAAACGAGUAAUCUAAUAUCCGCCAACCUUUGUAUCACUUAUAUUAUGUUUGUGUAUAUGGGGCAGCACACUAUCAUUAAGAUAUAGGAAAUGUGUGAUUAGCUCUAUUUAAAAUCAAUUAAAUGGGAUUCCUAUCCACGUCAAUAGUAUGCGAAUCAAUCACCAAAAGAAGCAAAUCCAGACCAUGUAACUAGAGACAAUUUUUUUUUAAGAACCUCUGCGGAAUGCAAAAUACACUUGUACUUUACAAGAAAAAAAUUUUAUGCUUACUUAACAUCACCAUCUUGCAAUUAUCAAACAUCAAUAAUAUUAUAAUUUUAUGUUAACACAGUCAUUUUCAAAAUGAUAUAGAAUGCAAAAUACACUCAUUCUUUAGAAUAAAAAAAAAAAAAAAACAUGCUUACUAAAUCCUAGGAGUAACAUAGCUGAUUGGGAUGCUAGGGGAUUUCCAACUCACGAACAAGAGGUUGCUUGUUAGGAUCCCACAAACUGCUUUAGGUUGGAGCCAACUACACAGGCCAAAGCCCUGAGCUUAACCAAUUCAUAAAGCCUACAGGAUAUUUCAUAGAAUUAUGGGUAGAGAGGUCUCCAUACCCAUGCCCCCAUAUCAUAAGUAAAAUUAUAUGCUUACAUUAAUAGUAUCCCAAAUUUAUAUGGUACUCUUUUUAUAUGCACUUAUUUCUCAUAAACUAGGUAGUUAUUAUGCAAAAGGUCCUGAUCAUAUUAAUUACAAAUAGAACUUCCCUCAUGACUUUAAUUAGUCAUAACAUUUUUUUUUUGUUAAAAAAUUAGUCAUAAUAGUUAUAAAUAUAUGGACUUAGGCCUAAUUUGAAAUUCUAAUCUACCAAUUAUGUUGGUAAAAAUGGAAACAACUUCAAUUUUUUUUUCUUUAAAACAGAGUUCUUUUUCCCUUAAACGGAUGAUUCAAGGGGCUUUCUGUCAACAAAUAUGUGAAAAUUUUGAAUACUACAUAAAGACUCAAGAAUUAUUUUCAUCCAAUGGGCAAUAUCAAUUAGAUAUGAGGGUCUAAAUUAGCCCAAGUCUAUUUUGUCAAUAAGUAGAAAACUUGCAAAAAAUUGCAAUUCAACUUACAAGUGAAUAUCAAUAAUAUAAUAAUUUUACGUUAAAAUUGUCAUUUCUUAAAAAUGAUAGAUAAUACAAAAUAUACUUAAUCUUUACAAUAAAAAUUUAUGCCUACUUAACCCCAGGAUUGGUUCAACUAGUUGGGACAUUAUGGGAUUUUCAGCUCAAGAACUGAAGAUCCAUUGGAACCUCACAAAUUGCGAGCAAACUACUCUAAGUUACAGUCUCUUACAUAGGUCAAAACCCUAAGCUUAAUUGAUUCAAGGACUAUAGGAUAUUUUCUAGGCUUCUAAAUAGAUAGGUUUCUGCACCUAUGCACUUAGAUUAUUAAAAAGAAAAUGCUUACUUUGGGAGGAUGCUAAUUUUAUAUGAGAAAUUUUUCAUGUGCACUUAUUCCUCAUAAACUAGGUAGUUUUUAUGAGAAAAGGUCGUUAUCAACUUAAUUACAAAGAAUAUGUCCCUCAUCAUUUUAAAUAGUUAUAACCCUUUUUUUUUGUUAGAAAUUAGUCAUGGUUGGCAAAACAAUUAAACAACUUAAAUUUUUUCCCUAUGAACUGAGGUUUUUUUUUUUAAUUAUAAAUUUAAGACAUGAUUUGAGGGGCUUUCUGUCAGCAAAUUUAUGAAAAUUUGAAAGAUAACACAUGAAAUUAAGACUCAUUUUCAACUAAUGUUCAACAUCAAUUAGAUAUUAUGGUCUAAGUCAGCCCGAUUCUAAUAUGUCACUAAGUAGAACAUUAUCAAAAAUUGAUCUUCAAUAUAUAAAUCAAUAACGCAGCCGGUGAAUCCAUUUUUGUGUUUAGCCGUGGAGGAAAGGAUGGUCCCUAAUGAAUGUCCAUGAGCGGUGGAGGAAAGGAUGGAGACAUAGACAUUGGUGUGGUGGCCGGUCAAUUAAUUAAAAAAAUCAUCCAUUUCUCUUUAUAUAAAUGUUUUUUUUUUAAAUAGUUCAGCCAUUUCUUUAUAUUGCUCGAUUGUUUCAUUCAUAGUUCAUUGCCUUAGUGACAAGAGGAUUAUGCAAGAGUCUUGGCAGUUGGGUAUUCCUUCCCAGUAAAAAUUAAUUCAUAAAAUGACAAAUAAAUUCUUAUUAAUUAUUGAUACGACGAGUGAUGACUCUUGCAGCUUCUCAUAUCUCUUUAAAAAUAAUCUUAUAAAUGAACCAAAUGUCUAAGGAUUAGUUGACAUCCAAUAUCAUCAAUCAUGUUAGAAACUAUCAUCGAUAAAUUGUAUUAUACAUUUGGCUGAACAAAAUCGUGUUCUAUAAUUAAAAUACUAUUUUUGUACAAUCUUUGUUGGAACAUUUAUGGUACAGCAAAUUAUAUAAAAACUGCCGAUUAGUAAGGAUUUACACAUUGAAUGAUAUAUUUCCCUCUACUUUUUUGUAUGGUUGCCAGUAUAGAAAGUAAAGUUUAUGUAAGUAUCUCAGUUGGCUAAAUUCUCAUCAUGAAAGCACAAGGUCAUCAUAAUGUUUCGUGUGUUACUUGACUUUCACUGUUAUAAUGACUAAAAUGCUUAGUAGCCUGCAACAACUAAUUUCAUAUAUGUAUAUGUGUAGGCUAACCUCUUCCUGUGGAAGGUUAUAAAAGUGAAAAAAAAUUAGGGUUAUAAAUUAUCAAAAGCCACAUGACUUUAUUUGUCAAUAAUUGUAUAUUUUUGAAUAUUUUAGAACCGAUUUGUGAUAAUUGCAAUAUUUAAAAAAAACAUUAAAUGUAAAAUACUCCAAACAGACCCAAGCAUUUGAAAGAAAGGGGGGAAACUUCAAUAGGAACAAGAGAGACGCAAAAUAAUGUUAGCGGUGACUCGGGAUCGUUCCCCGUAUUAAUUUUAUCUUGGAAAGAGUAGCACUACUCAAGAAAAUAAAUUGAUUUAAAAUGUUAAUAAAGAAUGGCAAAAGUUUAAUUUACUUAGAAGUUUUGAUCUACAAUUCCAAUUCAAGUUACGUCUAAGGUAACAAUUACAAUUGACAUUAUAAUCUAACAAUUUGCUUAAUUACAAUGUUACUUCUGCAUUUUAAAUANNNNNNNNNNNNNNNNNNNNNNNNNNNNNNNNNNNNNNNNNNNNNNNNNNNNNNNNNNNNNNNNNNNNNNNNNNNNNNNNNNNNNNNNNNNNNNNNNNNNUGUUUGUCCAUUAAUGGUGGAGCUAAAGGAUGCGGAAACUUACCCAUUGGUGAUGAUGAUUGGUCAAGUUAAGAAAUAAGAAAGCCAUUUCUAUUACCAUAUUCAACUUUUAAUUAAGAAGUAUUGAGGGACACUGAAAGGAGAUAUCACCCAUGAUAGUAGUAAUAAUUUAUUUGCUUAUUUUGCUAGACUCAAAUUGGUUGAAAAUGAGUCUGGUGCAGACCCACGUAGGCUCACGUGGAAUUGGUGAUGCUUUUUUCAUAUCAUUUCAACUGGCUUAAAAAUUUCAAGUGUCGCACCAAAAUUUUGAUAAUGGGUUACAUACUGCCACCUCUAGAUGAAACUACAUGUCACGUGAGUUUUGAUCCGUCCUCGUCCUUUUGUUCUCUUUAUUAAUUACAUUUGCUAUAGCGAAGAAUGACAAACUACAUAAAGUACCUUUUAUACAUGAGCGAUGAUUUAAAUCCAAUCAUUUUAAUAAUUGCAUUUUGAUCGAAGGUGUUAUAUUCGAUUCGGAUUCUAAUCGUCACUCCAUGUUGAUUCACAAAAGUGCCCACAUACAAAUAUUGAUGAAAAUAUUAAUAUUAUGAACAAGAUUAAGGAAUAAUAUUAGGAAAAAUCUUAAACUGAUACACAUGCGACAAUUUACUUCACAUUAAUUUUUUUAUCACAAAAAACUCCCAAACUUAUACAAUUAUGAUAAAUUUAUUCUAAACUAAUUUUUUAACAAUGAAAAAUCUCAACCUAGUACACAUGUGAUAAAUUUACUUCAAACUAAUUUUUUUACCGUCAAAAACCAUAAAUUGAUACAUUUCUGACAAAUAUACCCCCCGUUAAAUUAUAUUAAUACCAGAAAAAAUUACAAAACCGAUACACUAUAACAAAUAGAGGGCAAAAUCUCAAAUUGGUAUACAAGUUAAUUACCACAUGUCAUCUAAAUCAGCAAUCUAACUAGAAAAUUUAACAAAAACUAACAGAUAGUAAAUUUCUCAUAGAUUUAUCAGUUUAGAGUAUUUUAUAGUCAAAAAAUUAGUUUUUUUUGUAAAUUUAUUAUAAGUGUACAAAUUUAAGAUUUUUUGUAGUAAACAAAAUUAGUUUGUGAUUAAUUUAUCAUGUGUACCAGAUUAAAGAUGAUAUUUGUCAAGUGCAUGGGUUGGUGUGACCUCUCCUUAUCAAGUGGGCGCCACCUAUUUUGUUAUUUGUUGCUCUUUCUUAAUUACAUUUUGUUAUAUCAAUUUGACAGGGUAUAAAGUAUUCAUAUAAUUUUAGUCAAAUCAUUUUGUUACUUUAGAAAUUGGUAAUCAUUCGUAUUUUAUUUUUUUAAUCCACUUCGACGAGCGUGCAAUUCAAAUAAUGCAAAGAAAUCAAUUUACUCCACAACUGUGGCGCGACGGACAGCUGCCGUAAUUAAGGUACAUAUUGGUGUUUAGUUAUGGCCUCAACUAAGAUUAGAUUUUUCUAAGAUCUAAAGUCUGUUGUCCACGUGACUAGUGGAUCAUGCAUGAGUCUUGUGAGUUGGGUUUUCCUUCCCAAUGAAAAACUACUUCACAAAAUGAUAUAUGAACUCAUAUUUAUGACUCUUGUGGCUUCUCAUGUAUUUUUAAAAAUCAAUUUUAUAAAAUGAACCGUGUAUCCUAGGCUCAGUCUACAUCCAAUAUCAUCAAUCAUGUUAGAAUUAUCAUCCACAGAUUGUAUUGUUGUUUAACUCAGAAAUGGAUUCCAACCUGAGUAGUGAACUAUCUUCAACCAAAAGAUAUAUCUUUUAUUUUUAUGAAAGGGGUUUAGUGGCGAUUUUUAAACAUGAGUUGCAAUUGGCAUGAUAAUGAAGAUGAACAACGAAUUUAAAGGUAAAAGGUGAUAGUAAAUGUUGGAAAUUAACAUGACAUUUAAACUGAUAAAAGUAUAUCAAAAAAUAUUAGUAAUCAUGAUGAUCCUUGCAAUAAUUAUAUGUUGCCAUUUUAUACUCCGCCAAUCAUAACUGCUUAUUAAGACGUAACCAUACUAGAUGCAGUUGUAACUGCAUUCCCGAGAUUUUAGGACUCCUAUCUGCACAUCGAUGCUAUCCACAAGCUGUUACGACUCUUUAAGUGUCACUAGGUUAACCGUUGCUUGGUGCCCUUAUCUUUAGUCGACAUUUUCACUAUCUCCUUUCUUCUUAGUUGAUAAUUGUCGACCAGUCAUCGUGGUACAUCGACAAUGGUAUCCUCAAUCGUCUAUAAUUACUGUCCAUUGUCAUUGAUAUGUGCUUCUAUUGUCCUUAACUUACCAAAAACCAUAUCAAUUGUCACAAACUCUAUACCCAUUUAUAUCAACAUUACGUCGUUCACAAAAAACUUCAUCAUUUUUCGGUGUAAACAAUUAUACAUCUGGCUAAAGAAAAUCUAAUUAAGCGACUAUCAUGUGAUUUAAAUACAAUCUUUAUUCUAACAAUUAUGGUACAACAUAUUACAUAAAAUGUACAACCAAUCAUAUGGGAUUUACACAUUGAAUGAUAUGUUCUUGGCUACUUAUUUGUGUGGUUGCCAAUUUAGAAAGUUAACUUUACAUGAGUAUAUCUGUUGGCUAAAUUCUCAACGUGAAAGCACAAGGUCAUGGACUCAAUUUUGUAUUGCAUGCUACUCAACUUUCACUACUAUUGUGACUAAAAUGCUUAGUAUCCUGCAACAACUAAGUUUGUUUACAUAUUUACAUAAGCCAAACUCUCGUCAUGGAAGGUUGUAGACCUGUCAUGCAUAGCAUGUUGUGAUGCAACUUGACUUCUGCACCAUAUUUAUAGUGUCAUUAAUUAUAUGUAUUUAGUCAUAUUUACUUAUGAUAAAUACAUACCUGCAUAAUAUAACCCUCUAAAAAUUUAUAGUUUUCAUUCCAUAGAAAUUUUGUAACAAGGGAUAGUUUUUUCUCUUAUUGAUUUGCUAUCAAUUGUUUCUUUUAAUUUUUAAUAUUUAUUGCAAAGCAUGUACUGUAAUUUCGUUUUUAUGAUGAUAGAUAAUUUUUUGAAUUCUCUAAGAUCAUAUAUUUGUCAAAUAUAGACAAUCAUGGAAUAAAAGAUGUUUCAACAUUAAGCAUCUUAUUUAUCACAUACAUGAUAAAUAUUUAUAUUGUCGAUUUGUUAUAUAUAUUGGCUAUCACAUCACGUAUUUUUUCUAAAAGUUUGUCAAUGAUAUACCUGAAGAAGGGGUGCCCAACGUCGAUCGAGCGAUCAAAAAAGAUUCCCAAGCAUCUUCAUAGCACGACCCAGCAAUCAUCUUCUUUGGGGGUCCUCAGGCUAUAAAGCCGAUUUCCUUCCUUUUGGUCCCUCUGUAAAAGGCAACCAUACAUUUACUUAAUUAUAAAAUUCGAAAGUUAUUGUACACUUAGUUAUAUCUUAUUUUUGAAAUAUCUAAAGUCAUGUAGUGAAUCCUAUAUAUAUAAAGUGGGUAUCCAUGCAUUAUUGAACUCCUUCGAGAGAUUGUCAAAAUUUGUAAAUCAAAAUAUUAACGGGGAUAUGUUAAAGUGGUCCUCAAAACCAAUUUGCUAAAGUGCAAAAUAGAACUGAUAUUCAAAUAUACAACAUAUGUUUAGGAAUUUGGGAUUUGUUAAAGUGACCAUCGAUAUCAAAUUGUUGAAUAAAGCUUACACAUGAUUGUGCUUGCUCAACCCUCAAGAGAGUUUUACCAUAUAUAUAUAUAGAUAUAUAGAUGCUUUUCUAGGUAAAUCAAUUUAUUAAAAUGACUCAAUUUGUCUACCAUUUAAAUACAAUGAGGAAAAAAAACAUUAAUUUAUCCAGGUCAAUCACAUGUUUUGAACAUUAUGAGUCUCACGUAUGACCGAAAUAAUUUAUUAGUGAGAUUGGGUAAGUCCAAGCAAGAACUUGCAUGGUAAAAGAUUUUACCAUCAUUUAGGAAAGAGAUAUUAUCAGGUAGAGAGUAUUAUUGUACUGCAUAUUAGUCGGAAAAUAGUUGUUUUCCGGGGCAUUUUUCCUGACAUUAAAAGCUUACCUAAUUGCCAUCGCACAAUCCUCCCCCCCCCCCCCCAAAAAAAAAAAAAAAAAAAAACCAUUAGGAGGACUUAUUCUGAGAAAGAAUAUAGAUGCCGUUUUCAUGUAUUUUCUGAAGUACUCUGGAAUUUCCGAGGGACCACUUGUGCUUUUCUGCCUUGGCCAUAUGGUCCACAUUAAAAAUUGAGUUGCUGGCAGACUGUAAAGUCACGUGGGUGUGGCCAGUCCUUGUCCAUUCAUUUUCUUUAUUCAUUACCUUUUAUUAUAUCAGUGCUGACCCACACUGUUUAAGUCGACUCAUUUGUUUACUGCUACUUGAACAGCUGAUGAUCAUCUCUUUCUUCCUCGAUUCAUCGCUAUUCGACGCUCCCCUUCCUUCGUCCUUCUUUCGCGCUCGAAUCUCUUCGCCUCGUUCGUCUCUCGAUCUGUUUCACUCUUUCUUCUCCUCAGCACAAUCAUUCUUCCUUUUCCUCCUCUUCUUCAGUAUCUUCUCCUUCUUUUCAUCAUUCUCUCUCUGUAUCUCUCUUUCUUUCUUGGAAAAAAAAAAAAAUCAAAGAAAAAAUGUCGGUCGAUUCUGUCGUUGCUAUUGCGUAUGAUGUCUUCAAGAGCUAUGUAGUUGAUCCCGUCAAGCGUCGAUUCAGAUACGUGAUCUCCUCCAAGAAUUUCGCCGACGAUCUUCGGGAGGAAGUCCGGAGCCUGGAGAAGGAGGCUCAGAGGGUCCGUAUUUUGGCAGAAGUGGCCCGAAACAACCUUCGGAAUUUCUAUGGUUACUUCCCAGAGUGGCAGCAAAGUACUGACAAGGCCUUGGAGGAGGCGGGAGACCUGUUGGGCGACAUGGGUGAGGCGAGCAAGACUUGCUGCCACGGGACUCUUCCCGACGCCAAAAGUCGCUAUCAGUUCAGCAGGAAGGCCGAGGACAAGAUCAAGGUCAUUAAGCAACUCGCUCAAAAAGGCAGCGGAUUCAAGGAAUUGAACGACAUCUCCUUCACAGAUCCUGCUCCGGGAAAUGUCACUGCUACGAAUCCAGCCAGGAGAGAAGGCGAAGAAUUCGUCCAGCCGACCACCGCAACGGCCUCCGCUUCUCCUGCCUCGACGUCAAAUGAGCUUAGUAAGGAUGGCGUCUUCGAAUCCAGAACUGCGAUCAUAGGGGACAUAAUGGGCGCUCUUGCCGAUAACAGCAAUAGUGUGGUCGGGGUUUACGGGAUGGGUGGGGUCGGCAAGUCCACCCUUUUGGACGACGUGGUAAGCAGAAUAAGAGAAGAGAAGCGGUUCGAUCUGGUCGCCAAGGCCGACGUGUCACAAAAUCCUGACAUCAAGAGAAUUCAAGGUGUGAUUGCCCAUGUGUUGGGCCUGGACAUGAAGGAUUAUGAGUAUGAGAGCUUGCGAGCGGAUCGUCUGCGCGAGAGGUUGGGAAAUGAGGAAAAGAAGGUCCUCAUAAUACUGGACAACCUAUGGAAAGGGCUUGACUUGAAAUCUGUUGGAAUUCCUUGCGGGCAUGACAACAAAGUCAUGGGAUGCAAGUUGUUAUUGACGUCGAGAGACCGAAAUGUUUUGCAAAGGGAAAUGGGCUGUGACAAGGACUUCUUUCUUGAUAGGCUGGAGGAGAAAGAGGCAAAAAUAUUGUUUGAGAGGAUGGUGGGAGAUAAAGUUCAUGAUGAUGAGUUCAGAUCCAUGGUGAAUGAAGCACUCCGCAAAUGUGCAGGUUUGCCUUUGUUAAUUGUCACAAUGGCGAAACAUUUGAAAUACGGCCGUUUGCCUGAAUGGAGGAAUGCUUUAAAUCAAAUUGAGCGGUGUUCAAACAAAGGGUUAAGUGCAGUGAUCAAUACGAUGUUGCAAUUAAGUUAUGAUCAUUUAGAAAGCGAGGAAACGAAAAAUUUGUUACAACUCUGUGUUGCUUGUGGCGUCUCUAAUCCCUCCGUUGAAGACUUGGUGAGGUAUGGCUAUGGUUUAGGGAUAUUUCAAAAAGAUAUCAGCAUAAAAGAAGCUAGAGAUGAAGUGAGUACACUCAUCCACACUCUUCAAGCCUCCUCCCUUCUGGUGGACAAUGGAGAUGACAAUGCUUUCAAGAUACAUGACUUGGUUCGUGACUUUGUUGCUCAGUUCAUUUUAAAAGAUCAGCCUCUUCUCGUGUUGGAAAAUGAAGAAAUGUUGGCAACACAAUUGCGGAGGGAGAGGCUCGAAAAUUGUAAGGCGAUAUGCUUUCCCUAUAUUGACAUGAAGGAGCUUCCCAAAGAAUUAGAUUGCCCUGAAUUGCACAUCUUUUUGCUUUUCAACAACAAUAUAUCUCUUGAAAUUCCAGAUUCGUAUUUCAACUCUAUGAAGAAACUUGCAGUUCUAAAUCUAACUAGCGUACGUCUCACUCGUUCACCGACGCCAUUUCAGUUCUUGGAGAACUUAUCUACUCUGUGUCUUCAAAAUUGUUCACUAGAGGAUGUGGCCAUUCUGGGCAAGCUAAAAAGGUUACAAGUUCUCAGUUGUGUGAAUUCCAACUUUCAACAAUUGCCGGAAGAAAUUGGGCAACUAACAGAGUUGAGGAUGUUGGAUUUGAACUAUUGUUGGCAUCUUCAGAUAAUUGAACCGGGUGUUCUUGGAAGAUUGAUCAAAUUGGAGGAGUUGUAUAUGGACAACAGCUUUAAUCAAUGGAAUUUCGUGGAGCAAACUCAACCAACUAAUGCUAGUCUGAUUGAGUUGAAUCACUUGAAGUAUCUUUGCACUCUACAUGUCUCCAUUCUCGAUCCAAGUAUGCUCCCAGAGGACCUAGAUGUCAAGAAAUUAACCAAGUACAAAAUCCGAAUAGGUAAUACAAGACGCUGGAUCAAUGACCAAGGAUCGAGGAUUUUGGACCUCAAGUUGGAUCCAAUAAGUGAUGUUCUUCGAAAAAGAUGCAUGCAAAGUCUCCUAAGCAAAACAGACGAUCUGUUUUUGGCCGGGUUGAACGGAAGCGAGCAAAGCAUUUGUGCAUUAUAUCAAGAAGGCUUUCCAAAAUUAAAGCAUCUACUGGUCUACAAUAGUCUUUAUAUCCAACACAUCCUCCGAUGGCAUUCCUCCAAGUCCUUCAGUACAUUAAAAGUAAUUCGAGUCCAAAGUUGUGACAAGAUGGAAUUUUUGUUUCCUCUUUCAUUACUAAGAGGACUUUCACAACUGGAAGAGAUUGAAGUUGUCUCUUGCAAGUUAAUGCGUGGGAUUGUAGAUGCUGAUGAUUGUGGAAAAGUGGAGUUGCAAAAUUUGCGUGUAAUGAAAUUGCACGACUUACCAAAUAUCAAGAAUUUUUUCACCGUCGGGACAGCUCCUUUGAGUAAUACAUCAAAGGACCAAGUUGGCACUCAAAUUACAUUUUUCAAUGGGCAGCAGGUAACUUUCUAUCAAAAGAAUAUAAUAUUGAUUACUUUUUCCUACGUAUGCUAAUUAGAUGCAACACAUAUUAUGUUGCUUAUUCAUUUUGUUAUUUUCAUUUCAAUUUUUUUUCCUAAUAACGUUAUCCGUUCAUGCCUUCUCUGCAAUUCUUUUUAUUGUGUAGAAAUCCAAUGAAAUCCAUGUACAUUUAGUUUGUGAUAGGCUUUGAGUUAAUUUCAAUUUAAAUGCUGCAAGCAUAUCUAUAUUAAUAAGGUUUCAUAAAGCAAAUUUGAAGGGAAUUUCGGCACUAAAGUAAUAUCACAAGUAAUUUUAAAUCUUUUGAAAUAGAUUCUAUUGAAUUUACUUAUCAUAAUAUAGGUGACUCUCCUAAAAACUGAUACGAAAAAUGGGAAAGAGGACUGGGUUUUUUAAAUAAAAGCAACUAUGCUAAUCUAAUUGAUGCAUUAUAAGAGUAUGGAGUUUUGUGCAUGUUCAUGCAUACAUAGAUAUCUUUGUACGUACUUUUGAUAUCACAAAAACAAAUUCACAAUUUGUGUUUAAUAUCCUAUUAAAUUGGUUAUUGACAGUGAUUUACUAAAGGUAAAGAGAAGUUAGUAAACUAAGGAUGAUCAAUUGCCCAAUUAAAAAAAGCACAUGGCUAUUUUAUAUGGGGAAGAAUUGCUGCGAAUAGUGCCUUCUAGUUGACUAGAUAAGAUUGCCCUUUUAUAGUGGCACAAUAUCCCUGAAGUUGAUCAUGAGGCCUAAGACUCACACAGUACAUUAGCUUUCUCGUCAGUAAAGAGUCUUAGAAAUUUAGGUCGUAGGUCCCACACGCUGGUGUGUGACUUAUCUUCUUCCCCUGAUUUGAGCUUCCAUGGAGAGAGUGCUUUCAAAGAUAAUGGAACUAAGGAUAAACAAUUGUUAAAACUAAGGAUAGUAAUUUACUAACAUGAAAGAGAAUAAUUAAAACUAAGGAUAAACAAUUGCCCAAUUAAAGAAAGCUCACGGCCAUAUUUUAUACCCCCACACACAGUUUUAUUUAAUUAGACAAGAUUGCUCUUUUGUAUUGGCGCGGGCCUAAGGCUCAAGCCAUACGUAGCUUCCCUAUUAAUAAAGAGCGGUGGAGAUAUAACUGGUGGGUUCCGCAAGGUUGUGAUGUCAGAGUGUCUCUUGUUCAACCCAUGCUUUGAGCUCCCACGGACAGAGCUUGCUUUCAAAUAUAAACUAGAUCGGGAAAUUUUGCCUUGUGGCUUUGUUUUUUUUGUCUUUUGUUUUUUUUUUUUGCGUGGUAGUCUUUGAGGCUUUUAAUUUUUUGGGAUUCUAAUUCCUCACAAAAGAGUUACUCUUGCCUUGGUACUUCUUUUUAUUUUUAUAUUUUUUUGUGUAAAACCUAUAUUUGCAAAGAUCCAUGGAUUUAUAAUGAAAUACUUCUUAAAACUGUAAUAAAUCUCCUCCAACAUUAUAAAGCGGCGGUAGCAUACAAAGUAGUAGUUAAGGUUUGUCACGGAUGACAAUAGACUAAUGAACGAGGCACAAAAGUUAAACUUGUUGUAUAGGUGGGAGUGAGGGGUGAUGGCGAGAUAUAUGGAGAUUGAGAGUAACUUGGCAUAUGAAAGCUUUCUUAGAGUUGCAGCGAUGAACUUUCGGAAAAAAAAAAAAAAAAAACUAGUUACUCUUCGCGGAAAAAAGAAGAAGAGUAAAUAAAGCUUUCCAUUGUCAUGGGGACCAUGGGUCUCUUCACCUUUCAGACAUGUUGAUUAAUGAAAUUAUGACGACAAGGAUGACUAAUUAGGAUAGGCCAUAUAUGCAUCCGACUUGAAAGGAAUACUCAAGAUAAUUUACAAAUGAUAGGGAAAAGGAAGUUCAAAUAAUCUCAAGUAAUUUACUAUUUUUCAAGGAUAGUUGGGAUCUCAACCGGUGGUGAUGACUAAUGACUACUAAGUUAUUGUGAUAACCCAAUUGUUGACGUGUCUAAUUUCAUGUUAUUUUGUGGGUAAAUUAGUCCUUUUUUGCCUAAUAAAUUUGGAGAAAUCGAAGACAUCUGAGAAGGAAAAGACAAUAAAAUGCUCAUCUUGUUAGAUUUUAUCAAGGAAGCAGGCAAUAAUAGUGUGUGAAAAGUCCUCCUGACCUAAAUGAGAAUGAUGUCACGUUCAGCUAUCAACUCCCUAUGUCCGUAAGUCACGCUCAUACCAUUGCUCGCCCAAGAUUUAAUUUUUGAGUUAGGCUCAUAACUAGAUGAUAUAUAGUAGGACCAAUCUCACCUGAGACUAAUGGGACAUAAGCUGUGUAUAUCUCCAUCUAAUCGAUAUAAUUUGACAGUUAGAAAAAUAUUUCAUGCAUAAAUUGAUUGUUAUUAGUAACCGGAAUGAGAGCGAAUUCUUGAUGAUUGAAAUUCCUGAUAUUGCUAGUAAAAUACAAACAAAAUCCAAUCAUAAUAGCAUCCCUUUUUAUGUCGUAAAGAAAAGGUAAAGUUCAUUAGUUGUCUUUUAAGUCAUAAAUUAGCUUUUGUUUAUCAUAGAUUUUCAUACGUGUGAAAAUUAUCCUAAAGGUUGUACACUAUCUUGCUUAUAAAUUUCUUCGGCAACCAUUUAUAAUACCUGCUAUAUACGUAAAUUUCCUAACUGUCCUUUGUAAUUGUAAAUGCUAUGUUGAUGGAUUUGUCCGUUACAUUUCAAUCCUGUCCUUGUAGUCCUUGACAAUGGGAGGACUUCCCAAUCCAAAAGAAAUAUGCUAUCAAACUAAUUGUAUGAAAUCCUUAGUUUGUGAUAGGUUAUGAAUUAUCUCAAUUUACAUGUUGCAAGUAUAUUUAUAUCAAUAGGGUUUCAUCAAAACAAAAUGAAGGGAAUUUUGGCAUUAAAGUAAUUCCAUAAGUAAAGUAAUAUAUAAUCUUUUGAAAUAUGUUCCCUUGAAUUUAGUUAUCAAAAUUUAUUAUUAUCCACAAAAUGUAUAAUAUAGGUGACUCUCUUAAAAAACAAUACAAAGAAUGAGGAGGAGGACUGAAUUUUCAAACAAAAGCAGCUACACUAAUCUAAUUGAUGCAUGCCUUUUGUGUAUGGUGUUUAAAUAAGCACUUAAUCAUUGCAUAGGCCCAUAACUAUAAGAGUACAGAAUUUUGUGCAUAGUUUUUUAUAGUAAAAGUAGGCCUUGGCAAUUGUAUGAUUUUCAUUAUGUCACAACAAACUCGUCAUUGCAAAUUCAGAAUUGUUGUUCUUGGAAUUCCUAAGUGAUGUUCACCAUUUCUUUACUCCACACAGCAGAAUUUGAAAUCCCCUGUGGUAAAAUAAAUUAAUGUCUCGCUAUAUAAUUCAUGCGCAAGAUUCACCUUAAAGAUCAUCUUAUUUGGCGAUCACCCUUAGAUGCUCCUUUGGCGAGAUUGGGUCACGUGAAUAAGGCCAUGUCUGUAACAGCAUCAAAUAAUGGAACUUGAUGCCUUAAUGGAUAAUUCAAUAUCUUGAAGUCCAAAAAAAAUUAUAGAGACUUACUUCAUAAGUUUUGACGGGUUUUGUUUUUCAAUUCAGCUACUUAGUAUGUGUUAGUUUAAUUUCCAAAGCUUCAAGUGUUCCAUAUUAUAAUCUUCAAGAAAUUUGUGCCGAAUUUUCAGUUUUCUUAUUGUUGAGUCCAUCCAACUUAGAUUGUAACUUUUAUGUGGCUUCAAUAUUUUAUCAAGAAAAACCAAUGGUUGCCUAGUCUCGCAGGACCAUAUGUGGUCAUUGUGGUUUCUCUCCGCGGCAAUCUACAAAUCUAAAUAUCAAGUCCGUUCAACUAAAUGUCUUUGCACUUGGCUUUCAUAGUAUGUAUAGAUAUAAUUGAAUGCACUUUUAGCAUCAUGAACACAAAUCUACAUAUUUAUGUUUGAUAUCCUAUUAAAUUGGUUAUUGAUAAUGAUUUACUAACAUUAAACUAAGGACAAAAAAUUGCCCGGUUAAGAAAAGCGCACGACGAUUUUGUCCAGCAAAUGUUGAGGCGGCUAUUUUGUUGACCAGAAAAGAUUGCACCUUCGUAAGGGCGAUUAGCGCGAAAGUUGAUGGUGGGGCCCAAAUACUAUUGCAAUGUAUUAAUUUCCCCUUAGUCAGUAGAGGGUCCUGGACCUAUUUGUUGUGGGUCCCAUAAGGCAGUGUGUGUGAGCCUUUAGGUCUUCGCUUUUUCAUAAUCGCCUUAGUCUUUGGGGCUUUUAAGUUUUGUCGUAGUUCUCAUCACCGGCCAUGGAUAUCAAUUGAACUUCUUUUGGGUUGAAAUUUGCGGUGGAAAGUGUUGUUAAGUUUGCUUUAUUACACAGAGAGAUAAAUAAUGCUCCACUCGCUAAUCCAUUUCCGAAUGAGAAAUUCUUCUGAUGGAAUAAAACUAGCUCACUCAUAAGAUUAAGCUCAGUAUCGCAAGUUUUUUUUUUUUUUUGAAGGAAAGACUUGAAAUUAGAAAUGAAGUUAGUAUGGAGAUUUUUUUACUCCAUUUUUCGGUUUUAUUAUUCUUCUUUUUUUCCUUUUGUGCAACUUAAUAAUCCCCCUCUUCCCUUGGCACUCUUCUAUAUUUACAUCUUGAAAGUUCAUGAAUUCGAGAUUUAAAUUAAUUACCAUUUUCAUGAGUAAAUUCCGCAGGUUGCCUUUAAGAGAUUGGAGAAAUUAGAAAUCGAUGGCUUGGCUAACCUCAGGUAUAUAUUUUUCCCAUCCAUGGUUAAAUCUCUCACACAGCUGAAAGAAUUGACUAUAUCGAAUUGUGAGAAGAUGGAGGCGAUCAUUAUGGAGGAAGAAGGGUUGGGAAUGGAAACAUCAGAAAUUUUGGCAUAUCCUAUGUUAAUCGAUUUACGCUUAAAACGAUUGAAAAGUUGGAGGUGCUUUUCUCGUGGAAAGUGUAAGAUAAUUUUUUGUUUUUAUCACUAAAGAUUGUCUUGUAGAUAUAUUCAUCUUUGCAAUACAAAUGGUGAUAUUCUUUUCAUCCAAUGAAAUACCAAUUACAGGUGCACGAGAAAGUCAAAGUCAGGAUUGCGUCAGAUCACGCGCCACUGCACUCUUCAAUCAUGAGGUAUGUGAUUAACAUUAUGUCAAGAUAUGAAAUAUAUCGGAGACCAGCAUAGUCAAGAUAAAAACUAAGGAAGUUACUUAUAAUGUAUAAUUCGGUUAAAAUUUUUUAAUAGAAAAUGAGUGGGUUACAAACAUAAGUGUUCAGAGACAUGUAUGAGUUGCAAUUUCUCACUUUUAAAUUCUCUAGACAUAGUUUCCAUAAAGAUGGUUGAACAUCUCUUAUGGUACCUACACAAAGCAUUAACGGGUAAUACAACUAUUGAAUAGGAUCUCUAAAAGCUUUCCAAUAUUCACAAGAAACUUAAAACUCUGAACAACCUUACAUGUGUGGCUUAGACAUUGCACGCAUGUACAUUGAAAGCAACUGAAAAAAACAAUCAAGAGGAAAGUGAGCUGUAAGGUUCAAGAGGCUGGAGAUGAAGGACCUUCAAGACACUCACUUGAUUUCAUUUGCACUUACAAUAUCUCAUUUUCUCUCCUAGUUGAAGGAAGUUUUACUCUUUCAUACCUACACCAGCAAAGGGAAUCGAAGCCUUCUCCGUCGCCUAACUGAGCAAGACCUCUUGAGUCUUGGGCUUCAGUUAUUACCCCCUCUUAGUUUUUACAUGAACCACAGGACUAUUCUUAUAAAAAUUUUAUUAAAGAAAUAAAAUAAUUUUGCAAAUCAGCCAUUUCAGUUGAGUCAUUUGAAUUGUCAACCACAUAGCGGAAGAAUGUUUCCGUGGAAAAUGAAAUAGAGCAGCGUGUGGGUUGUUUGACUUUGACUAAACUAAAAGCAAUAUAGGCCGUUCACCUAAAAUGUUGUUUAUGCAGCCAAAAUAGGCUGUACAAAUGGGCCCUCCCAUGGGAUUAAUACGUCAACCUUCUUAGAUAUUUGUAAUCUAUUAUAACGAGAUAUUUAGCGCUGUUUUUCUAUAAUUUGACUCGAGAAUAUGUAUAUGAUCUAUCGUUUUCAUAUGAGUAUUGGACCUUCCAGCAUUACCAGAAAAUCAACUUUAAAAGGAAAAUUCAAUCGAUUAAGUAUAAAUAGUCAUUUCAAGUGUGGAAUGAUGCGAGUAGGAUUUGUUCAUUUGACCCAAGCAAUUCUUUUUUUAAUUGCUUUCUCUUAGCCUAACUAUGUAAUUGCUUUAGAGUGAUGUAAUAUUGAUUUGGGGCAUUUGGUAUUAGAUAAAAUCAUACCUCCUACUGUAAGGUACCAUUUGAUGGUUGAUUGAUUGCCUUUUUAAUCUCAGUCUCUCCAUCAUUUUCUUUCUAAUGGCUGAUAUUCUUCUUCAAGCAAUCCCUCAGUUGCAUUCUUCUUUUACUACAUCAAUUCAGUGACUUCUUUAAGGGUGAUUACUGUUUGACUUGCUUCUCGUCUCUUUAAACAAAUUCUUCCUCAUUCUUAAUUAAUUUACAAAGUGGUGCAAUUUCACUGAAGAAUUUCAUCCAUAUUGUAACUUAAAUGACCUUCUCUAAGUGGUUUAACAAUUGCUAUGUAUAGUAGCUAUUUCACUCUUGGGCUAGCAAGAAAAGCACAAAGGGAGAGAUUUUAUUUGAGUUUGGGAUCUAUGAAACAAUAACUCAUUAGAUGAUUGUUACAUGAGCAUAUCCAAAUUACCAUUUUGCCAAUAAACACAUUAUGGUUAGAAUUCCUACUUAGCACUUUUUGUUUUGUCUCUAGUGUACUCCAAUAGCCUUCCCAUUUUAGAGUCAUUGACAUUAGUAGUGAGAUUUUUUUUUUAAAAUUAUUUUCAUUUUAUUCUUUUUUUCUUUCGUGCAACUUAAGAUGGAAUUAUCAAUUCCAUGAAUUCGUAAUUUACAUCUUGGAAGUUCAUGAAUUCGUAAUCUAACUGAAUCAACAAUUCUAUGAGUAUUGCAGGUUACGUUUCCUAACUUGGAGAAUUUAUAUAUCGAGGGUAUGGAGAAUAUCGAGAUGAUAUGGGAUGGUCAAAUUCCUGCGAAUUCUUUCUCUAAACUAAAAUUACUUUCAGUGAAUGAAUGCAACACGCUUGUGAACAUUGUGCCUUCUUUCAUUCUAGGACAGCUUUUGAGCCUAGAAACUUUGAUGGCAAGAGCGUGUGAUUCCCUUGAAGUUGUUUUAAAAUUUCAACCACUAAAUCCUCUAUAUGGUAAUAGUGUUGCUCGUUCUCCAUUAAAAGAGCUAAAGUUAGAUGACUUAUCAAUGCUAAACUGUGUAUGGGAUAAGGAACUCUACCAUCAUAUUAAAUUCCAACGUCUACACUUGUCCUUUCGAGGAUGCACUAGGCUCGCCUGUUUGUUUUCGACCUCAAUAGCCAGAGAUCUAAUCCAACUUGAGGAGUUGGAGAUCAAUCAAUGCAACAUUGUGGAACUCAUUGAGAAGGAAGGACUAGAUGGGCUGAGCAUCAAUGUGGAAGCCAUAGAAGGCCCAAGUCAUGAGCUAAAAGUAGCAUCAUCCUUUCCAAGUUAUUUUCAACAUUUGAAGACUCUAGAUGUGUCACAUUGUCAUGGGCUGUCAAAUAUGUUCACAUCAACAAUGGCUACAAAUUUGGUGGAACUCACAAAAUUGAGGAUUAGUAAAUGUGAAAUGUUGACAGAAGUCAUUAGUAAUGAGGGAGGAAAGGAAGGGCAUGUAGUGGCUUUUAAUCAAUUGAAGUAUAUGGAGCUCGAUGGGUUGACUAGGUUGAGAUGUUUCAGUACAAGUGGAUACACUUUGAUGUUCCCUCUCUUGAAAGAUAUCAUUGUGAGUAGAUGUCCCAAGAUGAAGUUCUUCUACGAGGGACCAAUGGAGGUGCCAAAGAUGGAGAGAGUACAAGUAGGUUCGAAAAAAAGGUAUGGAGUGAAAAAGUGCGAGUAUUUUUGGAAGGGAAACCUCAACAUGACCAUCCAAAAUAUGUUUGAAGAAAUGGUACGCUUCACUAAAUUCUAUGCAAUUUGAUUUUUUUUUAAUCACCGAUAAAGUAAUUGCUUUUUUUUAUAACUAGAAUUUUACAUUUAAUGAUGCAUUUUCUAAUAGGCUACAUUUGCUGGGACUAUGUUUAUGUGGUUGUCUGAGUUCCCGGAGCUGAUUGGAAAAUGGCAUGGUGAACUUAAUCCUGUCACGUCAUCUUGGCAAUUAAAAACACUAGUGGUGGAUAAAUGUCCAUCAUUUGUUAACGCUAUUCCAUCCAGCUUUAUGCUUGUUUUAGAGAGAAUGACAGGAUUGCAAGUGCAUGAUUGCGAGGCUCUGGAAGAAAUAUUCGAUCUUGAAGGGCUUGAGGUUGUGGAUUGCAAUCAGAUGCUACCUCAGCUACAAUAUCUGUACUUGGUCAAUCUACCAAAGUUGAGGCAACUAUGGAAUAGAGAUCUUCAAGGAACGAUGUGUUUCAAUUCUCUAGCGCAUCUUAGCCUUUAUAAAUGUAGCAACUUGAGACAUGCUUUUGUUCCAUCAAUGGCUCGAUGCCUUCCCCAUCUAUGGAAGAUGGAAAUAAAGGACUGUGAUCAAAUGGAAGGAGUGAUCACAGAUGAAGAAGGGCAAGGAAGCGCGGUGGAGGAGAUUACAUUCCCAAAACUUAUGUAUAUAACUUUGGAAUGCUUGCCCAAUUUGACUAGUUUUCUCUUGUGGAAGAAUCAUAUGCUAGAAUGCCCUAAGUUGUCAAUGUUGAGCAUUGCCCAUUGCCCCAAGAUGAGAAGUCUAACUUGGCAAUCUUCGAUGGAGAUCGACAAUGGCACUCCUUCCCUUUUCCCUCCACAGGUCAGUCUCUCAAACAAAUGCAUUUUUGGCAUUUCAUUUGAACAUAUUUGUUUGCGUAUAAUUGGACAAUGCAUGAUGUGUAGACAAAAGUGCUAGAUAUAAUUGUUUGUAAUAUCAAUAAUCAUGCUUUGCUCAAAUUUGACCUGAUCUCAUGUUUCAUACCUUAACAAAGAUGAUCAGAAUAUUUGCCUCACCACAAUAAUCCAUGAUCACAUCCAUAAAAGUAUUAAUGCAAAAAAAUUCAGACAUUGAUAACCAUGUGCGGUUUUAAUAUCAUUUAAUUAUACAGAUCUAUGUACAUAAUCUAGUAAUAUUUACUUAACAGAUUAAAAUUUUUAUAAUCCUCAGCAAAUAUAAGUAUCAAUUGUACAUCUCCAUAUAUCUUUAGAAGUGUUAUUUAUGUAAGCUCAUAAAAUCAUAUUGUGUGUAGUACUUCAAAAUUGAUUAUAGAGGGAUUUUAAAAAAGUUAUGACAAUAAACAUAUGAAAACAUUUACUUUUUGCAAUUUCAACUAUAAAGAACAAAACUGAAAACAUAGAAUAACAUAUAAAAAUGGCAAAAAAAUAUGAAGUAUAGCCCACUUCAUAUUUUCUUACGUAGAAACAAACUGGCGUCGUUCCAUUAAACAUGAAGAAAAGGGGAAGAGAAACUUCAUAAUUAGAAAAGCCUAAUUCACAAAUUGCGUAGCUAUUAUAGCUCAUUGUACCAUGAUCAUCUUCCCACAUCAACAAAACUGGAGGAAUUAGAGAGAAUUGCUCUUUUAAUCGGAGUGCUCUAAACUUCAAUAAUGAUUAGUGCAAUGAACUUUUUUAUAUCUUAAUAAUAUUCAAUCCUCGAACUGGGUCUUGAUAAUAAAAUAAAUAAAAAUAAAAAGGCCAAUAUGCAUGAAGUUGUUCGUCUUCUUUGUUUGCAAAUUGUACUUGAAUCACUAUACUCCAACAACCUAUCAAAUUACGAACUUGUAUCAUAUAAUAAAUAUUAACUCUGGAUUAUCAUAUUGAGUGAGAAUUAGUGUGAUAUUGCGCACAAUUUAUGUUUGGCAAGAGAAAAUGCAGAUUGUUUUUUCCAGAAAAGAAAUGGCAAAAAAAAAGGAAAAAAUAAAAGAGAGAAUAGGACAGCUGGACAAUAAAUAGUAGCAAUUCCGUGGGUGGUUGCCGGCAUUGUGAGUCAUAUUUCAUAACUAGAUGAUAAUAUUUAGUCAAAUGUCCUAGCUAAAAUAAAAAUUAAAAAAUUUCGGAAUAAAUUAUCCAAUCAACAACACUACUGAAGAGAAAAUAUUAGGUGCAUUAAAUACACCAUGUUGGAUCCGUAUUAAAUCAUCUACAAAUGGACAUGUGCUAAAGCUGGGCCCACCUAUCAGUUGAACGAUCAAAAUAUUUGCUCCCCCUCCCUCCCUCCCUCCCUCCCUCUCUCUCUCUCUCUCUCUCUCUCUCUCUCUCUCUCUCUUUCCUUCUUUGGUGGCCUUGGGCUCUGUCUGUUGCAGUGCUGUUACGGUGCGCUCACUAGACAAAGGAAAACAAGAAAAAAGAAAACAAAAAAAGGAAGAAAUUAGACAAAGUCUAUUCGAUGAUUUUAGCUUCUCCCACUCUAAGAAAUGUUCGCUCUGAGUCAUUUCGUUUCACCUUGAUCCUCCUCUUCGCGACGAUGGGAAAAAAGAAAGUGAACCAAAUCUACAGAGUCAAGUAACCAGUAACUCUUCUUUCUCCCCCUCAUCCUCUUACCUUCUGUUUUUUUGGGGCGAUUGAUUGGGUGGUCUGUCCAAUGGUUGAAUCGGAAGCUUCGGAAUCGCUUCUCUAAAGCUCGCCUCCUCUCUGUGCGCGUGCUUCCAUGGGUUCCGAGUGAUUACAUGAACCGGAGCUUGUUGGUUAUGGUGGGUUGAAGUGGAUCUCCGAUGCAGAAGCGAUUUCGGCGUCGAUUUAAAAAAAUCUUAUCUUCAGCCCUCUCUCCCUCCUCCUUCGUCCACAGCUGCCCGACCUCUGCCCCUCCUCUGCUGUCGCCAACGGUGGAGUUACCGGCGCCUUGAUUAGGCUGACCCUCGCUAUGUCCAAGCCGAGCAUGGCCGGCUUCCUCUGUUUUCUCCGUCUCAUCAUUCUACAGAUCUCGAAAUCUGGCCGUCCAUAGUGACGGAGUUGCAGAUCUGGAAAUCGAUCACCGUCGCUCGUAGCCAUGGACGAGCCGCUGUCGCUGUAGCCAUGGUUGCAGAUCUGGAAGUCCUGUCGCGAGUAACGAUGGCUUAUGGACUGCCAUUGUCCCCUCCGUUGACGCCCACAGUCGGCUCGUGGUCGGCCUCGUCCAUGGCCGGUCACAACUGCUCGUGGUCGUUGCCCGUCCUGAUCUGGACUGGAGUCGUGCCUCCAGAUCUGGUUUCGCCCAUGGACGCAAGCCUAGCUCAUCCAUGGCUCACGAGGAGACUCCCGCACAGAUCUGGCGACCACUGCUUGUCCAUGGCUAUGAGCCUUGACGGCGAGUUUGAGAUCUCGACGGCUAUGGACUGCGAGAUCAAACAGCGAAAGAAAAAACAGAGAAACAGAUGUCAGGGAAGAAUGGCCAUGGAUGAGAGGGCCGGAGCUUGAAUGCGGCCAUGGAUGAGCGGCAUCAUGAACGGGCAGACCACAAAGACGACGGAGAGGGUUGGACGCCAAGCAAUGGUCGCCUUGGACGCGGCGCCGGGAACUCCGCCGGUGGCGACGGCGGAGGGAGGCGGGAAGGUUGGGCUCAAUGUGGAUGGAGAUGGAGAUGGAGAAGGAAAGUGAGGUGGAUUGAGAUUUUUAAUAUUUAGUCAAUGUCCUGGCUACAUAAAAAAUUAAAAAUAAUAGGAAUUGAUCAUCCAGUCAACACUUUCAUUCCGUCUCAUGAAGUUCUCCUCAUGUGAAGACUAAACGCAAUGAAUGACAACCUCCUCCCGGCACUUCUCUUUUAUGGGUCGAAUCCUCAGGCACUUGAAAAUGCACGAUGUCGACCCAAAUAUGAUUGUUUUGACCUUCUUCUUUUUUUUAUUACAGCUUCCAUGCAAGUUUUGUUUUGUUUUUUUUUUUUCCUGACGGAGGGAAUUUUUUUUUUUAUUCUCAUAAUUCUGCGCAAUUCUUUCUAUUGUUUUAUGUGAGUAGAAUGUUUAAUUAUAACAAGUAUCUACACAUUUGUUUACUUUUUAAUUGUAAGAAUUAUCAUUAAUUAUUUAUUUAUACUGUCAUUUGCAUGUAUAAGUUAUAUUUUAAUACCAAGCCCCGCAUUCUAAGAAUAUUUCAAAAAGUCAUUAUAACACUCAAUCAACAAUACUAAUAAAUUUGGGAAAGUAUGAAAAUAAUCAUCUAAUCUUUUGGUAGUGAUAAGUUGUAAUAGCGUUAAUUUCAUUUUAAUAUCAAAUAUGAGCUGUCAUAUACUAAUUGAUAGAUUUAAGGAAGUGUGGAAAGUCAAUUCUUUUUUUUUUUUUGGUGACAGGUCAUAAUUGCAUUAAUUAUAUUGUAACCAAAUGAAAAAUAUCAAUACUUACUUUUCAAUGAAUAAUUCAUUGGAGGUCAUGAUGUAUUAAAAAAAAAUCUUGAUUUUCUCCAUACAAACAAAAUGCGAUCAGCGGGUGCACACCCACUUUUUGUCAAGGGGUGGAUCACUCGGUACACUGCAAGGUUCUAUUUUAUUUUUCCACCUCAAAUUUGAAUAAAUAUUAUUUCAAGGAUGUUAUUAAUGGUCCAAUGUAAAACUAGUAAAUUGACCCAACUUGUGUUUGCUGAGAUCAUAACAUUAUGUUAUUUAUUCAAGUCGUUAUGUUGCCCAUGCCUAUUAAGAAAUUAUUUUCUUUCAAUACAAAAAAUUUCCAUGCAUAAAAAAGAAAAAGGUUGUGAACAAUUGAAGUUACUAUAAUUUUUUUUUUUAUAUCGGGUUCGCCAUAUAAAUUUCAUGACUCUUCUCUGCAGUGAAUUGUAUUAAUUUGAAGAUUCAUAAGUACUGUUCGCAAUUUAGUAUGAAUAAUUAGCAGUGCUCAUGGUAAAUAGAGGAAAUAAUGUUGAGCCAAGCAUUAGUUUCAUCCAUUCCUUAUUCAAUACAUACACUGCUUAAGUUCUUCGCACCCACUAUUCAUAUCCUUAGUUGACUAGCUCAUCAUCACCAUGCCCUUGCUUUUUCUCUAAUUGUUAUGCAUGUUCACCUUGAAGCAAACAAAUCUAAAACAUAACUGAUCUUUGCCAACUAACAUAACGGAAAUUUUCAGCUUGUAUCACUGAAUCUAAAUGUUGCUCUUUUCAAUAGUUCUAUCGGACUGCCUAGCAAGCUCCCUAAAAUUUUUGCCAGUCUUCGUGCUUAUUCAUUACAAAAAUACAACUUGUCAUGCCUCCAUGGAACCAACAUUGUUUUGCGGGAUUCAUAUUAUGUUCUUCUUCGUCUUUGUCCUCAUUUAAUUGCAUAGAGAAACAGUUGAGUGAGUUAUCAUUGAUGUUUAGUCAACGGCUCCAUUCAUGCAUUAGCAUAAAUAGGAGGGCUCUCAUUUCUUUCUCUUUCAAUUUUGCAUUGUAGGUUUUCUUAUGCUUUAGAUGCUCUUGCAUUCAACUGGAAAUAGCGCCUCUCUCUCUCUCUGUGAUUGUGACAUAAGAGCUACUAUAAAAAAGAAAAAGAAAAAUGAGGACUUAGGAGGAGGGGGAUUAGGAUGAAGUUGAAAGGUACAGAACCAGUCUUAGCAACCAUUUGAACGAACCCAAGUUCCAUGUGCAUAAGGCCUAUCAGCCUAAUUCCCGGACUUUUAAGUUAUCGCUAUGAUUUGCCAAGUAAUUAAGAAAAGUCAACAUUGUCUGGUCACUCCAAAAUCUUAUAAAUGCAUUUAUAAUUUCAUGUUUGUUGCAAUGCAUUAUCUCUAGCCUUAGUCUUCAAUCAACUUGUAUAAAGGCAUCAAUCAACCCCUCUCUAUUUAUGUCACUAAUGAGAUCUUGACUUCUCAUGAUUUGUGAGAAUGAGGGAAGUCUGGAAAUUUCUUCUUUACGGUCAUAACUCAAUGCAAUCACAUUCAUUGUGUCAUUUUUUUUCUCAAUAUGGCAGGUACAAUUUCCUCAACUUAUGCAGAUGGAUCUUUCCCACAUGGACAAUUUAAGCAAAAUAUGGACUGACGGUCCUCUAGAAACUCUGACUUUUGAUUGUUUAUGGGAAGUGAAGGUUCUGAAUUGUAAGAGCCUUGAAAAUUUGUUUCCAUAUUGGGUGGCUACAAGUUUAACCAAACUUGGAAAACUUCAAGUGGAGUCUUGUGAGAUUGAGGAAAUAGUCGCUAGUGGGGAUGACACUCCACGCUCCAAUACUACUCAAGAUCUUUUCCCAAAACUAACCUCUCUGGUGUUACAUGACAUGCCACGACUCAAGAGCUUUUGUCCUAACUUGCCUUUGAAUUUGCCAUUAUUGAAGGAAUUACAAGUGACUCAUUGUGAAAAACUGAGCAUGUUAUCCUUUGUGGCAUCCAUGAACAGAUGGGCUCAAAGAGAUGAUCAACAAGACCUUUCAGAUCAAGAAGCACACUCUUCAUUUGAGAGGGUAUGAUUAUAGUUGCUCUCCCUUAGUUUCUACUUUGUUCUUUAAAGCAGUCACUAAUAUCAUAUCCAUUGCAUAUCAUGUCGCGUUAUGAUGUUAUAGAAAACAUGAUCUCCCCUACCUAUUAGUUUGUCGACAACAUUAAGAUAUUUCUAAUAUCUUACGUACACUUCCAUUUGUGGACAUGCAUAAGAUAUUCCAUUACCUAGAGUUACAAAAAAAAAUUUACAGUAUUCUAUUGAUAACAGAAUAUAUUCCUAAUCUAACCUAAUGGUGCUCUUGGGCAACAUCAAUAAGGAUUUGACAAGAGGCCCUCUCCAUUAUUGACACGUGUUGCACACUUGAACUUUUCUUCUCUAUUUCAUCUUCUACAAACUCUAAAAAAAUUAAUUCAAACAAUUUUUUUUUAUAACACAAAUAACAUUAGUACCUUAGUGCACUAUUUUCUACUGUAUAUUUUAAUACACUAGUCGUCGUGUUAUCCUGUUAUAAUACUAUAGAAAACUAGAAUCCCUUUCCUAUAAGUUUGCAGACAACAUAAGAUAUUUCUUAUAUCUUAAGCAUACUUCUGAAUUUGUGGACCCCGUAUGUUUUAGUGACAUCUUGAGUGCAUCCCAUUACAUAAGAUUCCAAAGAAGAUAAAUUUUUGUCAACAAGAUAAGAUAUUCCUUACAAAAGAUGAAUUUAGUGAGUGCAGGGAUCUUGAAUUUAGAUUCACUCUAUCCACUUGACCAGACCAACCUCUACAUGAGACUUUUAAAAGCUUGAGUCUUGAACACAAGGUUCUUGAGAUAUAAUGAACUUUAAGAAGAGGACCACCUUCCAUGCGAAUCAUCUUAAUAGGUUUACCUUUUACAGCACAUGAUUUAUUGUCGAAACUUUGUUGAAUUUACUUCUCUUGUUGUAUUGGCAAUUCGACAGGACUUUCCCAACUUGGAGAGACUUUUAUUAGUCAAUAACAAUAUUCAGAUGAUACAAGAUGGAAAUUUUCCGGAUGACAUGUUUAGCAAGCUAGAAGCACUAACACUAGCAUGCUUUCAUGAUAAAAAGGCCGCCUUUCCUUCCAUAUUCCUCCUAGAGAGAUUUCAGAAUUUACAAAGCCUUGAAGUCUUAUGUAGCUCCUUUGAAGAUUUAUUCCCGAACGAAGGGCUUGUUGAAGAAAGGAAACAUCCGGUGCUUGAAAAUUUAAGAGAACUUAAGUUGAACAAGCUACACAACUUAAAGUGUGUGUGGAGAGAAGACUCUUUAGUGUCGAAAAUUCUUCAGAGCAUCGAAACAUUUGAGGUUUGGGAUUGUCCCUGUUUGACAACAAUAUUUCCAACCGAGACAUCCUUCCAGAAUCUGAGAGAUUUAGUGGUGAAGAAUUCCUCUAGAUUGGUACAUCUAGUAACGAUUUCGGCAGUCACAAAUUUGGUACAUCUCAAUUUUAUGACUAUAAUAGGAUGUGAAAGAAUGAAAGAAGUAGUGACCGACGAUGGAAGCAGAGAAGGAAAAGUGAUUUCUUUUGAAAAGCUAAUAUGGUUGACACUUGAACAUCUGCCAAACUUAGAAUGCUUCUCUUCCAUCCCAAGUUGCAUAUUUAGGUUCCCAUCUUUAAGGAGAAUUAAAGUGGAAGAGUGCCCGAAAAUGAAGAUCUUUUCUAAGGGUACACUAAGCACACCAAAACUAAAUUCCGUGACACUAUUCAGAUACAAGUGGAAAGGGAAUUGGGAGAAGGGUGAUGAUCUCAAUACAACCAUACAGAAGUUAUCAGCAUAAAUCAAUGCACAUAGAAUUGGUAAGAUCCAAUAGAUGUCAUUCUCUCAUCCAUUUUUUUUUCUUUAGUCUUUCGGCAGCGCCGCAACUUUUUAAUAUUUUUUUUUUGUGACUUUUCUAUUAUUGAUUUCGUCAAAUCAACGUCACCGUCAACCCUAUCGAUGAUCUCGGCUCAUCCUUAACUGAACAGUAGGAAGCAAAGCGGGUCUCUCCUUCUCCUUCUUGACGCCAAAGGCUCUUUCUCCAUCUUUCUUCUUCUUCUUCCUCCUCCGUGGAGCGAAAUUGGGGGAAGCCUCUGCUGCCUUCACAACGGACGGAGCAAAAAUGAAGCAUCAGGAAUUGCCAGGACUGCGAGAAGCGAAGCUGCAAUUAGCGGAGCGGAGCCAAGUAGAUUCAACCAGACGCUGUCGUUGUCGCCGUCGUCACCGCCGGAGGUGGCACAACCGAGUCUGGACAGUUAGUCGUCCACUCACUUCAUCAAAGAAGAAGAAGAUCACACUCUCUCUCCGCAUCUGUAUCCGACAAAUGGUAAGUUCAUGUUUCUUCCGAUUUCGGUGUAUUAUUGUGCGUGAAUUAGGGCUCUCUUCUUCAAAUUCGUUCCACAUUCGAGUCUAAAAGCAGGAGUUCCUCAAACUAGCAAUUUAUUGCCCUUAAAUCUACAUCUUCUGUGCUGCCCUCCCGAGCAUUGGCGAGAUUUCUGCGUGUUUGACCUCUCAUAGAUGGAGAUGAUAUAUUGUGUUCAAGGUCUCAUGUUGAAAUUUCUUUAGGGAGAGAUAUCUCUGUAACAUCAUAUACAAAUUUCUAUCAGGAAAAAGGGAGAAAUCAUGGAACUUGAAAAUAUUCCGAGAAUUCCAUGCCUUGUCAAAAAUCUGAAAUGUCACUUUUGCGCCUUGAUCGCAAUAUAGUUUGGAUUGUCUGAAGAAUCACCUGUAAUCUUGAUUGGUUAAGUGAUGCUGGAAGGAUAAAUUUAUCUCCAAUUUAUACUAAAAUCUUUUCAUAGCAAGUCAAAUUAAUGAAGUGUACUUAAACUGUCUCUAAAGUUAUCGUUUAAGUACAGGCUGGUCCAAACAUUUGAGCAAAUUGAGGCAUCCUGAGCUGAUUUUUUAAGGUCCCAUGCCCCCAAGGCCUCUCACUUCUUACAUCGGCCAACAAAUUUCAAAUGGAGCAUCCCAAUGGAGCAUCCCUUUUUCAAAGGUGGUGAGGAGGCCCUCUUAUGUUGACUUUGGCUUGGUAUGAUCCCACGCUCAUUGACCCAAACUCGCAUGUCUGAAAAUCAAACAUAUGGAUGCUGUUUAUAUCUUUGCUUAUACUCUAGUGUAUUUCCAAGUUGACUUAAUGCAGUAAACAACAUGACAUGUUAUAUUCCUUGAAUUGUUCAUGGGUAUAUGUUUGAAACCAGGUAUAUGUCUUAACAAUGGAGUAAUUGAAGCAGGGGAAACAAUGAAAGGACGGUUAGUGGGACUUAAACUGGUGGUUGAGGUUUGAAAGAAUAACAUUUGUCCCCUUUUUGUCAAUACACGUGUUGGAAAGCAAUUGCUGAGGCAAGUCCAAAGAAUUAGAAUCCAAUUCCUCUUAUAUGGAGGAACUUGACAAUGUUAUUCAAUGCUGUAAAAGUAGAAUAUAUAUGUAAAUCACACGAGGAGACUAGUUGAUACGGACAAGCAAAUUGCAAAGAAUGUCACUAUCUCCAUAACUAGAGGGAAAGACCUGAAAGAUAAGGGGGUGGCUAGUUAUGGUUCUGAAAUUUCAUUGUAGAUCUAAUGACUGAUAAUUUUGUUUCCAAAUAGGGGAUACUAUUUUAUUUUGUUACAUUAAUCGGAAAUUUGAGAAAAAAAGAUGAGUUUACUCUGUCAAAUUGAUUCAGUAUUUUGAUAAAAUUUGAGUUGCGCUUGAAAUAAUUGAACAGCUUAGAUUAAAAUUUUUCACUUCCAUCCGUGUUCCGGUCAUUGAUGUCUUUGCCUUUUCCCCUGCUCUUGUGGUUUGUGUGGCUUAAAUUCAUCGUUUCAAAUAUAUACGGGACAUGGAAGGCUUUUUCUGGUCAUGUACCCUAUUGCACCUAGGAGCGUAUAUUUUGUCAUUUGACUUUGGGUUGCAGUCUGAGAUUGUCUACUAUCACUAUAAGGUUUAUUGUCAAUUAAAACUCCUAAAAGUAGCAACUACUGCCUUAUAUUCACGCUGUGUGAUUAGAUUCUCUCAUUAGUGUAUGCUUAUGUUUUGGUCUUUCUUCACCAGAAGUUGGUUUUCAACCACAUAAAUGAGGAGACUACUCCUGUUCAAUUCAUCAGGCAACAUAAUCAGGAAAACAAGGUAAUUGCAACUCUCAGGUAUUCAGACAGGUCGUGGACGGUGAAGCUCAGGAGCCGUGGACUUUUUUUUUCGCUGCUUGACACCCAAUUGCUAGAGAAGCUCGUUUGCAUUUAAGAGAUGUUUGUGUGUUUGAGCUCAUUGAUAGGGGGGAUGUGUGUUUAGAGUCUACAUUUCCACUAGUACUGGUAAGGACUUGGUUUACGUUGACAGAAAUGAAUUUUGGAAGUGUCACUUUAGAUAGUCCAAAAUAAAUUCAGUAUUCAUAGUUAUAUCUCUUUGUUUAGUCUUGGUGAAUCAAUGAAGUGUACGUCUUCCAUUCCCAUUGGGUUUGUGAGUUUCACAAUAAUCCAGAUGCACACUCAUUAAUGCUACAUCCCAAGUCUAAAUUAACCAAAAAGAAUGUGCUUCAAUGUCAAAGCGAAAAUUAUAACCUAAACGCUUAGCAUGAGAAUUUAGAGGUGUGACUUGUUGGUUUCUAAGUUGCGCUUUUCUGCACAGUGUUGCAUUCUUUUUCUUGGUCUGUCUCAAAAGUUAUGAAAUUUUCCUGAUAAGAUUUUGUAUAUUGAUGGGUGACAUUACAAUUUAGGAGAUGCCAAGUGUAGCUAAUGUGUUUUGUCUAACGUGAAAAACAUGUAAACGUUAGUAACAUGAUUGGAUGCAUUGAUUUGUAGAUCGUUGUAACUUGACAGAAGAUUUACAGCAGUACCUAUGAAAACUCUCCUUUUUCUUUUGGACCAAACAAUCUAAAUGUCAAGUGAGCCCCCAUGAGCAGUUUUGCAUGGUUCCAUGUUUCUGUGGCCUCCCCUGCUCUUGAAAAAACUAGAAAAUUUGAAUCGAAGUAUCCAUCUCUGAAAUUGGUGAUGCGGCCACUAUUAUCAAGGAUAGAACUGUGGUGUGGCCCCUAUGUCCUUUCAUAAUUGGCAUAGCUCAACCAUGAUGCCUUCUACAUCUUUCCCUUUAGUUGACUCUUUUCCCAAGUCGUUUUAAAUUUUUCAUAGGAAUCACAUUAGAUGUUAUUUUCUUUGGAGUGUUCAUGGCUUUAUCUGUAAAACCGGGGCAGUUUUGAUUUUGAAAUUUUAUUUUUUAAAUUUAUGGAUUCAUAAGAUGACCAAUUCUAAAAUGAAAGAUUCUAUUCUCGUUUUUUUUUUCCAGUAAUCAGUUGUAAAGAAGAUUACAUUAUAUAUAGACUAAGAGGAUGUGGUGGGGACGAUCAGUGUUAGCAACUCUUGAACUUUUGUCAUGAGAGUUAAAAAAUUAUGUACACUACUGUAGAGUCUACAAGCACUGUAUUGUGAAAUCUUAACUUCAAGUUGCAGGUUGGGAUUGAAGACUUCUAUUACCCAGUUAACACUAUUAAUUGAACUCCCUGAAACUAGUAAAUACUAGCAUAAAUUUACAUUUGUUUGCGUUUUCCAUUUAUUAUUUCUUUGUAUUUAUUCUUUUCCUCAUUAUACUACAUUGGUAGUGUUCCUUGUGAAUUCAUAAAGAAACAUUCAGAAGAACUAGCAAAUUGCAACUCUUAGGUAUUUGAACAAAUUAUGGCUGGUGCAGCUCGAGACCUAUCAACUCCAUUAUGUAGCUGGUCGGGCCGCAUUUGUGAAAGAAGCUUGUCUGGAUGAAGGGGAUGUCCGCAUGUUUGAGCUCAUUGAUAGGGACGAUUUUAUGGUCAAUCUCCAUCUCCAAUUAUGCUAGUAAGGACCUCAUUUAGGUUGAUUGAGAUGGACAUUGGAAGUGUCGCCUGCAAGCUAUGACAAAUCAAUUGGAAGUGCACUUACUUUUAGCUUUGCGUCUCUUUCUUGACCUGCUUACAGUCUUACCAGAAUUCUCCUCUUUUUUUUUUCUUUGUGCAGGUCAGAACAGAUAGUCUAAAUGUCCAGUGAGCCCUCUUGAGCAGCCUUUUCAUGGUUUCAAUUGUCCGAGGCCUCUCACUGCCCUUUAGAAUGCUGGAGAAUUCAAGUUAGAGUAUCCCUUUUUCCAGAUGGUGACAUGGCCAUCUUUUCUUAAGAAAGAAAUAAUGGUGAGGCCCAGAUCUCCAUUCAUAACUGGCAUAUCUCAAUUAUGAAUGCCACCUAUUUUAUAUAUGUGCCCUAUUGUGCAAUUUUUUCCUGCAUUAAUUUGCUUUCUAUAGAAACACAGGAUAUAUUAUCUUCCUUGAAGUGGUCAUGGUUAUAUGUUUAAAACAGGCUCCUUAACAACUAAAGGGACUAGGGAAAAACAAUAAGUCAGACAGUAAUCAGGAAAUUACCUAGUGAUAGGUGGGUGUGGAGACAAGGUCAGAGGGUUGAGACAGGCAAUAACAACCAUAAAUUAGGAAUUUAAUGAUUUCUAAUUGAAGUAUAAAUUCUUCCCAAAGAUUACUACUUGGCACUUUCUCUGUCUUCUAGUUUAAGUAUAAAUUCCUUCCAAAAAUGACUACUUGGUACUUUCUUUGGCUGCCUAGGCUUGGGAAGAAGAGGCGACACGAAAUGUCCAGCUUAAGCAAUAGCUAUUGCAACAGGCCUAGGCUUGGCAUGACUAGGCUCACUGCAACAGCACGGCAACACUAAUCGGGAUAUUGCUUCCUGGCAACAAAUGGUUUACAAGAGCUACUAUUGCAAGCAAGUUCAAACUUGCGAUCAGAAAUGAAGUGAAGGUAGUGUGACCCUAGACCUCGAAAAUGAGUCCCACCACCUCCGUAGUAUGAAAAAAAGAAAGGCAGCUAAUUUUUUUUUUUGCCAGGCGAAUGAAGAUCACUUUUUGUGUAUAUGUAUCCAUCUAGGAUGCUAGGCGUAGCUUUUCAUGUUUGUUCAAUGCGUAUCGCAAUGUGAGAUUGGUGACUUGGAAAUCCACCAGAUUUGUGCAUGUCUCUAUAUUGAUCACACAUACUUAGCGUAGAGUCUAAGAGCACAGGAUUGUGAUAUUUUGAUUUCAGAUUGCAAGUUGUGACUAAAGACCAUCUCAUCAAGCCUUUUAGACUGCUAAUACGGAUCUCCAGAAAUUCCAAAUACUAUCAUAAAUGUACAUCUUGUUUGCCUUUUCACUUUAGUGUAUGCUUACAUUUCUUUGUCUUAUCAUACAUUGGCUGGUCAAAUGUCUUCAUGGGCAGAGCGUUCCUUAUAAAUUUAUAGAGACAUGCAGUCAAGAAAACCAGCAAAUUGCUAUUCUUAGGUAUUCAGACACAUUGUGGCUGGUGACCAUCAGGAGCUAUCAGCGCUACGCUGCAGUGAACUUCUCUAUUGGUUGGUCCAAGUUUGUGAGAGAAACUUAGUCUUGAAUGAAGGGCAUAUCUGCAUGUUUGAGCUCCUUGAUAGGGAUGAUUUUUAGGUUGAAUUGGGACGUGAACACUGGAAGUGUCACUUUAGGCCAUAUACUAGUUAGAAGCGAUCUAUGCCUCUUUUCUGUUGUGAUGAACCGGAUAAAAGUCCCUUUUAUUUCUGACUGCUUUUUUCUGAACUAGUUACAAUCUUAUAAUUUCUAGGCCUAGCCACUCCAUUUAUCGGAUAUUGUGAUGAAUAGCCUUGCACACAUUUUUUACUUUGGGUAUUUCUCUUGCGCUUGUAACGCUUUUAUCAUUGCCUUCUUGGAAAGGACCUUAGUUCAGCAUUAUCGUGGUUCUGGUUAUUCGACCUGGUUUCGUAGAACAAAUGAAAUUUAUGCAGUAUGCCAUCAGUCAUGGUCGCUUGAUAGUUUUCAAAAAUGGGAGAGAUAGACUCUAUACUCAUGUAAUUAUAUUUGAUUAAAGUGCUUAUAUAGAUACAUUAUCCCCUCAAGCAGGAUGAAAUAUAAAACCCAGAGGGCGAAUUCCUCUCGAGAAAAUGGGAAGAAUCUAAAGACCUCACAGUCCUUGAAGAUUCAGAGGGUUCCUGGCCAUGUUGGAAGCCAUUGGCUAAACUGCAUUUACCUUCUUAUCUGCCUUCUACGGUGAUGAAUUCGUUUUCAAUUUGUGAGUUUCAAAGUGAUUAAAUUGCACACUCAUUCUUUACCAAAAAAAAAAAAAAAUUGCACACUCAUUGAUGCGAGUUUUCAAAAUAAUAUGCUUGGAACCAAAAAGGACUAAGUUUCGAACGUCAAAGAGUGACAGAAGUUCCAAAUUGUUCCUCAAGAUUUGGAGGAGCGAGCACACGACAUAGUUUUCUUAGUCACUCUUCAAAUUUUUAAAAAUUUGAUGAGAAGCUUUUGGUAUGUUAGUUGAUGGCAUUGAUUUGGGUGUUCGAAGUUGUAGUCAAUCAGUUUUAUCUAAUACGAAGAGCGUGCAAACUUCUGUUUUAUGUUCACAUUCGUUGAUUUCCAAACUAUGCUGGAUCUUUUCAUAGUAAAUCGAAAAAAUUCACAUAUGUGCCCAUGAGAGUUCUUUUUUUAACCGGAGGUCAGACCAAACAGCCUAAAUGCCCAGUGAACCCUGUUGAGCCGGUUUUUCAGUGUUUUACUUGUCCAAGGCCUCUCACUGCACUUGAAAAAGCUUAGAGAAUUUGAGUCAGAAUAUCCCUUUUUCAAAAUGGUGAUAUGGCAAUUUCUUGUCAUGAAAGGAAAAGAACUGUACAUUCCUCAUCUCCAUUCAUCAUUGGCAUACUUCAAAUAUGAGACAACGUGACAUGUUAUUUUCGUUGAAGUGUUUGGGGCCAACCGACCAUCCUAAUGGCCGAGUAAUGGAACUUGGUAAAAUGGCAAUCAAAAUGGUAAUUGUGAUACAACCUUCAUGGUUGUGUGUGUCGAUUCAGAUUAUUAACUAGUUCGUCUACCUUGAAACAAUCUACUUCUCUAGUUGCUCCAUCAAGUUGUCUUUUGCUCCCUUUUUACAAGUGGAAAUCAAGAUGUGGAUUUUUUUAAAUAAUAUUUCAAUAUUUUUUGAAUUUUUUUUAUAAUUUUGUUAUUUUCUUUUCUUCUUUUUUUCUUGCCCUUAGGGUCGGCCUGGAUGUAGGCGCGCAGCACCUCACCCAGACCAAGUGAGGGCUGGUGAGGGUGUGCAAGGAAAAAAAAGCAACUAAAAGAACCAAAAGAAAAAGAAGAUAAAAAAUUCAAAAAAAUUAAAAUAUUAUAAAAUGUCCACAUCACUUUCAGCAGUGUCAUGUCAGCGCCAGCUGAUCAAUAUUAGUAGAAUGGACUUAACUGGCACAAAUGCGAAAAGUUUAGAAUUGUAUUGACAAAAAAAAGAAAGAUUCAAUUAGCACAAUUAUAAUAAGUUUAUGAGUUUUUUGAUAAUUCUCCCGACAUUGUUUUCUUAUUAGUGAAUUUUUUCUCGCAAUUCAAGGUACAAAACGGCAUUGUUCUUCAGAAAAGCUUGAAAACGUAUAUAUAUUAAAAUAAUUUUGUGAGAACGAAAUAUCUUUUUUAUCAAGGAAUAGAAAAGGAAAAGGAAAGAAAAGCAAACAAGAAAAUAAAAAUAAGAAAAAUUACUCUUUGCCAUGCCAACCCUAACCUAAAGGUAACAAACUGUCAACACGAUACAACUUUUAUUUAUAUCACAAGAUUUUAUAUGCUCUUCGUCCAUUUAUUACUUGUCAACUUUUCCGGACUUGAUACAUCAUGACCCUUUUCCUCUUUCUUUCUUGAUUCAACAAUAGGGGAAGAAAAAAACACAUUGGACCCUUUUCUGCAAAGAUGGACUCGCGGUCUUGUCCAAAUAUGAACUAAUCGAUUAAUUGCUCAUUGAAUUCAUGUUGCUCGCAUCUAAUUCUAUAGUCAAAAAACUGAAGCUAUGCUUCGGCAUUGAGCGUGCACAACUCUUUAAUUUGACCACAAGCGAAAUCCAUGCAAGUAGUACGGUCCGACUACCCCAGCACGGUAGCACACUUUCCACGGCCGAAGCAUCUGGCGUUGCUGUAAGAGGCACUGGUGCAUUAGUUGAAUCCCCCGAUCGCGGUGUCAAACCUAAGAUCGGUCAAGACUUGACCCGAAGCUUGUGCAUAAUCGUUCGGGUAUUGCAUGCCGUUGCAUAUCUUGCAUAACUUGUACAUAAGCAUCACAUCCAGGUCACUUCUUACAAGUCAGACCCCCACAGAAGCCCCAUGAACAUAAGUGUGAGUGUAAUGAGGUGGACAAGGUCAUCCUAGAGCCCGUUUCCUCCCGUUUGGUUCUCUUUGGUUUGCCACGAGGAAACACACAACACACAAUUGAGUUUGGCUAUAAAAAGGGUUUGUCUCCAUAGUGCUAUCCAUCAUUUAUUCUUUGUUAUUAGGCUAAGCCAUUACCAAGUUUAGUCAUUUAUGACGUCACAUGGAUUUUAAUUGAUAAAUUUCAGAGCUUUUUCUAUGAAUUAUUUGUUCUUUAGUGUAAUAUGUCGUUGCCGUCCUUGCAAACCCUAAUCUCAUAAUUUUUAAUGAAAUUUCCCCCCUCUCUCUUACUAUGCAUGAAAAAUUUAAAAUUGGGAUCCUUUUAAGUCUACGAAAUAAAUUCACAUUAUGAUAAAUGACUCACUUCUUCUUUGUCUGUCCUCUUUCUCCUCUUAUUUUGCAUAGACUUGUCAGCCUCAUGUACUAGUCUUGAAUAUAUUUCUAUAUGUGACAUUGUAAAUUUUAGGUCAUGUAAUUAAUGGAGUUCAUGAAUUUUUUUUUUUUUGAACAGAGAGUUCAUGAUAGUUAUAUAACCCAAAUAACACAAUACUUCUACUACUGCUAAUACUACUACUAGGAGUGUAUUAAAAAAAGAAAAAAGAAAAAAAAAGUCCGAAAACCCGGAUCGAAUCAUCCAAAUUGGCCUGAUAAAUUUGGGCUCAAAUAGUCUUGGGCCGGCCCACUGGCCUCAAACUAUCCUUGAGUUUGGGACUUGAAUGAUUGCCAAACUAGCCCAAUUCAUAGAUCAGAAACUGUACAUAUAUAUGGCCCCUAUGUCAAUUCCCAUUCCUGCUGGUUGAGUGCUUGACUUCUCUCGUUCUCCCAUCUCCCACGCUGGUUGAGAUCCGGUCACUGUUGAGCUGCCAUUGCCACCACCGUCAAGCCCCAUUUUUGUGGCCAUCAAUCCCCACACUCACCAUAUGCCCUCCGUCCAAGACAUCUCGCUCACUCCGUCAGUCCCUCUUCUGCUUGCUCACGUCUUAGUCUUCCUUACGCUCCCUCACUCUCUACCAGUAGAAAACAAGUACUUACCAGUUACUAGCUUGUUUUGAUGUCUUAAGGUUUUUUUUUUUUUUAAUUUUCGUACAUGCUAUUUGAAUUUUUUAUUUUAAAUUUUAAAAUGAUAGUUAGUCUCUCUUUAAAAAGAUGCAAUUAUCUCACGAUAAACUCUAAACUGGUACACAUGUGAUAAAUUUACAUUCUAUUAAAUUUUAUUAUCAAAUUAUUAAGUUAGAUGACACAUGCUAAUUGAUGGAGAUACCAAUUUGGGGUUUUCUCCUCCAUUUGUUACAAUCGUACUAGUUUGUGAUUUUUUGUAGUAUUAAUCCAUUUUAACGAAAACCAACAAAUAUUAAAUUAUCACAAAUGUAUCAGUUUAUGAUUUUUAAUAGUCAAAAUAUUAAUUUGCGGUAAAUGUGUGAUGUACCAAUUUGGGGUUUUGGUUAGUCAAAAAAUUAACUUGAGAUAAAUUUAUCGCGUGUAUACCAAUUUUAGAUUUUUUGUGACAUUAAUUCUUUAUUAUUAUUUUUUUGUUUAACAGUUUAUUAGUUACAUUUAGAUAGUAGAUGGUAGUGGAAAGUGGCCGUUAAUGACGAUUGGCACUUUUUAAGUGCUAAAUGACGAAAAUCGCCUCUGAAUUCGUCUAAAAUCUAACCCGAGCUAUCAUCAUAAUUUGGUUUUUAAGGCAAUCUAGAUCGAGAUAUCAAAAGAGGAACCUCUCCCUUAAAGAAUCUACAAACGUGGUAAUGCUAUUUUAUAAACCAUAUUCUCUAAUAUCUUUAUGUUCAAAUGAAAAUUUACGUAGAAUAAUAAUCGAGUUGGGAGAAUCAUUACCUACACCCAGUGCAAACUCUAUUCCUCUCACAGCAAGCAUGUAUGAAGGCCUAAUAAGAGUGAAAGUCAAAUUAUUCGUAAGUUGUUCGAGCUUGGGUUGAUGAUCAUUUGAGAAGUAAUAUUUAGUCGAGCUCUAACUCGAGCUACUUGAGUAUCUUGCAGAUUGAAAGCUCGAGCUCAUCAACACUCAGCUCAAUAAACUUUGUAAGCCUGAUUAAAAAAAGCAAUUGUUAAUAAAAUUAAAUAUUAACAUCCUCAUCUGCGCACAUGUAAUAUAUAGUAUAUCAUCUUUUUGUUUGAAUCAAGCUCCAGCAUUAAACUAAUGUUUGGGUGAGCUCAAAUCUUGUUUUAAACAUCGAGUAUGAAGUUGAGUGGAUCUCGAGUUUGGCAUUGUAGUGGCUCGGGUGGCUCAAUCAGAGAUCCCUAGGCCCCAGCCGUGUUGACAUCCAAUUCGAUUAAUAAGAGUCUAUGUGUCCAUUGAAGCAAUUAAGAAUUCUGACGUGCAAAAUUAUCAAGAAAUCUCAUUGCUCAAGAUUGGGUUGUGAUCUUCGUCACGCAAGUUUUAAAUCCCCUAUAAUUUUCAAUCCCUAUAUUAACCAAUAGCUUAGAUGAUAAAAGUAAGUGAACAUUAAUAAAUGUAGGAAAUCUUCAAAAGUCACCUUUCCUAGGUCCUAGCUGUAAUCUCGUGGGGGACGUAGCUUGGCUUAAAAAAUCCUUGCUGCAACUUUUCUCCGACAAAAUGGCACUCCAGUUCUCUCUCCUCAGUUCUAUGUAUUUGUUUGUUUACUGAAAAGAGGGCUUUUGCGGCAAUUUUUGUCUCAAUAUAAUUUAAUUUCGGAUAACCAUUUGACAAUUGAAAAAAUCCCUCGGCCGAUAAGAAAUCUUUAAUUUCAAAUGUCCGCCUUUGCGUUUUUCAUAUAUUAACUUGGAGUGUACAUAGAGAGAUCCUUGAUAAUUUCAACUUUUUGAAUUAAUUGGUAAAUCACUAAGCUCCGUCAUGCUAGUCUCUCUCAACAAGUACUUCUUAUUAUUAAAAAAAAAAAGAUCCAUUUUUAUUUCUCACAACUUCAAAUCUUAAAAAAUAAUUUUUUUAAUUUUCCUAGGUCUUUAAUUGAAAAAUUAACCCAAUUUCAUUCCGAUUAUCAUUAUAUAUCAUCAACAUAAACUAAACAAUCACGAUAAAUGAAUGUCCUCUCCUUGAAGUAAAUAGGGAAUAAUUAAAAAAAUCAACAAUUGUUAACAUCUGAGAAAUUAAAAAGGGAAGAAGAUCCGUCAGGUUUUCCAGUUCCUGCGUUUCUAGCAUUCGGUCACUCUCUGCUUCCUCUCUCUCUCUCUCUCUCUCUCUCCCUCCAACCCUCGAGCCGAGCUGCACCGCCUGAUAGGGGGCCUUCGACCGCUGCCGCCGCAUCUACGCCGCCGGGCCACCUCGGCGUUCGGCAGCAGCGCCGCCCCUCUCUCCGCCUCCUCCGAACACCCCCCCGCCCAAAAAAAAAAAAAAAAAAACCUAGUUUCCUGGCUUCGGUUCUCCGAGAUUGCUCGAAGAUGGACGAGGACCAGGAGAUGGAGAGGUUUGGGAUGGACAGCGAUUACGACGAUGGGCAGUGGAUCGACGGGGAGUUCUACUACCGGCGGCGGAGGGAGAAGCGCGCCCAGACCAAGGGCGACGUGCUCUACGGCGUCUUCACGUCGGGGGACUCCGAUUCGGACUACGACGACUCCUCUAAGAGGAAGCGGAGGAAGAACAGGGACCUCCUAUGUAAGGCCGAUCUGUCGAAGCCCGUGUAUUUCGUGUCCACCAGCACGAUCAUGCCGAACAGAGAGAUUGACGAGAACUCGAAGACAGAGAAUGAGGAUGACGAGUCCGCUGACGUGGAUGAGGAUAGGCCGGGCAUGGGGGUUGGUGCUGGGGUGGGUCUGGGGUUUAAGAAGCGAGACGAUGGUUUCGAUGAGAACGGCGAGGAGGAGGAUGGUUUCUUGCCGACGGCAUUUGGGCGGAAGAUCAAGGAGGGAGCGGAGAGGAGGAGAGAGCAAUCGAAAUUGGAGAAUAAAGCGCAACAAGGUGGGGCUAAGAGGGAUUCUUAUGAAUCGGGGAACGUGGGCGGCUUCGAGAAGUACACCAAGGGAAUUGGAACGAGGUUGCUCGAGAAAAUGGGUUACAAAGGGGGUGGUCUUGGGAAGAACCAGCAGGGGAUUGUGACACCCAUUGAAGCAAAGUUGCGUCCUAAGAACAUAGGUAUGGAUUUCAACGACUUACAAGGCAACUCCUGCAGAGGCACCUGUUGCCUCGUUGGAGCCAGAGGAAAAGAAGCCAUCACCUAAUGUGCCCGGUCAGGAGAAGCUUUGGUCUAAGCAAGCGACGCAGAAAAACAAAGCGAAAUAUAUUACAGUAGAAGAGCUGUUGGCGAAGAAGUAGGAUCAGGGCGUUGAAGUUGUGCAAAAGGUACUCGACAUGCGUGGACCUCAGGUUAGGGUAUUAGCAAACUUGGAGAAUCUGAAUGCGGAAGAGAAGGCGAGGGAGAGUGAUGUUCCUAUGUCUGAGCUCCAGCACAAUAUAAGGUUGACUCUGGACCUGGCUGAGUUGGAUAUUCAGAAGAUCGAUAGGGACCUUAGGAAUGAGAAGGAGAAGGAGAAGUUGCAAGCUGAGGCAAAACUCUAGAAGAAACAACUGAUUAACGUGAAGGAGACAAUGAAUACGCUAGGCCGGGUUGAGGAGGAAAAGUCAAUGGGACGUGCGAAGAAGGCUUCCUGAUGAUUAUAAACUUCGUAACUUAUCCUGCAUUGCUUGCUUAUUUGCACUCCCUCUUUGGAAUUCCACACAUGGGUUGGAAGUUGUUUCACGGUGGAAAUCUCUAUUGCAAGGACAGGAAUGUCUUGAUAUAUGGGAUUUGGGAUCCCCUUAUACCUAGUUAGUUUCAGAAGUUGUCUUGCCUGCUGUGUGAAUAUCAGGCAUUUGAAACUUGGGAGGCAAGGAAUCCGGAGCCAAUGCUUCGAUUUUUUGAAGAUUUAGUGAUUAGUCUUCUCGCAUGUGGGCGCAAAUUCAAGUUUGUCAAUUUCUUCUCAAGUGAAGGGCAUUUGGAAUUCAUUUAUUUAUUUAUUUUCUUCAUAUUAACUGAAUGUUGAUAUGCAUAACAAAAGCAAGUAUACGGGCAUCUUUGCGUCGCUGCGGCACGACUCUUCUUCAGCCUCUCUCUGUCGACAAACACAGCACCUGAGCCUCCGGCAGUGGCUUUUCGUCUUAGAAUCGGCAACAUCCCGGCGCUCUUGAACUCGAACUUGCUCUCCACGCUGGAUGAAGCUCGCUAAUUCUCUCUUUUUAUCUCUCUUCCUUGCGAGAGCUCGAUACCUCAUCCAAAGUGCAAUCAACGGUAAUGGAAAUUUGGAAGAUGGCGAGAGGAUGGGAGAAAAUAAAAGCAAAACGGAAAUCAAACAGACGAAAUUUGGAAUGAAUUGAAGACAAUUCUAGAGUUCAAUCGGAGAUGGAACGUCCCAGUAAUUGUUUUGACUGUUGAUUGAAGAAACUCCGUGGUCAAAUUCCGCUGCCACGGCAGCAAGGCGAGCGGCAUCUUCAAACCGGUAGCAACGCUUUUUGUGCUUCGAUCGGUGCUGGAAGCAACAAUCGUCAGAGAGCUCAGUCUUGAUGAAUAGUUGGUGGGUACUCCAUUCGCGGUUGGAUUCUCUCUCUCCAGAUUUUCUCCGACCAGAUGUUUUUUAGCAUCUAUUCUCUCUCUCGCUCCGGAUUCUCCUUAUUCAUCUCCACCAAUUCAGAUCUAUCUCGCGUCAGAUUCCCACAGUGAACGACACCAUCAGAUUCCAAAUUUUGAGUCGUGGCCACACUAAUUCCACUCUGAUUCUUGUCGUCGCUUUCCUGUCCUUGCACAUGUCUGGACCAGAUCUAUAUGUGGCCGGGCCAUCUCGAGCUCAUGCUGCCAUCGCCGCCAAACCAUCAUCAAGGGUGUUUCAUAUCCAAUUGAACUUCCGAGUCAAAAUUUCGAUUCACUCCAGAAAAUGUUCUGUCGAUUCUUGCUUCUUUCUGUUCGCUCCCACUUCAUGGCCAUCUUUCGAAUUCCUUUGUUUUGCCCAUUUAUGCCUUGCGCAAAGGGAAAGCGGGGUGUGUUCACUGCUUAAAAGAGCUUUAUCUGAUUGCCAAGGGUGAGGUUGGAUGGAUCAUCAUCAUCUGGACAGGAUCCGCCGAUUCAAAGGAUGAGAUUCUUUGGGUUCACUCUCGGCACUCCUGCCGGUCCGACAUAGUUUCAUCAACCAACCGCAACGGAGGGCAAUCUGAGUCAUCAAAAUCAUCCGAAAAGAUACGCCAAGCAUGAAGAUUGGCGGUGGUGAGCACGGAGAGAAAACAAGGAAGAAUAAAAGUCGCGAAGCAGUGGAUGGAGAUGAUUCGAAUUUUGCGUGGGGACUGGGGAAAACGGGGCAAACAAGGUGAAACCGGCGGUGGUUCUUUGGAUGAGAAGGAAGUAAAGUGUUGAAAUUUUUUUUAAAAAAAGAAAUAAAAGAAAAAGAAAUAAAAGACGAAAGGAAAAUAUAGAGAGCCCAUGAGAAAUCGGUCAAAAGGAAGACUUGCACGAAAAAUGUAAUCCGUCAUUAUAUUGAGCACCUUCAUUGCAAACUCGAUCCCUCCUCCACAGUGCAAUCGACGGCAAUGGGAAUUCGGCGAGAUAAUUGGAGAAAAAUGAAAUGAAAUAGAUAUCAAUAGACGUAGUCAAUAUGUAUCAAAAUUAAUUCUAGAGUCGAAUGGGAUAUGAAAUGACCUGGUGGUGAGUACCAAUAUUGACCUGACAGAUAUCAUCAUUGUUACAGAAUGGUCUCAAUCUCGAUUUCUCUUUGGGGCAACUCAACGAACACCUUCCCUAAUGUCCAUCUUCAUUUUUCAGCAAGUCUUCCUCCAUCAGGGUCGUUUCCUAUCCGAAUGAACUUCCGAGUCCAAUUUCGAUUCAUUCCAGUAUACGUUCUAUCGAUUCUUGCUUUCCUUCAUCUCCGCCUUUCGGAUUUCAAAUGCCGUUGCUCGCGUCCUUCGUUUCGUCUCUCUAUGCCGCACACAAUGGGGAUGUCUGGCUGGUGGAUAGGAUCUGCCGAUUCGAAGGAUGAGAUUCUUUGGGUUCACUCUCGGCCCUCCCGCCGCUUCAAGAAGCAGCAAGGACUUGCACAAAAGAUGGAAUAUCUUGAGAGCAAGAUUCAUCCCUAACUCAACCAUCAUUUUCUUUUUCUUUUCCUUGAAAAAGGCCAUCAAAAACUCCAAACGACGCCAUCAAGGACGCCCAUUGCGUCUCUUCGCUUCAAGUGCCUUUAUUGGAUCUCUCCCUCCAUCCCGACGCGCUCCCCGGCUCAGUGAGUUCCGAGUCGCUCCACCAUCACCCUCGCUAUCAACUCGCCUCGUGAUCGAUUCCGUCGCUCGCUGUCUUUAGAAACUCCGGUGAUCCUCUCUCUCUCUCUCUCUCUCUCUCUCUCUCUCUCUUUUCCUGUCCUUCUUCCGGUUCGAAUCAUGCAUUCGUUUUGUGGAUUCUUAGGUGUUUUGACGGAGGUUUGAAUCUGGUGUCCUUGAGUGAUGUUUAAUGCUAUUGUCGUUUUGCUCAUCGAUGGAGUUCAUGUCGGAUUUUUUUUCUUUUUUCCUUGUUUCGAACCGUGAAUCCGAGACCACUUGGAAACGAGCGAUGAUUGAACUGAAAACGUCCUGAGAAAUCGCCGCAGUGAGCGAAAGUUGUGCAGAGUUAAGCUCGGUCGAACAGUGGUUCGGUUUUCCUCUAUUUUUUGGCAUUAUAUAGUCACUUCUGGAUUCAGUUGUGGUGCGAGGGUGACUCGCUAGCCAUUCCUGAUCGGUCCUUCGGUUAACGCUUUUCUCUGUAUAGAUUUCUGAGCGGCUUGGGACUUGGAGAUGGGAGUAGCACCGAUGAGUUAUAACAUAAAAGAGGGGACGCUGGAGAUCGGCAUGGGUGAGCUUUCGGCCCUCUCCGCUUUCCAAAUUUUUUUUUUUUUUUUUUUGGAGCUACGGACAAUAAAGAUCUGCUGGGAUGCUUAAAUCUCGUAAUUAAGUUUUGUCUGUAUUGUGGGGAGUAGCUUUCUCUCCUUGUUCGUGGCUUAUUAUGUCUUUCGCCAUCUAAAUUUCACCGUGCUUGGAAUCAGAACUUUAGUCAUGGGAUAUUGUUGUUUUCGAGGCUUUCCAUAUAGCUUUCUCGUUUCUGAAAAGUUUAUGCUGCCCCUGUUAUGACAACGGUUAAUACAUUUAUUACUUAGAUCUACACAAUCUCUAUCAUUUCAUAUAUAUUGGCUGAGAGGUGAGGAAUGAUUUAGCUCUUGUCUGAGUCAAAUGUUUAGCAUGCCUUAGUCGCUGGGUCUUGUUAUUGGUUGUUCAAACAAUUGCUUCGCUACUUGCAGAGUAUAGGACCGUCUCUGGUGUUGCUGGGCCGUUGGUUACACUCGACAAAGUCAAGGUAAAUUUCACCAGUUAUAAUUUUAUGAGGUUCAGUGGACUCCUAUACUAACAUGUUGGAUUAAUUUUAUUGUAUAUCAGGGACCAAAUUAUCAAGAGAUAGUAAAUAUCCGCUUGGGUGAUGGAACAACUAGACGUGGACAAGUCCUUGAAGUUGAUGGAGAGAAAGUUGCUGUGCAGGUUCAGUCUCAGUUGCCAGCCUCUUCUUUUUUCCUUUAGCUCUCUUGAUACUGCAUUUUUGUUGUUUGGACUGCAAUACUUGGGUCAACUUUGUGUGCAAUACUUUUCAGCUGAUGACCCAGUGAAUUCUCUGUCAUUCAUUGCAAGCAUUAGAAAAAGCAGAACAUGAAGAGUAUUAUCUUAGGUAUAUGUGAUGAAAUGUGAGAACAUCAUAUGGGAUGAUAAUUGAAAUGUGAUAGAAUUUCUUGAGAACAAUGUUAAGAGUCUAAUUAGCAUUCCGUUUAGGCAAUUAUAGAUCCUCUUUGCUCUCGAGUGAUGGAAGUCUAGUCAUGGUGUGGGUUAUUUUGGCUCUGCAAAAGGCUAAUAAUCUUUCCUAUAUGUCUCUAAUUGUUGUCAAACUUCCGUAGGUUCUGUUAUUCACUAGUUUCUUUGUCAGUAAAAUUUAAAUAUAAGUAUUCUACUCAUGCUUGUGUGAUCGGUGGUUGUUCAUCUUAGACUUCCAGUACGUAAAGCUUUCUGGUCAUCCAUGUUUCACUCUCUUGUCGCUAGGUUUAUGAAGGUACUUCUGGGAUUGAAAACAAAUACACCAUUGUGCAAUUCAUUGGUGAGGUAAUUAUGCAUGCUGUUUGUUUUUGUUUUCCUAAUAAAACAAUGUUUCAUCAUUCUGUAGAAAGAAAGAGUUAGAUUUGUUUUUUUCCGUAUUUGGGAACUAAAUGCUCCUACAUGUUGGCAACAAGAUUUCACUUGUAGCAUGAGAAAUAAUUUGGCAUAUGUCUUGGGCUUGGCCUCAUGAAAGGCUGUCAAAAGUGCAUUGUUUUCCUACCUUUACAAAUCUUUUUAGCUGUGUCAGCAUUUACUCUCUUUAAUCUUGGAUAAAUAAAAAAACCUUUAGAAAUUUAUUGUGGAGUUCUCACAUUUUUCUUUUAAUGCAGGUUCUAGAAAGCCCAUUGAUAAUGGCUCUCCAAUUCUGCCAGAGGCUUACCUGGAUAUUUCUGGUGAGUUGUGUCAUUGUGAUAGUAAUUUUGAUUGGCCAUGGAGCCAUUUAUACUUCAUGGCACCUAUGGCAAUCCCAAGAUCCCAGUGAAAGAACCUUCCUGGAAGAGAUGAUACAAACAGGAAUUUCCUCCAUUGAUGUAACGAAUUCCAUAGCUCGUGGACAAAAGAUCCCACCUUUCUUUGCUGCUGGUCUUCCUCAUAACAAAAUAGCUACUCAGAUUUCCGCCAGGCUAGUCUUGUGAAGCGAUUGGAGAAGGCUGAUGGUAUUACCAAGAUAUAUGUUGCAUCUUUGUUGUAUACCAAUGUUAUAAUACCCUGCUCUAUGAGUUUUAUUGCCUCGAUAAUUUAAGGAACUACCAUUAGUUUUACAGAAUUUUCCUACGGUUUUGGAGUUCAGGUUCAGAAUUCACCUACAAUGUAUUUUAUCCUUUGACUAACUAGCUCCACUAUUAUAUGCUAGACUUCUCAAUUGCUAAAUGCAUUCUUUGUGAAGAUUUUUGAUCUUAUUUUAUUUGUUGUUUUUUUGAGAAUUCGAUGUUAUGAGCCUUCAUCUUUCUAUUCCAAACACUCUCUUUCAAUAUCAUUUAUGAAAAUGUGCUGCAAAUUUAUGUAGGAUGACAAAGAGGACAAUUUUGCCAACAAUGUUGCCAUAGUAUUUGCUGCUAUGGGAGUGUACAUGGAAACUGCACAAUAUCUCAAACGUGACUUGGAGGAAAAUGGGUCAAUGGAGAGAGUGGCCCUUUUUCCUUAAUCUGGUAAUAUCUAAUGAGCUAAUAGUUAAUUGUCUCGCAGAUUGUUUCUUUCUGGCAAUUUUUGCAAGUUCGUAGAUUCAGUUCGUGACAUAUAUCCUUGCUGAUUAAAGGGUUGUACGGAUGCCUGUAUUUCAUUUUACGAAGUUUGCUAUUUUCUUUAGGCCAAUGAUCCAACUGUUGAAUGCAUCAUCACUCCACGAGUGGUGGUCACAACUGCUGAGUAUCUGGCUUAAGAAUGUGACACAUCUAUAGUGAUUUUUUUAUUUAUUUAUUGUGAUGUCAGAAUUUCAAAAUUAUAUCCACUAUGGAUGAGGAUAGGCGGGGCUUGGGGGCCUUGGGAAGAACCAGUAGGGGAUUGUGACACCCAUCGAAGCAAAGUUGUGUCCUAAGAAUAUGGGUAUGGGUUUCAACGACUACCAAAGAAACCCCUGCAAAGGCGCCUGCUGCCUCGUUGGAGCCAGAGGAAAAGAAGCCAUCACCUGAUGUGCCUGGUAAGGAGGAGCUUUUGUCUAAGCAAGCGAACAAGACGAUGCUGAAAAACAAAGCGAAACACAUUACAGCAGAAGAGCUGUUGGCGAAGAAGCAGGAACAGGGUGUUGAAGUUGUGCAAAACGUACACAACAUGCGUGGACCUCAGGUUAGGGUAUUAGCAAGCCUGGAGAAUCUGAACGUGGAAGAGAAGGUGAGGGAGAGUGAUAUUCCUAUGUGCGAGCUCCAGCACAAUAUAAGGUCGAUUGUGGACCUAGUUGAGUUGGAUAUUCAGAAGAUCGAUAGGGACCUGAGGAAUGAGAAGGAGAAAGCUCUGAGCUUGCAAGAGGAAAACAGAAGCUACAAGCUGAGGCAGAACUCCAGAAGAAACAAAUGAAUAAUCUAGCAACUAAAUUGUGCACAUGGAACAGCGGAAGCACAAUCACGGUAGAGUCUGAUUCCGUUAGUUUGUACCCCACCUUAUGAUGCCAAAUUGCGCUGAGUUAGCAGCAUGUGAUUGGGGAGGGGUGGCCCAUAGCGCUGGAGGUGUGCAAGAACAUAGCUACAUCCGAGGGAUCGUUGACAACUGUGGACAUCGAGUCGAGGCUCGGCUCGGCUCUACGUCGGUCGAAGAGAGAGUGAUUUGGUAGAGUGAAGAUUGGCGGUUAGGUGGGGGAUGUUGAGCUUGGAAGCAGCGGAUUGAGCCCGUCGGUUUCCUUCUUGCAGUGUCAAUAGGAGCUUCGGUUCUGAGUCGGAAAGGUAGAACUUGAGCACCUUAGCUGUGUAGAAGGGAUUGAGCGGAGCUGCGGUGGCUCAGCAAUGGAUUACCGCUGGAAACAGGAUCACAAACUGCAAAACGAACACAUUUUCCAAUAAGAAAACUAUCACACCAGUCCCUGCGGAUUGGAGAUACACAUACAUAUGCAGGAUAUGCAGACAACUAGUUUGUCAACAUUUAAUUUCAUUAAAACCAUCCAUCUCCUUUUGAUAAGCGUUGACUUUGUUUUACGAUGAAUCGGUGCUUGUACAUCCCAGAAAACAACCCUUGGACCCGACAGAAAAUUCUCUUCAUGCUUUUCCCAUUUCAAUUUGUUCCUGUUCAAUUUGCACCACGCGCUCGCAGAAAUUUCAUGCCUCAGAUGCAAUUUUUUUCAGUAGAAAUCGAUGCCAUUUCCGUCUCUCUGUUCUCGAAGUACUGUAAAACUCCAAGAAACAUCUACCUCUUUCUUUCCCAAGCUAUUUCCCAGUCGAUGUUUCGCAAGUCAUCGAUCUCAUCAUUAGAAAUUCAUCGUCACCGCAAUCUUCCAGAUAUUGUGUUCUCAAAUUUAAACAGCAUCAUCCGUACUUGCGAACAGACCGGGAUGACACAGACAUACCUCGAUGUUGUUGAGGAAAGUAAGCGCGGCGGUGUCGGUGCGAGGCAGUGAUGAGUACGGUGGUGCAAUUGACAAGCUCCUGCAGCCGCAUGUGUGUCAGGUCGAGCUCCUCGCAGGCGGAGACGGCUCUCUUGUUGGGGAAAUCCGAUGUUGCCUUCUUCAAUAGGUCCGUGAGCGUAAGUUCUCCCAUCACUAACCACAGGGAACGAAUCGACGGCAAUCGGCUUCAGCCGAAACCAAUCCCCGAUCAAACUGAAGAGGGGCACCACAAUCGCUUGGCGAGACAAGAAUGAAGGAUCGACAAGAACAGGAAUUCGCACGUAUGCAUAUGAGAUGGAAAUGAGACCAGAGGGAGGAAGGGAAGGAAGUUGAUGCAAUCGAGGUGGCUCCGCGGCCAGUGCGAGCUCGGUUAAGGUGGCGACGGAGACUUAACGGAUCAAAGGCUGUAACUAGUCUCACUAAUGUCUUCGCAAGAAAAUGUUUCAAUAAACUAAUGAUAGCCACGUAAUCAAUACAUUUGUCCAUUCAGUGGACGACAAGUGGCACUAUGGCGGCCCGCUCUAUCAGCAAGUCUGCAAGUCCAUUCUGCACGACAAAAUAAAUGUCGUCCAAGUUUGAGAUAAGAAAUGAAAACCGCAGCAUCAGAAAAGGUCAUCACCAAAGGAUUAAAAUCCAGUCCAAGUUUGGGGCAAUGGCGAUUCUUGCACAGAUUGUAUAUAUGCGAAGAUCAAUGGCGAUUCUGACAGUCCAUUCUUUGCACGCACACACGCAGAUCUCCUGCUCCUUCACAACAAAAUACACAUUCAAAACUCAAUUAUGUUCAUACAGAACACUUUAACUCGAACCAGAGGAAUCAACAAGCCACGAGACAGCAAUUUUCAUGUCAUACGCCGAGCAUACGAGGUGAGAAUACUAACACUAUUUGACAAAUGAGCAUCCUAUUCUGACAAAGUCGGCCAUAAUAAGUAUUCAAAAAGUUGAGAACAAAUCGAAUUUAUGUAAUAUGAUUCUGCGGUUUGAGAAUUGAAUCGAAUUUACAUACUGAUCUAGUUCGAGCAUUUUAUCAAACAAGUAAUGUGCAUUUUAACCAAGGAGCUCAUACGCCAAUGCACAGCAAGGAUUGACUUUCAGAUCAUCACGAAAAUAACAGCACAAGUCCGAGUUGUUAAAUAAAGCUUCAAUCUCAACUGAUUUACUCACAGACAUUAGCUAAAGCUAACCGGCUCUGUUUCGUUCAUGAGCAGCAGAAACAGAGUGCGUGGGAUUUACCUUGAUGAGAGUGAGUUUUUCACUUCGGUCCGUGAUCAGAUCGGAGAAAAGUUACUGGCGCUCUCCACGUCGACGAUUGACCUCUGGCUCGUGCACGUUUGGGCGGCAUGACCAGAAAACAGAGCAGAAGGAGAGGAGGCCUUGCGGCAACGGAACCGGCAAUGGUGGAGCCGCUACGGCAGCGUUUCGACAGUGUCUAAAGGACAAUGGAGAAGGAGAACCGAUGAAGGAUCCUCUAGAAUUCCAAAGAGAGAGAGUUUCUUCGUGAGCUUCGGUGUGUGCGUUCUAUCGUGUCAUCGCUGAGCCUGUGGUGGCCGUCGAUGGUGGUGCGACGGUGGCUGUGGUGAUUGUAGACGGCCGACGGUGGUCUGGGCUUCGCCUUGUGGAUAAGGUCUGGGCUACACGAAUUAAACCAGGCCCAACAAACCGGACCAGGUCCUUUCGAUUAUGAUUUUUUCUUUCUUUCUUUCUUUUCUUUCUUCGUUUGUUAUUUAUUUUUAAUAUUAUUUUUUACUUUUUAUUUAUUUAUAUUUACCCAAAUGCAUGUUCGACUUGUUGGCAAAAAUUCAGGAGUCAAUAGGAGCAAUAUUCCAUCAUUUGGCCUAAGAACAACUUCACACCAAACUCAAUUACAAUUCAUUGUUUGUGCAAUAUUGUGACAUUAUUCCCUUAAAGAUUAGUCCUUGUACUUAACUCUUCCAUCCUUGAGUUGAAUUUGAGCGCUGAUAGCAUGGCUGCACUCGUACUUGAGUUGAUUUCUUGUAGAAUCGAUGCACACAGUACAGUUUGCAUCUCGAAGCGCAUUUUGCACGUUCUGUGCACGCAACACAUCGCGAUGGAAUCAUCAUGCUCCUGUAAUAGUUGUACACAUGACUUGCCAUCUUAAUUUAUCAUCAUAUAGGUGAUGCGUGUACUUUUAAGAUUGCCACUUUAUCUGUGUUCUUAGCACGUAUCUCAGUAUUGAUUUGUGCAAGUGGGUGGCACAUAUUCCGUCCAUGGUCUCCUCUGUUGAAUACUCUUGGCCAAGAGAUUACAAUGUCCUCUUUUGACUAACAUCCUCGUCUGUGCUUUGUCGUAUACGGUUUGUUAGGCAUUUAUACAGGUUAGAUACUUUUUGUGAUCAAGAGCAGUACAUUCCAUCCUAUAACAUCAAUUAUCUUGUGGGAUUGUGACGAACAUCACAUCAGGUCCGUUUUCACGUUCUCGUUCUUUCGCCCUUCGCCCGCCACUUGUAUCCGGCAAACUCAAUAAGAUAGCUCCACCACCCGUCAUUUCUCCGGCCUGCCAGAAUUUCUUCCGAUUUCCGUGUCUUGUUGCGCGCGAAUCAGUUGAAGUCGGAAGACGGUUUCGUAAAAAUCUCCCUUCUCAAUCUUCAUCGUCGUCUUCUUCUUCAGCUAGGGCUUUGUUUUCAAAUUCGUCCCAUGUUCGAGGUUAUCUCAUGUUUUAUUUUUUUGGUUAUGUUUUUCCACUCGCGCUAGUGACUUCAGAUCAUGGUAGGCUACCUUAGAGUGUCAAAAGGAAAAGUUCCGAAACUAGCUGAAAAAGACGAGGAUUGAGAGUGUAUAUAUGGGUCUUUCUUUAUCGAACUGGCUGUUUGAAAAUGCGGAUGAGCAGACCACUCCUUGUGGCUUCAUCAAGAAACAUCUUCAUGACAGCAAAGUAGUUGCCACUCUUCAGGCAUUUAGACAGAUCGCGGCCGGAGAAGUUAAGGAGCUAUGUGCACGUGGCAAUAAUAUCACGUCAAGUGUAGAUGUCUGCGUGUUUUGAGCUCGUCGAUGGAGAUGAUAUCGUGUUCAAAGUCUCAAUUUUCGGCCCUGCUGGUGCGUACCAGAAUUUAUUUGGGCAAAUCAACUGAAUCUUGAUAUGCAUGGCCAAGCAAUUUUCAAUCUAUGCUACAUCUUUUCAUAGUUAGUCAAUUCAAGAAACUUUCACGCCACUGUCUACUAAAUUCCUCAUCAUUUAAUUGGGAGAAAAGGUUAAUCAACUAAAUCUUGACCCUUAUCCCUACCAGUUUUGGAUCUAAGUGCAACUUGGUCUCCUUGUCAUGCAAUCCCCAUCGAUAUUGACGUCCAAGAACCACAUCUGUCGCUAGACGUUAGACGACGUGGGAACGUUAUUGGAGGGGCUUAUGACAUCUCAAAGUUAGAAAUUGGAUGGGAGAGAGGGACUUCAAGAUAAAUAUCCUUGUCCGAAUGAUCAUCACAUUAUACAGUUACUCAAAGUGUUAUUUUCGAGAGUGGGUCGGAUGGUUAAACCAUUGAACGGUACUACGGACAUCCAAUCAACCGAGUUUUAAAAAAGACAGAAAUUGGAGAAAAGGAAGAUAGUUUUAUUAAAUAAAGAGGCAAAGGUUUCGGAAAAUAGCAAAAAGUGGAUAAAAUAGCUAAAGAAGGUCCUACACACGUUCUCUGCCCUAUCGAACGCCAUUGCUCACCUGCUAGCUACAACGGCUACGCGCUUGCACCCUCUCUCUUGGAAAAAUGGGCUCUUGUGGGCACCACAUGCACCCGAGUCCCCAACUAGCCAGGUUGGAAGAGGAAAAAAUAAACAUAAAUGUUUUGAAAAAGCCUUUUUCUUAAAAAUAAUUGAUUAUAUCUCGAAUAGUCAGUCAAAAAAAUGUUUUUAUUACCAAUAACAAUUUAAUCAUUUUCAUUUAUUCAUUUUUGCAAGUGAUAAAAGCAAUUAUUUAUAGAGAAAUAUUUUUCAAAAUGUCAAUUUUUCACGAAACAAAUGAAUCGGUUUUCAUUAUUUUUAUUUAUUUAUUGCCAUCAAGUUCGUCUCACCAUUGACUAAUAAGUCAUAAUCUUACUUGACUCUAUCCUCUGAAACUUGAAAAAAAUACAAUAUUAAUACCCCAAAACUCCGGCAACUUUUUAGAAGCCCACAAACGAUAAUGUUACGAAAGAAAUUGGUAUAGCCUUUUCAUUUCCAGUUUGUUUCAUCUACAACAUUGCGACACCGAAAUCUACUUCCCGAAGUAAAUUGAGAGAUUCACGUGGUCGCAUUGAUGGCAAGCGUGCAGUGUAUCUGAUCCUUUGCGGUUCUUGAACUGCGACAAUUUGGUAUAGUAGAAUGAGGAAUAUUGUCUCUCUAAUAAACAUGAAGAAAAGCAAACCCAAAUAAUAAUCCAUUCAAACCCUAGAGCACCAGAGCAUGUAAUUAACAAAUUGAAUUCGACACGACUGACUAAUUACCCUUGUUGCCAAACGGAAUAACAAUUUAGAGAAUAGCGGUUAAGCUAUACAACAAUAGGUCACCCAUCAAAUUUUAUGAGGGCAAAGAGUGUCAUUGAAUAGCAAAAGCAAUUACUAAUUUACUAUUUCGUAACAAGACGAGCAUGUCCAUAAUCUGCCAAUGAUUGCUUACCCUUUCAAACAAAAUAAGGUAGGAAAAAAGGACGAAGGAGGCGUGAAGCUUUCUAAGGCUAAUACCAAACAUUAGCCUCAGAAAGCUUCACGCAAAUUAUCCACCCCUUGACGACAACGCAUACAAAUAAUGCAACACACUGCAUGUAAAAAUAAGCUGACUGCAAAUCUGAAAAAAGCAGAGGGUGAGGACGAACUUUGGUAGGAGGGACAUAUCGGAUAUGUUAGACAGUUCAUGAGAACCUCUCAUUUUGCACGCCACAGAUGAUUCUCACGUCCGAUAGAUCCUGAGGGUGAUGAGUGAUCUAAUGAGGCAGGAUCCAGUAAAGCUUCCUCUCGGUGGGAUGGCGACGUCUUCACAGGGGUUGGGAGUGUUGGGCACUGAAUCUUGCUACAGCUCUUCUUUAAACUAUAGGGACUGAUAUAUCGCCACAGCCGACACGCAGCGUAGCAAAAUUGAAUGUCGUAAAAUCCAUGACAAACCUGAGGCCAUAGAAAGCAGCGUUGACUUCAACUCCAACGAAACCAGCCUCUGUGAUUGCAGAAUCAACAACCCUCUCAGGUCCAUACUACUAAAAAGAAAAGAAGCUUUAGACACAUUGAAAGACUCUAGGAUCUGCAAACAUUUCCUCAUCAAACGCAGCAUUCAUGGCCUCUCUCACAAUCAUCUCUUUCCCAUAGUAUCAUAACUACGUAAAGGCAUUUCUGCAGCACAACUCUUCCGUGGCCUUUCUCUUGACAACAUAGCAUCCGAGGGCUUUUCGUAUUAGAAUCGAUAACAUCAUGCGCUCUUGAACUCGAACUUGCUCUCUCUCUCUCUCUCUCUCUCGAACGGGUAUCCUUGGAAACAAAGUCCAGCUUCGUCAUUCCAUCGAACACCUUCCUUGCAAACUCGAUUCCCUCCUCCACAGCACAACCAACGGCAAUUGAAUUUCAGAAGACAGCGAGAGAAUUGGGAGAAAAAACAAGAUCGAAACAGAAAUCAACAGACAAAUCUGGAACGAAUCGAAAUUCAUUCUAGAGUUCAACGGGAGACGACGAAUUUCGUCAUCGCUUCAAUGUUACGAGGAACCGGCUGUCUCUGAAGAUCUCUCGAAGCAAUGAUCGUAAGAGAUUCCAGUUGACAGGCUCACUCCCUCAUGGUUUCGUACAGAGAGAAAGAGAGAGAUUCUUCUCUGAAUUUUAGACACCUCGUUCUUUUCUCCUCUCUCUCUCUUUUAUUUUAUUUGCACUCUUGUUAUUUCUUUUUAUUUUGUUUUGUGUCUUUGAUUUGUAUUUUAUAAAUAAAAAAUAUACAAAUAAAAUUCAGCUUCUUCAAUGAAGGAACUGAAUUUUAAUAUUCUAUCCCCUCUUUUCUUUUAUUUGUAUUUUUGUUAUUUAUUUUUUAUUUUUUACAUCUUUAAUUUGCCGGUUAAACUAACGAUACAGUCAAAAAGUUGAAGCUAUGCUCCAAUACUGGAUGAGCAUCACUCUUUAAUUUGGCCAUAAGCGAAAUCCAUGCAAGUAGCACGUACCAACUAUGCCAAUCCAACAAUGCAUGCUCCUUGGCCAAAGCAUUGGACAUCACCAUAAGAACCACCGGCAUAGUGGUCUAAUCAUCGGGUCUCAAUGUCAGAUUUUCAAAAUAUCUUUCAGUUGGGCCCAAUUUAGGAAAUUUGGAUUUUAGUUAAAGCUGAGAUGGCCCAUAUCCGCUUUUUUUGUAAUUUAGAAAUAAUGUCUUAUUUUCCUUCUCACCAAGCCUCUUUCAUUUUCCCCGAUCUCUCGUUCUCUCUUGUCUCAUGAUCAUCGAGUCGUCCAGUCCCCACCAACCCGCCACCGCGCCACCUUCGAGCCCUGAGCUCUGCUUUCUCUCUCUCAGUCUUUCUUCUCGUGUCUCGCCCACAUGUCAGCGAGUUACAAAGCGAGAGAUGGGACGGACUCACUUUUUUGCUCGUGUCAUGGUCUCCCUCCCGCUCCCCCUCUCUCCAGCAAGUGGCAAAACAGGUUUUUACUAGCCUGUUCUGAUGUCUUCAAGGUUUUUGAAUUUAGGACGUGCUAUUUGAAUUUCUCAUGGAGAGUAAAAGCAAAAAAUAAAAUAAAAUAAACACUUUUUUUUUUAAAUAUCGGGCUGUGCCAGACCCUUGGAUCUGGGCCAUAUGGCAUGGCUUCAGUCCGGGCCAGGUCCUCAGUCACACAUUUUUGGACUGACCCUCGAAAUAAGAAAAAGGUUUCGCUCUGGUCCUUUGGCCACGAGGCCUUUAUUGGCUUCCACAGCUAAUAGGUGGUCCAGCGAAUGACCGCAGAGCCGUUGGAUAUGAUAAGGGACGCUAUUCUUCCAUAUCAGCUAACCUCACAAGUUUUCGGAGAACGGUUUGGUUUCGCCUCUUCUCUUUGUGUUUUUCCCCUUUCUGGGGUUCCUUUUUUCUCUCCCCUUUCUCUCAGCAUUGUGUAAUAUCAGCUCAUGCGAGCGAGCCAAUUGUGAGAAUUGCUUGUAAUUUUCUUGUUUUUCGUUUCUUUUCUUGGCAAAUGGAGCAACACCUAAAACUCCAAUCGCAUUUCAUUAAAUUGGGUAUCAUUCAUCCGGCCAAACCUACAACUUGAGGUGAGUUGUUUUCUUUCGUGACAAAAGCAGGAACACUAGCAUCUUACUAGUCAAAAGUUAAAAAGACUUUUAUCAAGAUACGAUAGUUGGAGCUAUAUAAUUCGUGAUAAAAUAUUGUGCUCUUCUAUUUCCUAUUGAUCGAGUGACAUGCAAAGACUAACAUAAUUUCUAAAAUAAAGGGUUUAUUGUUAUUAGCCCGUGAGAAGACCCAGGAAAAGGGCGAAACAAGAAUUGAAAACGUGUCGAAGAGGACAAAGGAAGAGCAAAUUCUUAUCUGGGUGCGGGGAAUCAUGACCAAAGGGGUUCUCAUCGUUGUCGUUAAUCGUUAAACGUGUCGUUAACGGCUCGAUCUCGGGUGCACGAAUCCGGAUCCAAGGCGAAAAGAGGGAAAGGGCCCCGUCCUGAGGAUGAUCGGGCGCGGGAGGAGGGAGGGAACCCGGUAAAAGCGGUAGGGUGGCGGGGCAGGGGAGUGCACCGGCAGACUACUCCUGUUCAAUUUCGAUUGGGUUUGUGAGGUUAAUAAUAAUUCAGACGCACACUCAUUAAUGCCACAUUCCAAGCCUAAAUGAACUGAAAAGGACGUGCUUCUGGAUGUCCUUAUCCUUUCUCGUUAUGUUGUUCUUCAUUUUGAAUUUGAAAUUAAGUGUCAUGACGUAGUUAAAAUUAUGGGUUUUAUUUUUCCCACGGGGAACACCAAAGAGGUUCAUGAGAAAAUGUAAUGAGAAUCUUCCAAUGGCCUGUGGAAUUGGAAAAAAUGUGAUGAGAUGAUUUGGUUAUCAAACGGUUGGGAUGAAUUCGUAGAGCGUUACUCUAUCUGCGAGGGACAAUUUUUGGUCUUCAAAUCUGAAGUGGACUCCAUUUUCCAUGUAAUCAUAUUUGAUAAAAGCAAGUCCAAGAUAGAAUAUCCACCAACAAAUGCCAAUGGUAGGAACCGACCCUCAGCAGUUGGGCAUUUGUCUGGUUGAAAGUGGAAGAUGCCGACGAUUUCCGUGAUGUUUCGGUCAAGCUUGAAGUCUAGGGGGAUGAAUUGCAUUCACCCAAGUGUCCUCGGCUUUGUAAGGCAAUGGAAUCUGAUCGGGUUUGCGAAGUUCAUGACGGUUCCUAUGCACACUCAUCAGCACAGAGUUUGCGAGGAGACGGAAGUUCGAACUACUUAUCAUGAGAUUUUCAAUCCAUUUGAUUGUGUUCUUGUGUUUGAUUCCAAUUCCGUAUUCCGUAUAGGAACUCUCCAUGUGAUUUGGCUAAGAGAGGGAGCGUUAAAGCUAACUCAUUCUUGUAGGGCCCAUUUGGUUCGGCUUUUGGAGAAUGCAUUUGCCAAAAUGCAAAUACCUUUGGGUGAAUAGGGUUUUCCGAAAUGCAAAUAUCGUUUGAUAAAAUUUGCAUUGAGAUAUAACUUUGGCCAAAAUACCGUUUGGUAAAAUUUGCAUCUGUAAAGGACUUUUAUUAAAUUAAAAAAAACAAAAAAAAAACAUUAGUAUUUUUUUUUUUGAAGUCUGGCCAUCGGAUUGCCGGAUCUGGCGGCCGGAUGGUCGGAUCUAGCGGCACGACCCCAGGCGACCUCAUGUGGCCGCUUGGGUCGCGCGACCCAGGCCAUCAAUCGCCUGGGUCACGCGACCCAGGCGUCGCCUGAGGUCUGGCAACGGUCACCGGGGUCGGGCGACCCUCAGGCGGCAGUCACUAGAGCCUCGUCGGCACGCGUGACCCCUUAGCUGAUGACCCGCCGGCCUCCGAUCAGCUUCUUCCGAUGGUGUGCGGUGGUUUUUGAGAAGAUGAACAAUACUGAACUUGCAUUCCAGAGAUGCAACUUCCCAAAAUACCUCCGGAGCUGCAUUAGACUAAAGGCCUUUAGAGCCACUUGGAGAUGCAAUUGCAUCUCGCCAAAGUCACUCAAAAAAACAAAUCAAACACAUUUGCAUUUGACCAAGGGACUUUAGAGUCCCAAAGGGCUUUCCAAAUGCCCAACCAAACAGGGCCGUAGUGUUUAUCUAUCUCUAGCUUUCCCAUGUGUGCAUAUGUAUGUUUUAGGGGAUCUCAUAAAUGUCAAGCCAAUGGAAACAAGCCGAAUGAGUCAUAUCGGAUUUGAUUGUGCUGAAAUUGACAUUGGUGUGCAUAUAGGCCUCGAAAGCUAGACUAUUAGAAAGACCCAGAUCCAUCAAAUUGGGGUUGAUGUGUCCGGAGAUAUGAAUUUCACAUAAUAAGAAUAGCAUAUGCCUAAGCUUUCUUCAUGUUCUAAUUUGUGACUGUUGCAGAUAAACUGAAACAACUGGGUUUGCGCAGAGUUGUCAAAUCAGCCAGCAAAAUUAAACCCGACCACAUUGCGGUGAGGUGAAUAUAUCUAAAGAAAAGCAAUGUGGUAUGAUCCUCAUGACAAUGACAACACUUGAAUUUAAAUCACAGAGUUGCUAGACUAUAUUAGCUCUAGAUUGAUUGUGCAUCAGGUCAUUAAUUUCUGUUUUUAUCCUUGACAUGCUUUGAAAAGGAUCCUCGUACUGUCUUGGUCAGAAAUCGUUGGUUGUCUUCUUCUUUCUGAUGACAAAACUGCAGAAAGUGCACUUGAGUAAAGAGUUCCCGGCCCAUUCCCAAAGAUGCACUUCAAGAAAAGCCUGUGGACUGUGGCUCUCAUAUAUCAGGACAAAUCAUGGCCGGUGAAGCGCAUUAGCCACGAACAUUAUGGAAAGUUAUCUGUUGGUUGGGCUACUUUCUCGAGAGAAACUUCUCUGAAGGAGGGAGGCUUGUGCAUGUUCAAGCUCUAUUAGAAGGGGCAACGUCGUGUUCAGAGUAUACAUCUUCAAGACCACUAGCCAGAGGUAGGUGAAAAAUCCUAUGCAAUAGGACACGGCAAAGGAAGCAUCACUUUAGCUCAGAAUUGCUUGGCUAAAAUCUGCUUCAAAUUUGACAAAUCAGAAAAAAGCAUGAGUUUUAUUCUAAUGAAUGGAAAGAUACCUUUAAUCGAUCCUAGUGUUACAGUCACCACGUGGGGAUGACCGAAUGAGUCAUGAGUCAUGAGACGGAGGAAGCUGAUUGCUUCUAGUACAAGUCACACAGCCUCAUUUCCUUACUCCUCCCAUAGUAGAUUUUCGUCGUCAUCGAACCACUCUCUAUAUUUCAAAACCCAAAAGGAAAUUUAUAUUCAUUUAAGCAAAGAGAGACAAUAAAACGAUGUAAAAGCCGUCCUUCAAGUCUAUAUUAAUCAAAAUAUCCAAUGCUCUCUAGUGAUUAAUACAUAGAUUCUAAUUAUAAUCGGACAUCUACCGAGCACAACCGAAAAAGAGUUCUAUAAGCUAGCAAUGACCUAAAAAAUAGUUCCACAAGAGGGCUCAACCUCCUCGACUUAUUAAAUGAAUCACGAGGCAAGGAAAAGAGAACUUGGGCAAUUAAUGGCAUUAAACGCAAUUAAUGCGAAUCAUGCAGAAAUUAUUAGAAGUAUAGUGAGUUGGGGCUUAGAUGGUGUUCCUUACUCAUGUCAAUUGGCAAUGAUAAAGAAAAGUAACUAACUUGUGUGAAAGUUAUCAAUCAUUUAAAAAUUUAGUGUCACUUUAAAACUUACAAAAUUUAUUAAUCAGAUAAAAAAAUUAAAAAAAAAAUGUACGAUUACAAAUUACUUUCAAUCUGCAGAGCGUUACUUACAAAUUUGAAAAACUCUUUUAUGCAUGUGACACUCCAAAUUCCAUAUGGAUUGGAAGAGGGAUAAUUGACCAAUAGAUAAGUGUGAACACAAACCACCACCGCUAGAUAUUCACCUCCUGAAAAACUUAUUUAGGGGCUUAGAUCAUAACAAAUCGGAUUGUUAAUAUUAGAAAAUUCCAUGCCUAACUUAUAGCUCGAACUUGCACAUUAAUUAAAGAUAUUUAACUUGGUAUUUGGCUCAAAUAAAAGUUGUACUCUACAAUGCUAACCUAAGAAAAGUAUAUAAUUCUCUCAAAUUAAGAUAGGUAAUUUCGCACAAAAAGUGUUAAGCGUGAUUGUGGUUGGUGGAGGAGAAAUACCUAUGUAGAUAAACCAAGAAAGCGAAUCUUUUUAAUACGAAAGUAAGUUAUACUAGCCAUUUAGCUUAAUUCUCCAAAAAAGUAUCAACUUUAUCUGGAGUAUUAAUUCAGGCAUAACCUUUUUUUUGUAACAAAAAAUCAUCAACUUCCAUGCCUAAAUCUGACUCCGAUUAGCUUUCCAUCAACUAAUGGUGUUAAAUGUUUGAUGCAUCAAUUUCACGUCAUUAUCUUUUUCCAAGUCAGAAUUCAUAUAUAUAUGCUGUCUUCUUUUUUCUUUAUUUCUUUUUUCCAUUUCCCUUUUUCUUUCUUCUUCUUCUUCCUUUCACUGGACGAUAACCUGACCACCGUGAGUCAGCCGUACGAUCCAAUCAACGGCCCAGCCCUCCGUCCACCACCACCUCGCCACCUUCCACAACCCCAGCCGUAUUCCUGUUUUUCCCAGCCUCUCGCCACAUAUCUCCACCACCACCGCCUCUACUCUUGGCCGAUGACCCCUGGCUUCCGAUGUCCAGUAGCCUGGCCGUGGCUUGUCCUCGCUGUCGUCGAGCUCGAGCUCGGCCGGCGCUCUCGAGCCUCAAAUUUUGGAUCUAAGCUCAAGCGAGCCCUAGAUUCGAGAUAGGGGGUCAGCUGGACCUCGGACUUGGGUUGAUUAAGGUCGAGCGGGGUCGACGGCAAUCACAACUAGAUUUUUGGAGGUUAAUAUCCGUUCGUCCAUGGCUUUUCAAUCCAAGUCUGUGCAUGUUGAUUAAUUGAAAAUGAGUGAAUCAGCAGAAAGUUUAGAUUUUUUUUGUUCAGAAUAAGAUCACGACCAGUUUCAUUUAAAAUAUAUGCAAUAAAAUAAAAUAAAAUAAAAUAAAAUAAAAUAAAAUGCAAUGACAGAAGAGAAGCAUUGUACAGUUAGUCACUUUGCCUUCAAGAAGCUGAAAAAAAAAGUUGGAAAUGGGCUCUGGAAUACAGAUUUAGCUCAUUCCACUGAAGAGUACAAAGAAAUGUGUGCAGAUGGAGUAGAAGGUCGCCGAGGUAGGAGGUCUGGAUGCUGGGGUUCCAUCCACGGUUGCCGCCGACAAAUGUGGUCGGUGACGGUGGCAGAGGCCGGAGACACUAUGGCGGCUGCAAGGAGGAAGUGGAGGAUGACAGGGUGGGAUGAUGGUGGCCAUGGACGGACAACCUUUAGGUAGCGAAAGGAAGAAGGAAGAUUAUAAAAAGAAUAAGAAAAGGAAAAGCUACAUAUAAUUCUGAUUUGGGAAAAAAGAAUGAGUGGAAUUGACAAAUGAGACGUUUGAGGUUGAUGAUGCUCUUUGGACGGACAAAAAGUUAACAGAGGUCAGAUUUGGAUAUGAAGUCAAAGUUGGUGAUUGUUUAUGAGAUACUAAAGAAAAAAUAUUUGGGGCCAGAAUUGAGAUUUGAACCUAAAUUGGUGCAAUUUUGAGGAAUUAAGCCCUUGCUAUUUUUUUUUUUUUGGACAAUAAGCCCUUGCUAUUUAGAAUCAUCGUUUUCGACUAUGUUUUAAAAAUGGUAGUGUCUAUAACAUGAUAACAACAUGAACAGUAAUAAGCAAGAGAAUGAAUUAGGGCAUAUUUAUUUUCGCGGCAGAAAAUGCUGCAGGCAGAGUCUUUCUAUUGAAGAGAUGAUCCUGCCCCCACGGACGAGGACACUUAACACCUACAAAACACAAACGGGGCGAGGGAGUUUCUAUUGGUGGGUUCCAUCAUCAUUAUAUUUAUCUAUGUGAUGUAGAUGUUUCCGUAAUGGGUUCUCCAUUCUUUUCAUUUUCUUGAGUUUAAGCUUCCAUCACUUAUCUGAAAAUGGAGAAGCUGGACUCAAAAAAAUUUUGAACUACUACCAAAUAAAAAAUUGUUGGAUGAUAAUUAAUAAUGUUUCAUUACUUUAAUAGUUUUGAUGGCUUAAAUCUAUUACCAAAAAAGUCAUAAACUUAUUUUUUUGACUAAUUGAGUCCUAAACCUUUUACAAUUAUUUCCGAUCAGUCCAUUCGGUCAAAAUUGGGUAGUCGGCACUGAUGUGGCUGUGACACCCCUCGACGGCCCCCGAUCCGAUUAGGGUCGUCACAGUUCGCUUACCAUUCACUUUCCUUAUUAACAUAUCACUCUGAUACCAUUUCAAUUGUAGCGGGUCCAUACAACCGUGGGGGUUUACACACAUUUUUUUUUUUGAUAGGUCCCUUGCGCAAUUCAUAUACGGAAGCACAUCUAGCAAACUCCCUUCCUUAUAUUUAGAAAACUAUGCACACCUACUAAACAUCUUAUAUAAGUUAAAGCCGUACACUUUUAUUUACAUAAAGCAGAUGGACAUCUUUAGUCGGUACAUCAAAAUGCCGUAGUUUUCUAUACUCGGCUACACUUCAAAAGAUGACCGACAUCUCCUCCCACAAUCGCAUGCUUAAGGUCCAUCAUCCAGUGUCGGCGUCCAAAGGUUCCCUCCUUUGCUAUCCUUCUCCUCGCGGUCAUAUCCAACCGCUCAAACCAUCUACUAAUCUGAAAUGUUGGUCCCCAAAAGGGGUGAGUACUACCACUCAGCAGAUAAGGAAUCCAAUAACAACUCAAUGCAUCAUGCAAAUCAUACAUGCAUUGCAGGCGUAACUUACCUUGCAGCCAUGCGUAAUACUAUCAUGCAUCAUCAUGCCUUAUCAUCAUGCAUAUCAUAUCAUCAUAUGUCAUCAUCAUAAUCAUCAUCAUGGCAUCAUUAUAUCAUACAUGUCAUCCUUAUCAUGACAUCAUCACAUCACAUAUUAUCAUCAUCAUCAUGCAUAUCAUCAUGCANNNNNNNNNNNNNNNNNNNNNNNNNNNNNNNNNNNNNNNNNNNNNNNNNNNNNNNNNNNNNNNNNNNNNNNNNNNNNNNNNNNNNNNNNNNNNNNNNNNNCAUCACAUAUCAUCACCAUCAUCAUGCAUAUCAUCAUGCAUAUCAUACCAUGGGUGAUCAUUAUAUCACAUCACAUAUCAUCACCAUCAUCAUGCAUAUCAUCAUGCAUAUCAUACCAUGGUUUAAUUUUCAUCUUUAUCUUUCAAUUUUGAUCACCACAUCACCCAUUCAUCAAUCUCAUCAUCAAUUUCAUCCCAUAUUUUACCCUCGCAUCCCAUGCGAGAAAAACCUCCGGGCAUGUAUCCAAGAUACAACCGGGCAUCCGGCCCCCCACAUUCCGGGCAUCUCGCAUCCCAACUAGCAUCACGAGGAACCUCCAGGCAUGUAUCCAAGAUACAACCGGACAUCUGGCCUUUACCCUUCUAGCCAGGCAUCCCGCACCCCAAUCCUGGUGUCGCGAGGAACCUCCGGGCAUGUAUCCAAGAUACAACCGGACUUCCGGCCCCCCACAUUCCAUGCAUCCUGAAUCUCCCAGGGAAUCUCUGGAAUUACGCCACCAGGCCACCAGACAUCAUCAUCCACCACAACCACAUCCUCAUUUACCAUCAUCCACAUAUACCAUUUCUUUAUCUCAAUUUAACAUGGCAAUUGGCAUGGUAUCAAACAAAUCACACUUGACAUGGAAUUCACACUUGCAUCUCAAUUCAUAUGUCAUACACAUGCCAAAACUUUAUCCCAUACACAUCUCAAUUCAAUACAUGUACAAGGACCAUGUCAUACGCAUACCAAGACUUUAUUACAUAUACAUCUCAAUCCAAUACAUGUGCAAAGACCUCAUCACACAUAUGCCACACAAAUAGAAUUGAAUCCAUGGCCAAAUAAAAAUCCAUUUUAUUUUAUUAUUAUUUUAUUUAUUUAUUUUCAUAAAUAAAUAUUAAAUUUAAUAUCUAUGAUUUUCCCAAAAUCAUAGUAUUCAAACAAUCACUAAACAAAUCAAUAGGAUCACAAUUUCAUACAAAAUUCAUAGCCAAAUUGAAUUUCUCAUAAUUUCACAAUUUCCACAAAAUAGCACAUGAUAUUCGGAUAAUGACCAGAAUUGCACAGUUUUCAAAUAAAUUAGAUUAAAAUACUCAUAUGGCCUUCAAAAAUUACGAAAUUUUACAGGGUGAUAGCCAAGACAUUUUCGUGCAACUUUCAUGAAGAACUCUAAGUCAGAUUAUUUUUAUAUUAAUUUAUACAUCCUCACGAAACUUCUGGAACCACUACCGCAUCGUCCAGAAUACACAUCUCCGAAAUAUUAAGGUUUCACCCAUCUAUUCUCUUUCUUUUCCUCUGAAAUUUGAGUAUGUUAUGUAUCAAGGUGUCCUUUACAAGUUUCAUGAAGAGAUCUAGGUCACAUAACCAAAUUAUGGUCACCAUUUAAGUCCAUCAAGUCUCGGGUGUCUCGGAACACAUCACCAGAAUCAUCGUCUCCAAGAUCUAGCCGAUUCACCAAGCUAUACUUGUUCUUUUUGCUUCAAAUUUGAGUAUGUUGUAUUUUAAGGUGUUACCUUCAACUUUCAAGAAGACAACAAAGUGAGAUCUCCAACAGAAAUCAACAUGCAAAUCAAGAAAUCAACAAGAGGUCAGUGAAAAUUUCGCAGAUCUAAAGUCUCCGUACAAUAUAACUUUUGACCCCUCAAAUAUCCAUCGUUUUCUACGAAUUUUUAGUAUGUCAUAGUACAAGACGUUAGCUUCAACUCUCAUGAAGACACCGAAGCCAAAAUCGAACCCCAAACUCACAUGAAACUCGAACAAGCUACUGACUUCAACAAACCGAACAAGAACAGUCACACGGUUUACAAAUAACCAACUCUUACCUCGGUUUUUCGCACAAAUCACACCUAAAAUCUAACAUGCAACCACCACAACAAACAUGCAAGAGAAGUUACGGACUCCACUUGCCUUAAAGGUGAACAAGCAACGACGAACGGCGACGGGACACGGCGAUCGGACGGCGAACGGACGGCACACCCCUCCGGCUCCGCCUCCUCUCCUCUCGGUUUCUCCCUUUCUCUCAAGCUCUCUCUCUCGCACACCCUCUCUUUGGACGAAAAGCAAAGAACCGGCCAUCUCUCUCUCCUCAUCCCUUUUAUAUCCCCUUAAUCCCAUGAUUAGCAAUGAUUACUUUGCCUACAAACCCACCAAUGCAUGCCAUUCCUUCAUGCCACUUGUCACACUAAUUUUGAAUUGAUUUGGGCUUGGGCUUAGGCCCAUCCGGCCACUCCCUUGGGCUGGUCGAAAUCCUCCUCUUCUUGGGCUCUAAUGGGCCGACAAGCUUGGCCCACCAAGCUUUAGGCUAAUGGGUCCAAGGCCCAUUCCAAUUUAACCUAUUUUUCCCUUCUUUUUUUUUUUUUGAAUUCCUUUCUAUAAAUAUUUCCAAAUUCAAAUUUCAUCUUGGCCAAAGUCUUGGGACACUUUGUUUAUUAAGAUUUAAAUUUAAAAUCUCAUGGCCAAUUAUUAAUCUAUAAAUUUAAAUACACAAAUCAUCAAAUUAAAAGUCAAAUUGGCUAAGGCAUAAGCCAAAAGAAAUUCUAUCACCUAAUUAGGAACUUCAACUCACCUUAUGGCUUGUCAUUAAAUUUGGGAUGCCACAGUGGCAGCCGGUCAGCGCUAAGUCUGGUGAGGGGAGCCCUGCCGGAUCUGGUGAGGGAGGCUCGUCGUCGCAUUUGGCGAGGCCCUCCUCACCGGAUCUGGCGAGGUCUCGCCUCGCCCGACGACCGUGAGGCAAGCCCUCACCAAAUCCGGUGAGGGGGCUUGCCCUCGCCAGAUCCGACGGGGGCUUGCCCUACCGUCGCUAGGCGUGAGCUUGCUGACUAGCAAGGCAAGCUCGCCGGAUUGCCUUAGUCUAGUGACCAGCCAACUUGGCCAAUCACUAGAGCCAAAGGAAGGAGGAGGGAGGAGGGAGGAAGAGGGAGAAGGGGAAAAAAAAAACAAAAGAGGAAAAAGGAAAAAGAAAAGAUAAAAAAUUAAUAAAAUAUUUCAAAAAAAAAAAUAUUAUUAAGAAAAGCUCGCUGGCAUUGGCCAAUCAAUUUUAGCAGGAUGGACUAAUCGGAAUAAUUGUAAAAGGUUUAAAACUCAAUUGGUCAAAAAAAUAAGUUAUGACUAAACUAGCACAAUUGCAAUAGGUUUAUGACUUUUUUUAGUAAUUUUCCUCUUAUUUAUCAUAAAUUCUAUUUCUUUGCAAUCAAGAUUAUCUGCGAAGAAUGAUGGAUUGAUGAGAUUUGUGGUUAUGAAGGGUAUUCGCCUACAAAAUUUCUUUCCUUGAACUAAAAGGAGGGUCUGAUCCCUCCGUGCAUAGAGAAAGGUAGAUUUGUGCCCUUGAAUCCAGCGAGGCUUAGUUUUGCUUAUCAUUUUUGUAAAUCCAAUGAGAUUUUGUUAUAUAUAUGGGGUUGCAGAGGAGGUGAUUGAAUAUAUGCAUGAUCAAGUGGCAUAGAUCAUUGUUUACUUAUUUAUCCAUAAAAUCUCACACACACUAAUCGUUUAUCGAACAACAUGCAUGGCAGACUAGAUCAGGCUUUCUGUUGCAUAAUUAUUUCCUAAUUCUCUCCGCUUGACUUUAGACCUAGCAGGAGGGCUUGAGAGAAUGUGAGUGUAUUCAUGCUUAUAAUCAAGUUUACUUAACACGAAUUCAUUGGCUUGAUGGGAUUAUUUGUAUAAGUGUAGUUACUUUAUGGAGAAGCUUGAGUUAUAUAUUAGAGAAGUAUCCGCAUUGUCUACGUGAAAAAUUUUCGAGGCUCCUUCCGUCGUAGCACUAAAUAUCUAAAGUCCAUAUGAAAACAGAAAUCUACUAUAGAAAAAGAUAUCUGCCUCUUUCUACUAGGCUUAAGCUCGUGUCCGGUUUCAUACAUCGGUCCAAAGCCCAAGCACCAAAUGGGUCCGUAGGGUCUAGCCCUCAACAUAAGCUAAGGUGAGCUCGUUCCUAAAACAUCCUAUCUUCUGGUCAUUAUUUGACGAUUUAAAGCCCAAAGGAGCAAUUAAUCCAAAAGGAAGACUUUCCCUGCUUGAGGAGCGAAGCUUCCCGCAUCUCGUAUGCUCUGAAUUUGAUUAUGCUUAUCAUUGUUUGUUGGGUGUAAAAUUUCCUUUCCAGAAAUUAUACUUUACGACACAAAUUAUUAUGCACCAACUCCACGUACAGAAUCAAUUGGAGAAUACAUAUCUACAAAAUUAUACAAUAACAGCUUUUCUCUAAGAUUGAAACACAACACUCUAAUAGCUAGAAAGGACUUCUCCUUGUUUCAAGAAUUAGAUUUGCAACGUUCUCUAGAAAAAAAUACAUAAAUAAUGUGGCCACGUAGGCUCCACCUGAGCUGAUAUUAUGCACUACUGACUAAAUAGAUUACUCAAAUGAGAAUAUUUUUACAUGCACUAAUUCCAAAAAAUCUUGACUAGACCUUAGAAUUUAGAUUGAGGGCAUGUAAAUCGCAAAAUAUGAUGAGUAUUAUAGGAUCAACGGCUGUGAUUCAUCUGAUGAGUCCGUGUAAGUAUUUGUCAUUCCAAGCAGGGAGGACGGACAAUAUUGUGAUCUUACAUGGGGAUUCUGGAAAAGGAAAAAGCGACACGACUGCAUUUUCAAAAAGCAAGAGAGGCUAAGGAUAACUAAGGAUGAAAGUAAAGUAGUGGGGACCAUAACUAUUUGGCAUUGCCUCAAAAAGGUCAAGAGAUCCAUCAAUUAGAUUGGGUUUUGGUGGAUUAUGAGUUGAUUCUAGUGCUUUGAAGCAGUGUGAAUUGGAUUCCAAAUAGAAAGCAAAAGAGGUGGAAAAAAGCAUACGUUGGUUAAAUUGAACAUCGACACCUCAUUCCAUCACUCAUCACUUUUGGAACUUGUGCCUAUGUAAGCUAUUUUGCUUUUUCUUAAAGUAUUAGACACAACAUGACCGCUUUAGCGUCCACAUUGGAACUAGCCAUCUUCUUUAAGAUUAGGAUAUCCAUUAAAAAUGACCAUGAACCUACUUUAAAGAUUCACCCACAUAAAGUCACAAUCCCUUUAUCAACUAAAAUUAAUUUUUUGAAAUUCUUUACCAUGGAGACUACGGGAGUCCGGAGCAAAAGUAAGUGACAAUGGAUGUCGACAUCGAACUUUUUCUAGUGGAAAAUAAAGCAUGCUUUUUUCUUUAUUUUUUGGGUACAGUAUUGCCGAAGGGAUAAGGCAGGUUCGUCAAAUGUAUGGCGCUUGGUCAAUUAGCUAUCCCAAGGUGGAUGUCUCCGUCGCUAAGAUUUGCAAAGCCUCAUUGAUAAUGACUCAAAUGGGCAUAGCUAAGACAGUGAACAGUCGAAAAUUAUUUGGUUACCCACGAACUUUUUAGAUGGUUGUACAAUUCCAUAUUAAAAUUAGAGUGUAAAUGUGACUUCUAUUGGUAAGGUAAGGUUUUAAAGAUUAUGGCAUUUUCACUUAAAUAAGUAUGAAAGCAGAGUACGAAGAUAAAGAGGAUGUUUCAUCUUUCAAUUGAAAAUUAAAACUGUCCAAGCACUAGAAAUCUGACCUUCAACAAGUCAGAGUACCACGGCUGGAAACAACUUAAUCCAGAAAUCGCGCAUCAUGGGGACCUCCAAAAGAAGGAAAAAAAGCACGUUAGAAACAAUUGGUGAAAGCGAAUGAUGAACCGACCGAACAACCUCUACAUAUAUGCAUAUAUUUCCAAAGAAUAACCCCGCAUGAAACAAGAAUCAUUUUCCCAGCUAGAACUAGGGAUGGCAAACAAAUAGAGAAGAUUGUGGAGCAGAUAAGAAAGCUCACAAUGAUUUUUCUUUAUGUGAGGAUUGUAGAAUCGAUAUUUCAUGGGAUUUUAAAUAGACGUGUCUACACGUGCAUACCCCUAAAUUACCAACAAAAAAAAAUGCUUACUUUAGGAAAAUGCUAACUAAAUUUGGUAACUUUUUUAUAUACACUUAUUCCUCAGAAACUAGUAGCUAUUAUGCAAAAGGUCCAUAUGACCUUAAUUUCAAAGAGAAUGUCCCACAUGACUUUAAUUAGUCAUAACAAUUUUCUUUUGUUAAUUAUUAGUCAUAAUUUUUUUCAUGUAGUCAUAAUAAAUAUAAGGAUUUAUGAAUAACAUGACAUCAUAAUUUAACAAUUAUGCUUGGCAAACGAGGUUAAACGACUUCAAUUUUUACUUAUGAAGUGAAUUUCUUCUUCUUUUCUCACUUAUAGGGAUGAUUAUGAGGGGCUCUCUUUCAACAAAUCUGUGAAAAAUUGAAGGACGAUUCAUGAAAAGUCAAAACUUAUUUUCAACUAAUGCUCAACAUUAGCUGGGUAGAGGGCUCCAAGUUGGCUCAAGUUAUAUAUGUCAAUAAAUAGAAUCUCAUCAAAAAUUGCCAUUCAAUAUAUAAAUCAAUAACACGGCCAUUUUACAUUUUAGAGCUAUUUCGAUUUGCAUACCAAUUCAAAAGUAAAACCUCAAUUUUUUUCCCAUUCAAUUAGCUUGAUUAUAAUGUUACUUCUCUAUUUUUUAAUAUGAUUUCAUGCCAACACGAGGAGUGGGCUUAGGAAUAGUACCUAAUCAAUCUCUUUGCCUUCUUUGUCCCUAAUCAUUCUUGCUUUGUUUCGCUCUUCCGUUAUUCUCUCUGUCUCUUUGUUUUUGUUUUUGUUUUUUUUUUUUUCUGGGUUCUUCUCCACUAAAAAAGAAAAUCAAAAAGAAAAAUGUAAAAUCGAUGAUACUGUUGAGGAAAAUGGGAAACAUCACAUUAAAUUCAUCUCAAGAAGUAAAAUUAUUGAUAUAAAGGUCUAAUUUGUGGUUAAAGAGCAAGAGCAAAAAAAAAAAAACACAUUAGAAAAAUCUCAUUUAUAUCAUCAUAGUAGGAGGUCCUUAGCAAGACCUUAAAAGGCUAUGACAUUCGGGAAAGACUGCAUAGAAGCGGGGAUCUAGGCCUCGAAAAACAUUCUAGCCCCAUUGCCAGACCCGGCCAUAACCCCUAUGGGGGUAGGGCUGGCAACUCUGAUCCCCGCGAUGCCUUCCCCUCUGAAACACGGAGGCAUGGUAUAGGGAAAUGAGGGGUCUCCCCUGAAAGGGGGAGGCGCCGGCCGGAAACAUCUCCCCUUUUCGGAGGGAGACCCAUCAUUUUCCUGCACCACGCCCCCAUGUUUCAAGGGGAAGGCGUCGCAGGAAUCAGGGCUGCCAGCCCACUCCCGAAGGGGUUGUAGCUGGGUCUGGCAAUGGGGCAAGUAUAUUUAUCAAGGCCUUGAUUCCAGCCUCUAUCCAGUCUUUUCUGGAUGUUAUAGCCUUUUAAAGUCUUGCUAAGGACCUAUGAGCAAGAGCAAAAAAAAAACAUUAGAAAAAUCUCAUUUAUAUCAUCAAAUGAUAAUUUUUUGAUGAUGUUCUACUUGGAAUAUGAGUGCAUCAACCUCGAACAAUCCACGUCUCUGCUGGCUCCAUCAAUUUGUCUUCUUGACUCCUUUGAAGUCAUGAUGUUGUUUUUUCUUGGAUUGCUACAAAAUUUAACAGUUAAUACUUUUGACAUUUCACACAUAAUCAAUGAUGAUAUGGACAUCCAUCUUCAAUCUUCCAUUGCUGCUUUAUUGCACCGAAAGGUGAAAUUCCCAAGACUAAAAGAGAGAGAUUCCUCUGGUGGGCCUUCCGUUCCACCGAAACCCUUGAAAAAUAGUCAGGAGGAUCUUCUAAAGUCGUUGUGAUGAUUUGGUGUAUACAUGCAUAUUCACACACAUUGCGCGAGGCUAUUCCCGCUCCCAAUUUAGCUUAAAAUCACGUCCUUUUAAGAAAAUUCAAUUAUUGAUAGACCUGCCUUUUAUUUAAAAAUAAACAAAUAUGCCUCUUCCAAUUUCUCUCUCAUCGAUUGUCUGGUCUAUUUUCUUAUUUACUACAGACAGUUGAUAAGAGUUUAUGGUUUCAAUCUUGUCAUCUACUCCUUUGAUUUCAAAGUUUUUUUCAUGUAAGAAUUUACCUAAAAAACGUCUUCAACCUAUGAAUCAUGCAAAAAAAAAAAAAAAAAGAGGCUGAUUUAUUUAAAAGAUUGGAGCAUAAGCACGUUUCGAAAUAUCAAAUUACACGUAUGCUUUCAUCGAGCUUUAGCCAUAAUUUUUUCAAUUUAUUAUGACCAAAUCUUCAAUUCUUCGAUCUAUCAUGUUCAAACUUUCAUUAUUUUGUAGAAGAGAAUAUUUCAACAAGUUAAUUUGGUAUAUUUUAUUUACGAACUUAUAAGUUAGUGACUAAUUGGUCAUAGACAAGGAUUUUGAGACAUUUAAAGUUAUUUUUCUUAUUGAUAAUUGGUUUUUCUGAAUUUAUCAUGCUAGUAAAUUUGGGAGAUCAUUGAGUGAGAGUUUCAUUUUGAGCAAUCUCAAUUUUUUUCACACUGCAUCUCUAGAGUUAUUUCAAAGUGGUGGUGCGGCCGUUUGAUAUGAAGAGAUUCAUGGAAAGGUCCCAAGCUUAAUUCAUUAGGAGCAUGUUUUCAAAUUGAAAAGCUUGCCUCGUAUUUUUAGUUUGUUUUUGAGUUUUGAUUUUGUUUGCUUUAUUCCUUAUACCUGUAGCUAGGACUUGAGAUUAUAUUACAUACCCCAUGAAUAGUUCAAGAGCAUAAAUUUUGAUAGUUUAAGAUUGAUGUCUUUCAGAUUUUGCACCGUAUUAUAUAGUUAAGGUUGCUGAUUAUAAUUCUUGAAACUAACAAAUUGUCGAGUGCUGUGAAAUAUACAUACAUACAUAUAUAUAUAUAUGUAUUGUGUGUUCUCUCAUUCUGUGUACUUGUAUUAUGGUCUUUCAUAUCCAUACGUUGCUUGUUAAAAUAUGCAUGCGGGCAAACAAUUCUCUUUACAUUCUUCAAGGAAUAUAUUCAGGGAAUAAUCAAAUCACAACUCUUAGACAUUUAGACAAAUUGUGCAUAGUGAAGUUGAAGAUCCAUCACAUCUUGUUGAAAAAUGAUGACUAAAUUACAUUUACCUUGUUCCUUGCCAAGAUCGAAUUGCAAUCACAAGAAUUUGGUGGUGUUACUUGUAGUUUGAUAAGCCAUGUUUUUGCUCACAUUGUGUUGUUUUUAAUUGGUAGUUAAAUCACGUCUUUUACAAAUGACAAGUAAUUGAAAUUAUGAGUUCCUACGAAUGAUAAGCAUUACGUGACGAAUGAUUUGAUGAUAGCAUUCGGGGCUCUUAGGUUAAACUUUUGUUUUCUAUUACAAUUUGAUUAAAAUUAUUAUUUUAAAGAAAGCAGCCAUGGAUUCUUACUGGAAUCCCAAUCCCCAUGAUUGAACCAUGCAGUCAAAAAUGGGGUCCAUAUGCCAUUAGAAGAAAGCUAUGCACGUUGCUCAUGCUUGCCUGUGGUCAUUCACUCGUGAAAGGGUUAAUAGUAAGAGAGUGAAUAAAACAGCCAAGAAUUUGCAAUAAUUUGACUAGACAUAAAAUAGUGGGAUGUCCUAUCUCCCCCUUGAGUCUACCUUAGUAUUAAUAUUACAAAAGCAUUGAUUAUUCGUCAAUGGCUUAGUAUAAGGAGCAUCAAACUCCCAAAACUUUUCUUACAAAUCUUAGUUAUUAUUAUUAUUAUUUUUUAAAUCAUAACAUUCAAAUAAUUGAAAAAAAAAAGUUAUGACACUCAAGUUUAUGUUUUUUAGAAGCCAUGGUACUCAAAUAAUUGAAAAAAAAAUGUGACCACUUUACAAAAGUCAUGACACUUCCGGUGUUUUUUAGCUAUUCUUUUUAGGAUUUUCGUCCUAUCGUUUUCUCAAUCUUUCUUUCUCAAAAGAAAAACAUUAACAGAUGCUGCCAUCGAGAAAAAUUCGAAAAAUCACAUUAAACUCAUAUCAAGAAGUAAUUGUUGAUUAAAGGGUCUAAGUUAUGGUUAAAAGAGCAAGGACAAAAGACAUUAGAAAAUUUCCAACCAUAUCAUCAUAUGGUAAUUUUUUACAACGUUCUACUUGGACUAUGAGUGCAUCAACCACGGACUAUCCACUUCUCUAGUGGCUCCAUCAAUUAAUCUUUCGACUCCUCUCUAAAGGGAAAGCCAUGAUGGCUUUUUCUUGGAAUGCUACAAAAUUUAAUUGUAAAUACUUUUUGGCCUUCGACGCAUAAUCAAUGAUGAUAUUGAUAUGCAUCUCCUAUCUUCCGCUGACAAUUGCUUCCUUGAACCGAAAGGUAAAAUUAUCAAGACUAAAGCAACAAGAUUCCUCUGGUUGACAAAUAGCUGUUGGGAUGAUUGGUGUGCACACACAUAUUUGGUGGAGCUAAUUAUGCACCCAUUUUACACGUGAUACUUUGCUAGGGUCAUUCCAAAUUUGUCUCUACGUAAUAUUUCCUUAAGAGAACCCAAGGACAAAAUGCUAGAAUAGCCAACCUCUUAUAUUUCCCCUUAUUUCACAUUUUUAGCUUGCCAUCACCUUUCUUUUGUCUCCUUAAUUUUUCCGUUUUCACAUGUAGUAUCUCUCUGUUGGAAAGAGCUUUGAAUUUGAUUAUGCUUGUCACUGUGUAUUUUGGGUGUAAAAUUUCUUUUUUGAGAAAUUAUACUUUUGAUACAAAAUUAUUCACUAAUUCACGUACAAAAUAAACAUGAGAGUCGAUAUCUAUAUAAUUAUGCAAUAACAGUCUCUUCUCUAUGCCCUGCCUCUAAGGUUGACACAUAGAAUUCUAAAUAGCUAGAAAAGACUUCUCCUUAUUUUAAGAACUGGAUUCUCAACGUUCUCCAUUAAAAAAAUGUGCCCACUUAGACUCCACCUAGGCUAAUAUUUUGCAUUACUAACUAGAUAGAUUAUUCAUAUAUCAUGAUGUACUUAUAGGCACUAAUUCCUUAUUAGCUACGUGAGUUAUACUCAAUCUAAUUACAAGGAGAUUGUCUCUCAUGACUUUAAAUUGUUUCUAUUUAGUCAAAAUGUUUUCAAACGGUCAUAAUUCAUAUAUGGGAUUAGGGGUAAAUUGACAUAUCCAACACAACAAUUUUUUAUGGGCAAGUUUGUCAUGUGAAACUAAUUAAGAGAAUUUCAACCAGCUUAAUAUUCAAAACAGAUCAGAGACCAAUAUUAUGCCUAUCUAUCAUAUGUCACUAUUAUUUUUAACGUUAUACUUAGCAUCUCUAUCUUGCACUUAUUGAAUAUUACUAUAUGAUAAUUUUAUGCUAACUUUGUCAUUUUCUUAAGAAAGGGUUCGGAAUAGAAAAUACACUACUCUUUACUAUAUAAAUUAUGCUUACAUAGCCCCAGAAUUGGAGCAAUUGGUUGGGUCAUUAGGGAUUUCCAACUUAGGAACUAGGGAUCGCUAGUUCGAAUCCCACAAACUACAUGCAAACUACUUUGGGUUGUAGUCACCUAAAUAGACCAAAGAUUUGAGUUUAACCGGUUCAUGGAAUUGGCAUGAUAUUUCAUGAGCUUCUAGGUAAAUGGCUCUCCACACUCCUACCCCUAUAUUACACACGCGUGUGCACACACAGAUUCACUUUAGGAGAAUGCUAACUUUACAUGGUAUGGCACUUACUUUAGGAGAAUGCUAAUUUUACAUGGGAUUUUUUAUAUGCACUUAUUCCUCAUAAACUAGGUAAUCAUUAUGCAUAAGAUCUAUGUCAACUUAAUUGCAAGGAGAACAUUCCUCAUGACUUUGAGGAAUAUUACCCAUCGAUCCUAAACAUAUUGUACAAAUGCCAAUUUAGUUCUAAACUUUUCGAUUUUACCAAUUUAGAGAUAAACAUUUGCACAAAAUUCCAAUAUAGUCCUUUUGGCCAAUUUCUGUUGUUGAAAUGGUUGUGUUACUUAGAAUUGUCAGUGAUUACUGGACUGCCAAAUCAAUAAUUUCAGGCAAAAAUUCAUCAAAAGGGUUUUCUUGGAAUUUUCCGUAAAUGUGUAAAACUAAAUUGACAAAAAAAAAAUUGAAAUGAUUUAAACUGAAUUAGCAUAUGUAUAAUAGAUUUUGGGACUGCUUAGAUAAUUUUCCCCAUGACUUUAAUUAGUCAUAAUAUUUUUUUUUAUAAAUUAGUCAUAACCUCCUUAAAUAGGCAAUACAAAUAUAAGGUUUAUGAGGUAAUUUGAUAUUCUAAUCUAACAAUUAUGGGUGAGUUUGAGAAAAGGAGCGAGGAUGUUAAGCAGCCACCCGGUGUUCCGGUUGAGCAAGCCAGCGAAGAAGACGCGUGAGUUUACUUUUUGCUUUUGUCCGAGUAUACGAGUAGUUAAAGAAAAUCAAUGUCGGAAUGCACUCAUUCGAGGAGCUAUGCGUAAUGACUCAGCAAGUUGCAUAUAAAGGAAACGCCUUCAUAGUUAGUGAUAUAUCCCCUUUCAACGAGAUUCACGUGGCACUCGGCAUAACAAUUUGUCAUUGUCCGAUAUGAUUGUCAUGAAAUGGGAAUACGCAAGAGUGAUUUUGAAAAAAUUCCACGAGUUCCAUAGUCACUUUGGUCGACAUCUAGUUCUAUUUGCUUACGCUUAAAUAUAUAUAUAAAAAAAAAAUUCUGCAUUUUGCUCUCCCUUGAGAAAAUUAAAAAUGGGGAAAAAUAGGUUUCAUAAAUUAUGAAAAACCAUAUAAUAACUCUACUUGUAAAUAAAUGUAUAUUUUUGAAAAUUUUAAAAAUCAACAUUUUAAAAAUAAAUUUGAAAAGGAAAAGCUCCAGACAGAACCAAACAUUUGGGAAGAAAAAAAAAGAAAAGAGGGUUUUUUUUUGGGGAGGUGGGGGGGAUGCCGGAGACUUCAAUAUGAAUGAGAGCCCACGGAGCAAAGUUAAUCCUGGCUGGCAAUAAUUUUGCAUGUUGAUUUUGUCAUGUAAAGAGUAGCAAUGGUCGCUAUGAUUUUGCGUUUUAAUAUUAUCAUCUAAAGAGUAGUAGUGUUCAAGAUAGUAAAUUAGUUUAAAAUGUUAAGAGGAUAGCAAAAAUUUAAUUUCCUCAGAAGUUCUAAUCUAACAAUUACAACUGCAGUUAUAUCUAACCUAACAAUCAUAAUUGGCUUUAUAAUCUAACAAUCAGCCUAAUUAUUAUGUUAAUUCUAAAUUUUUAACGUGAUUUCAUGGACCAGCACAAUGAGCUGGGAAGCACUAUUACCUAACCAAUGUUUGCCCAUUGGACGUGGAGGAAAAACUAGAUGCUUAAAUUAUGUUUGUCGAAAGCGGUGAAGGAAAGGAUGGAUAUCUAAUCAAUGUUUGUCCAUUGGCAUUGGAGGAAAGGAUGGUGAUUUCGACAUUGGUGUUGGUGACCUGCUCCAUGUAUUAAUAGAUUAUUUAUUAGAUUACCAUCAUUGUCUUGAUUGACGCGACCGACAACAAUCGUUUUUAAGUUUUUUUUACUUUUGGCCGGUGGAGGCUCUAAGGACUUGGAACCCUUUGCUCCCAACUUUUUAGCUUCCGAAGGAAUUGAGUGGAGUUUAUUAAAAGUCUUAACUGAGGUUAGAUUACCGAGAUCCAUAGUCCAUACACAUCCCAUCUUUCUUCCUCGUGAUUUGGGCCUUUGUUAAGAUUUUAAAUCAUUGGAACACUAGUAGUAACAUCUCAAUCGGUGUUGAUCAAAUAUUCCAGCAAAAAGUUACCAUGUCUCUUUCUCCAUUGAUUGCUCUUUGACGCCCCCCCUUCCUUCAUCUUUUCUCGCACUCGAAUUUCUUCGCCUUUUCCUCUUUCAUCAUUCUUGCUCUGUUUCACUUUUUCUUCUCCUUGCUAUGGCCCUACUCCGCCUCUUUUUCUGAAGUAUCUACGACUCUUUUUCAUCGUUCUCUCUCUCCCUCUCUUUUUCUCUCAACUUUUCCUUUUGAGGGGUUUUUAUCCGAACGUUUUCUCGCUCUUUCUUUUUUGGAAAAAAAAAAUCAAAGAAAAUGUCAGAUUGAUGCCGCUGUUGAGAAAAAUGGAAAAUUAUAUUAAACUCAAAUCAAUAAAUAAUUAUUGAUACAAAUGUUAAGAGUGCGUAACAAAAGUUUAAUCCCUUUAAUCGGAGAGGUUAUCAAGAGAAAGCUCAAGUUUGAGCUCAUUAACAUAUUCAAUUGACCCAUCUUAACUAAAAAAAAUGAGCUAAAAAGUUAUUGAUCAAUUAUGAUAUAUUAAUUGUUUAAUACGACAUCAAUUCUCCAUUGUGAAACUUUUCUAACCCAACUCAUACAUUCAUCUUAACAUUCGCCUCUCGCGUGUUGGCUUAGUAUUAUGCAUGCUUUCCCUUAAUUCAAGUAUCAUUCUCCAUUUACAUGACUCAAUUAGAAUCUCUGCUUUGGUGCGUGUGCUAACAAAAAUAACAAUAACGCCCAUCUUCAUCCCUAGUCUCUUUCUCCAAACCGAAUCAUGAAGGUUACCAUCAAGAUCACAUUUCUACACAACAACGCCCACCUUCAUUCCAAGUCUCUUUUGCUAGAUCGAACUAUGAAGGUUGCCCAAAAACUGCGUUGAUCACGAGAUUCCUUUCCUCAGAUAUUCUCCAAACAUUGGUAUACAUUGGGAUUGGCCAUUAGCUAUCAAUCAUCGGCUCUGGCAUCAUUUCUUAGGAGUGUCUAGUAGAAAUUUGAUACCGUUAACCAGAGAGAUCGCCAAAGAAAAGCCCAUGUUCGAGCUGGCCAAUAUGUUUUAUUGAAGCCAAGUUCACUCAAAAACUAGGAUAUAUUAAUUGCUGCAUACCAUACCAAUUAUCCGGUAUAAGACUUUCUAACAUAAGUCACGUGUAUAUCUCAAUAAGAAGGAUCUAACUAAUGGUUAAAAGAGUGAGAACGGAGAGAUAUUAGACAAACCCCAACCACAUCAUCAUAUGGCAAUUUUUUAUAACGUUCCACGCGGAGUAUGAAUGUGUCUACCUCAAAUCAUUCAUUUCUGUAGUGGUUCCAUCAAUUUGUCAUUUGACUCCAUUUUUUAGUGGAAGUCAUACUGAGGUUUUCUUGGAUGCUACAAACUUUAACAGUAAAUGCUUUUAGCCUCUAGCGCAUGAUCAAUGUUGAUAUUGAUAUGCAACUCCAAUUUUCCAACGAGAAUUGCUUCAUCAAAUGACUAGUGUGGCUGGUAAAAAAAAAAAGUGACUAGUGUGGGAUGUUAACAAAGAAGAGUUCCGCUAUAGCGUAACUGCACUAUCCUUUCCAAUAGCGACGGCGCAAAUGGGACCACGAGUUCUAUUAUGCUGGUAAUGCGCAACCGGAUUACAACUUUAAAAUGGGAAAUCUUUACGAGUAUCCUUAAAAUUUGUAUCCCUUUCUGAAUGAAAUGUCAGUCAAAAUGCCCUCCCUCCAAAUUGAGCACCAAGUAAAGUCAUCAAUCAUUUCUUUUCGUUUCUCUUGAAAGCAUAAAACAUUCAAUAUUAAUAUUAGUGUGCAACUAGCUUAUAACCGCACACAAUCUUGUCAUAACUAUAUACGUAUGUAUGUAUGCAAGCACACAUGAAUAUGUCUAAAAGUAUAUGCUUUUAAUUACCUCUUAUUUAGUUAGAUGUACAUCAUUAUCACAAAAAACUUUUUUUUUUCAAAGAAUUGGCAACCGGAUGAGUUUUGAAAUGACUUGCAUUUGCACUUCUGCGUUCUCUUUCAAAUGUUUUUUUUUUAAACUUUAUUAACAAAGAAAAAGCUUCACCACGUAUUGUUGCAACUGUUUCUUCCUACUUCCUCGUUAAUUGAAGAAUUAUUGUGUACAGCGGACUUAAAUAACAACGGCUCUAUACUUGGUUACCACGAAAUACUAUACAGCCUAUUAACAUAUCGUAAAAUAAAAAUAAAAAUCACCUUUAACCUCUUUCGGUUAAUUAAUCUAGUAAAAAUAAAAUGGGGGAUAUCCAAUCAUUGCAAAAUAACGUAAUAUAAGGUGUUGACUUGCAUAUUGAUUUUUUCUUUUUUGAGAAACCCCUUUUCAGAUAGGUGAAGUUCAUAUUAAAGGUAAAGUGAUUGAUGAAAAUAAUGCCAAUACCAAAACGAGACCAAAAAUAUGAUAGAGAAGGACUUUUAACACCAAAAGAAAUGGAAGUUGGGUUGUAUCGAAUAAGUAUGUAGCUUUUUUCUUUUUUUCACUAAACAGAGAGGAGAAUCAAAGUACCUAUCAUGGGCAGGGGUGUGGAGUUUAACUCUUAUAAGGAGGCUUAUGAAUUUUAUAACAAUUAUGAUAAAUAAGUAAGAUUUUGUAGUAGAGUUUCAAAAUUGUAGAAAAGGAAGAGUAGAGAGGAAAAGUGAGGCACAGUUUUUUGGGGCUAGCUCCAAAAAAAUAAAGCACCAACUUUAGUUUAAGAGACAAAUCUGACCGAAACUUUUUUUUUUUUUUUUGUCUUGUAAAAAAGCACAAAUUUUAGGUUAAGGGACAAAUCCAGCCUAAACUGUUUUUUUUGUCUCGUAAAAAAAUGUCAAUUUUCGGUUAAGUGACAAUUCUAGCUCAAGUUUUUUUUUUUCUCGUAAAAAAUUACAAACUUUCACCAUUAUUCAACUUUCUAUUUGAAGUUAACCUUGUUUCAAGAAAAAAAGGUUCUAGCCAUGAGCUUGGCGGAUCUUGUUCAUGGGGUCUCUCGAUGGGCGGUGGUCCAUAGCUUCAUUUUAAGACAAAAUGACAAAGUCUAGCCAGACUAAUUCAAUUUAGAGAUUUUUUGACUUGCUAGUGAAGUGUAGGAGAUGAUGAAUAAUUUACCGUUAUUCUCCAAGCUAUGGCUCAAACAAGAAGAUAAUGAAUAGUGUUUUAAAUCCGGCCAGCAAGUGCACAUGGAUUUAUCACUAAAAACAAUCAAUGGAUCUAAAUUAAAGGGGGCUAAAUUUAGGAUUUAAGUGAAAACUAGUGAUUUUUUUUAGACAAAAAAAGUUAGGAUCAUAAUUGUCACUCAUCCCAAAGUUAGUGUUCUUUAUGUGACAAAAAAAAAAGUUUGAGCCAAAUUUGUCACUUGACUUAAAAUUAGUGCUUUUUUACGAGACAAAAAAUAGUUUGGUUUAGAUUUGUUCAUUAACCUAAAGUUUGUGCUUAUUUUUGGAAUUAGCCUCAGUUUUUUUGCUGCAUUUGUCAAAGGCUCAAGAAAAAAAAAAUGGGUCAGUUAAGUCGAUUCAUUUGAAAAGGUUAGAAUUCAAUAUAUUUUUUUUAAUUACUCAAGCACAAAGAAUGAGAAGCCCCAAAAAUGUACAAAAAUAUCUUUAUUAGUCUAAAAACAACGGUUCUGGUGUUUUUCUUUUCUAUUUUAGAAAUAUAAGUCAUAUUUAUAAUAAAAUUAAUAAUCUCUUUUUAGUGAUAAUUUUCGUACUUGUGAUUCUUAUAUUGUAGCAUUCAAUUUCCUUCAAGUCAUUUUUCCCUUGCUUUCGUAAGGAUGGAAAUUCAAGAAAUUAAUUGGUGUUUAGUUGAGGCCUUAAUCAAGGUUAGGUUAUAGACAAGAAAAUCGAACAUGCACUCUAUUUUAGCUAAAUUUCCAUAUUGGUUAUGUCCAUAUUUUUAACCCACCAAUCAAAGAAUUGGUAAGGAUGGAAAUAAAUAAACUCUGACUUAAUAUAAACUCGCAUACAUUAAGGAAGCCAUUGCUCUCAAUUAACAAAGAAAUCCAAUGAGAUGUAAAUACUGAAUCAUUCCAAAGCAUGAGAAGAAAAUGUAACCUUAUCACUGCUGCGUCAAAUAAAUUUGUCCUUGUCUCUUUCACUUUUCCCAACCUAUAACAAUUGAAACGAGUAAUCUAAUAUCCGCCAACCUUUGUAUCACUUAUAUUAUGUUUGUGUAUAUGGGGCAGCGCACUAUCAUUUAGAUAUAGGAAAUGUGUGAUUACCUCUAUUUAAAAUCAAUUAAAUGGGAUUCCUAUCCAUGUCAAUAGUAUGCGAAUCAACCACCAAAAGAAGCAAAUCCAGACCAUGUAACUAGAGACAAUUUUUUUUUUUUUAAGAACUUCUGCGGAAUGCAAAAUACACUUGUACUUUACAAGAAAAAAAAUUAUGCUUACUUAACAUCACCAUCUUGCAAUUAUCAGACAUCAAUAAUAUUAUAAUUUUAUGUUAACACAGUCAUUUUCAAAAUGAUAUAGAAUGCAAAAUACACUCAUUCUUUAGAAUAAAAAGAAAAAAAAAAACAUGCUUACUAAAUCCCAGGAGUGACAUAGCUGAUUGGGAUGCUAGGGGAUUUCCAACUCAGGAAUAGGAGGUUGCUUGUUAGGAUCCCACAAACUGCUUUAGGUUUGAGCCAACUACACAGGCCAAAGCCCUGAGCUUAACCAAUUCAUAAAGCCUACAGGAUAUUUCAUAGAAUUAUGGGUAGAGAGGUCUCCAUACACAUGCCCCCAUAUCAUAAGAAAAAUUAUAUGCUUACAUUAAGAGUAUCCCAAAUUUAUAUGGUACUCUUUUUAUAUGCACUUAUUUCUCAUAAACUAGGUAGUUAUUAUGCAAAAGGUCCUGAUCAUAUUAAUUACAAAUAGAACUUCCCUCAUGACUUUAAUUAGUCAUCACAUUUUUUUGUUAAAAAAUUAGUCAUAAUAGUUAUAAAUAUAUGGACUUAGGCCUAAUUUGAAAUUCUAAUCUACCAAUUAUGUUGGUAAAAAGGAAACAACUUCAAUUUUUUUUUUCUUUAAAACAGAGUUCUUUUUCCCUUAAACGGAUGAUUCAAGGGGCUUUCUGUCAACAAAUAUGUGAAAAUUUUGAAUACUACAUAAAGACUCAAGAAUUAUUUUCAUCCAAUGGGCAAUAUCAAUUAGAUAUGAGGGUCUAAAUUAGCCCAAGUCUAUUUUGUCAAUACGUAGAAAACUUACAAAAAAUUGCAAUUCAACUUAUAAGUGAAUAUCAAUAAUAUAAUAAUUUUACAUUAAAAUUGUCAGUUCUUAAAAAUGAUAGAUAAUACAAAAUAUACUUAAUCUUUACAAUAAAAAUUUAUGCCUACUUAACCCCAGGAUUGGUUCAGCUAGUUGGGAUGUUAUGGGAUUUUCAGCUCAAGAACUGAAGAUCCAUUAGAACCCCACAAAUUGCGAGCAAACUACUCUAAGUUACAGCCUCUUACAUAGGUCAAAAGCCUAAGCUUAACUGAUUCAAGGAUUAUAUGAUAUUUUCUAGGCUUCUAAAUAGAUAGGUUUCUAUGCCUAUGCACUUAGAUUAUUAAAAGAAAAUGCUUACUUUGGGAGGAUGCUAAUUUUAUAUGAGAAAUUUUUCAUGUGCACUUAUUCCUCAUAAACUAGGUAGUUUUUAUGAGAAAAGGUCGUUAUCAACUUAAUUACAAAGAAUAUGUCCCUCAUCAUUUUAAAUAGUUAUAACCUUUUUUUUUGUUAGACAUUAGUCAUGGUUGGCAAAACAAUUAAACAACUUCAAUUUUUUUUCCUAUGAACUGAGGUUUUUUAUUUUAUUAUUAUUAUAAAUUUAAGACAUGAUUUGAGGGGCUUUCUGUCAGCAAAUUUAUGAAAAUUUGAAAGAUAACACAUGAAAUUAAGACUCAUUUUCAACUAAUGUUCAACAUCAAUUAGAUAUUAUGGUCUAAGUCAGCCCGAUUCUAAUAUGUCAUUAAGUAGAACAUUAUCAAAAAUUGAUCUUCAAUAUAUAAAUCAAUAACGCAGCCGGUGAAUCCAUUUUUGUGUUUAGCCGUGGAGGAAAGGAUGGUCCCUAAUGAAUGUCCAUGAGCGGCGGAGGAAAGGAUGGAGACAUAGACGUUGGUGUGGUGGCCGGUCAAUUAAUUAAAAAAUCAUCCAUUUCUCUUUAUAUAAAUGUUUUUAAAAAUAUAUAUAUAGUUCAGCCAUUUCUUUAUAUUGCUCGAUUGUUUCAUUCAUAGUUCAUUGCCUGACUGACAAGAGGACUAUGCAAGAGUCUUGGCAGUUGGGUAUUCCUUCCCAGUAAAAAUUAAUUCAUAAAAUGACAAAUAAAUUCUUAUUAAUUAUUGAUAUGACGAGUGAUGACUCUUGCAGCCUCUCAUAUCUCUUUAAAAAUAAUCUUAUAAAUGAACCAAAUGUCUGAGGAUUAGCCGACAUCCAAUAUCAUCAAUCAUGUUAGAAACUAUCAUCGAUAAAUUGUAUUAUACAUUUGGCUGAACAAAAUCGUGUUCUAUAAUUAAAAUACUAUUUUUGUACAAUCUUUGUUGGAACAUUUAUGGUACAGAAAAUUAUAUAAAAACUGCCGAUUAGUAAGGAUUUACACAUUGAAUGAUAUAUUUCCCUCUACUUUUUUGUAUGGUUGCCAGUAUAGAAAGUAAAGUUUAUUUAAGUAUCUCAGUUGGCUAAAUUCUCAUCAUGAAAGCACAAGGUCAUCAUAAUGUUUCGUGUGUUACUUGACUUUCACUGUUAUAAUGACUAAAAUGCUUAGUAGCCUGCAACAACUAAUUUCAUAUAUGUAUAUGUGUAGGCUAACCUCUUCCUGUGGAAGGUUAUAAAAGUGAAAAAAAAUUAGGGUUAUAAAUUAUCAAAAGCCACAUGACUUUAUUUGUCAAUAAUUGUAUAUUUUUGAAUAUUUUAGAACCGAUUUGUGAUAAUUGCAAUAUUUAAAAAAAACAUUAAAUGUAAAAUACUCCAAACAGACCCAAGCAUUUGAAAGAAAGGGGGGAAACUUCAAUAGGAACAAGAGAGACGCAAAAUAAUGUUAGCGGUGACUCGGGAUCGUUCCCCGUAUUAAUUUUAUCUUGGAAAGAGUAGCACUACUCAAGAAAAUAAAUUGAUUUAAAAUGUUAAUAAAGAAUGGCAAAAGUUUAAUUUACUUAGAAGUUUUGAUCUACAAUUCCAAUUCAAGUUACGUCUAAGGUAACAAUUACAAUUGACAUUAUAAUCUAACAAUUUGCUUAAUUACAAUGUUACUUCUGCAUUUUAAAUAUGAUUUCAUUGAUUCGCACAAGGAGCGACUUUAGGACUAGUACUUGAUCAAUGUUUGUCCAUUAAUGGUGGAGCUAAAGGAUGCGGAAACUUACCCAUUGGUGAUGAUGAUUGGUCAAGUUAAGAAACAAGAAAACCAUUUCUAUUACCAUAUUCAACUUUUAAUCAAAAAGUAUUGGGGGACACUGAAAGGAGAUAUCACCCAUGAUAGUAGUAAUAAUUUAUUUGCUUAUUUUGCUAGACUCACUAUGGGUUGAAAAUGAGUCUGGUGCAGACCCACGUAGGCUCACGUGGAAUUGGUGAUGCUUUUUUCAUAUCAUUUCAACUGGCUUAAAAAUUUCAAGUGUCGCACCAAAAUUUUGAUAAUGGGUUUCAGAUACAUACUGCCACCUCUAGAUGAAACUACAUGUCUUGUGGGUUUUGAUCCGUCCUCGUCCUUUUGUUCUCUUUAUUAAUUACAUUUGCUAUAGCGAAGAGUGACAAACUACAUAAAGUACCUAUUAUACAUGAGUGAUGAUUCAAAUCCAAUCAUUUUAAUAAUUGCGUUUUGAUCGAAGGUGUUAUAUACGAUUCGGAUUCUAAUCGUCACUCCAUGUUGAUUCACAAAAGUGCCCACAUACAAAUAUUGAUGAAAAUAUUAAUAUUAUGAACAAGAUUAAGGGAUAAUAUUACGAAAAAUCUUAAACUGAUACACAUGCGACAAAUUUACUUCGCAUUAAUUUUUUUAUCACAAAAAACCCCCAAACUGAUUCAAUUAUGAUAAAUUUAUUACAAACUAAUUUUUUAACCAUGAAAAAUCUCUAACUAGUACACAUGUGAUAAAUUUACUCAAAACUAAUUUUUUUACCGUCAAAAACCAUAAAUUGAUACAUUUAUGACAAAUAUACCCCCGUUAAAUUAUAUUAAUACUAGAAAAAAUUACAAAACCGAUACACUGUGACAAAUAGAGAGUAAAAUCUCAAAUUGGUAUACUUGCCAACUACCACAUGUCAUCUAAAUCAACAAUCUAACUUGAAAAUUUAACGAAAACUAACAGAUAGUAAAUUUCUCAUAGAUUUAUCAAUUCAGAGUUUUUUAUAGUUAAAAGAUUAUUUUUUUGUAAAUUUAUUAUAAGUGUACAGAUUUAAGAUUUUUUGUAGUCAAAAAAUUAAUUUGUGAUUAAUUUAUCAUGCGUACCAUAUUAAAGAUGAUAUUUGUCAAGUGCAUGGGUUGGUGUGGCCUCUCCUUAUCAAGUGGGCGCCAUUUAUUUUGCUAUUUGUUGCUCUUUCUUAAUUACAUUUUAUUAUAUCAAUCUGACACGGUAUAAAGUAUUCAUAUAAUUCUAGUCAAAUUAUUUUGUUACUUUAGAAGUUGGUAAUCAUUUGUAUUUUAUUUUUUUAAUCCACUUCAAUGAGCGUGCAAUUCAAAUAAUGCAAAGAAAUCAAUUUACUCCACAAUUGUGACGCAACGAACAACUGCCGUAAUUAAGGUACAUAUUGGUGUUUAGUUAUGGCCUCAACUAAGAUUAGAUUUUUCUAAGAUCUAAAGUCUGUUGUCCACGUGACUAGUGGAUCAUGCAUGAGUCUUGUGAGUUGGGUUUUCCUUCCCAAUGAAAAACUACUUCACAAAAUGAUAUAUGAACUCAUAUUUUUUAUUGAUAUAAAAAGGAAUGACUCUUGCAGCUUCUCAUAUAUUUUCAAAAAUCAAUUUUAUAAAAUGAACCGUGUAUCAUCAAUCAUUUUAGAAUUAUCAUCCACAGAUUGUAUCGUUGUUUAACUCAUAAAUGGAUUCCAACCUGAGUAGUGAACUAUCUUCAACCAAAAGAUAUAUCUUUUAUUUUUAUGAAAGGGGUUCAGUGGCGAUUUUAAACAUGAGUUGCAAUUGGCAUGAUAAUGAAGAUGAACAACGAAUUUAAAGGUAAAAGGUGAUAGUAAAUGUUGGAAAUUAACAUGACAUUAAAACUGAUAAAAGUACAUCAAAAAAUAUUCGGAAUCAUGAUGAUCCUUGCAAUAAUUAUAUGUUGCCAUUUUAUACUCCGCCAAUCAUAACCGCUUAUUAAGACUUAACCAUACUAGAUGCAGUUGUAACUGCAUUCCCGAGAUUUUAGGACUCCUAUCUACACAUCGAUCCUAUCCACAAGUUGUUACGACUCUUUAAGUGUCACUAGGUUAACCAUUGCUUGGUGCCCUUAUAUUUAGUCGACAUUUUCACUAUCUCCUUUCUUCUUAGUUGAUAAUUGUCGACCAGUCAUCGUGGUACAUCGACAAUGGUAUCUCUCAAUCGUCAAUAAUUACUGUCCAUUGUCAUUGAUAUGUGCUUCUAUUGUCCUUAACUUACCAAAAACCAUAUAAGUUGUCACAAACUAUAUACCCACUUAUAUCAACAUUAUGUCAUUCACAAAAACUUUAUCAUUUUUCAGUGUAAACAAUUAUACAUCUAGCUAAAGAAAAUCUAAUUAAGCGACUAUCAUGUGAUUUAAAUACAAUCUUUAUUCUAACAAUUAUGGUACAACAAAUUACAUAAAAUGUACAACCAAUCAUAUGGGAUUUACACAUUGAAUGAUAUGCUCCUGGCUACUUAUUUGUGUGGUUGCCAAUUUAGAAAGUUAACUUUACAUGAGUAUAUCCGUUGGCUAAAUUCUCAACAUGAAAGCACAAGGUCAUGGACUCAAUUUUGUAUUGCAUGCUACUCAACUUUCACUACUAUAAUGACUAAAAUGCUUAGUAUCCUGCAACAACUAAGUUCAUUUACAUAUUUACAUAAGCCAAACUCUCGUCAUGGAAGGUUGUAGACCUAUCAUGCAUUGCAUGUUGUGAUGCUACUUGACUUAUGCACCAUAUUUAUAGUGUCAUUAAUAAUUAUGUAUUUAGUCAUAUUUACUUAUGAAAAUACAUACCUGCGUAAUAUAACCCUCUUUAUAAUUUUCAUUCUAUAGAAAUUUUGUAACAAGGGAUAGUUUUUUCUCCUAUUGAUUUGCUAUCAGUUGUUUCUUUUACUUUUUAAAAUUUAUUGCAAAGCAUGUACUGUAAUUUCGUUUUUAUGAUGAUAGAUAAUUUUUUGAAUUCUCUAAUAUCAUAUAUUUGUCAAAUAUAGACAAUCAUGGACUAAAAGAUGUUUCUACAUUAAGCAUCUUAUUUAUCACAUACAUGAUAAAUAUUUAUAUUGUCGAUUUGUUAUAUAUAUUGACUAUCACAUCACGUAAUUUUUCUAAAAGUUUGUCAAUGAUAUACCUGAAGAAGGGGUGCCCAACGUCGAACGAGCGAUCAAAAAAGAUUCCGAAGCAUCUUCAUAGCACGACCCAGCAAUCAUGUUCUUUGGGGGUCCUCAGGCUAUAAAGCCGAUUUCCUUCCUUUUGGUCCGUCUGUAAAAGGCAACCAUACAUUUAUUUAAUUAUAAAAUUCGAAAGUUACUGUACACUUAGUUAUAUCUUAUUUUUGAAAUAUCUAAAGUCACGUAGUGAAUCCUAUAUAUAUAAAGUGGGUAUCCAUGCAUUAUUGAACUCCUUCGAGAGCUUGUCAAAAUUUGUAAAUCAAAAUAUUAACAGGGAUAUGUUAAAGUGGUCUUCAAAACCAAUUUGUUAAAGUGCAAAAUAGAACUGAUAUUCAAAUAAACAACAUAUGUUUAGGAAUUUGGGAUUUGUUAAAGUGACCAUUGAUAUCAAAUUGUUGAAUAAAGUUUACACGUGAUUGUGCUGGCUCAACUCUCAAGAGAGUUUUACCAUAUAUAUAUAUAGAGAUAUAUAUAUACAUAUAUAUAGAUGCUUUUCUAGUCAAAUCAAUUUAUUAAAACGACUCAAUUUGUCUACCAUUUAAAUACAAUGAGGAAAAACACAUUAAUUUAUCCAGGUCAAUCACAUGUUUUGAACAUUACCAGUCUCACAUAUGACUGAAAUAAUUUGUUAGUGAGAUUUGGUAAGUCCAAGCAAAAAGGAUUUUACCAUCCUUUAGGAAAGAGAUAUUAUCCGGUAGAGAGUAUUACUGUACUGCAUAUUAGUCGGGAAAAAGUUGUUUUCCGGGACAUUUUUCCUGACAUUCAAAGCUUACCGAAGGCUAGCUAAAAAAAAAAAAAAAAGCUUACCGAAUUACCAUCGGACAAUCCUCUAAAAAAAAAACCUUUAGGAGGACUUAUUCUGAGAAAGAAUAUAGAUGCCGUUUUCAUGUAUUUUUCUGAAGUACUCUGGAAGUUCCGAGGGACCACUUGUGCUUUUCUGCCUUGGCCAUAUGGUCCGCAUUAAAAAUUGAGUUGAUGGCAUACUGUAAAGUCACGUGGGUGCGGCCAGUCCUUGUCCAUUCAUUUUCUUAAAUCAUUACCUUUUAUUAUAUCAGUGCUGACACACUGUUUAAGUCGACUCAUUUGUUUACUGCUACUUGGACAGCUGAUGAUCAUCUCUUUCUUCCUCGAUUCAUCGCUAUUCGACGCUCCCCUUCCUUCGUCCUUCUUUCGCGCUCGAAUCUCUUCGCCUUGUUUGUCUCUCGCUUUGUUUCACUCUUUCUUCUCUUCAGCACAAUCAUUCUUCCUAUUCCUCCUCUUCUUCAGUAUCUUCUCCUUCUUUUCAUCAUUCUCUCUCUGUGUCUCUCUUUCUUUCUUGGGAAAAAAAAAUCAAAGAAAAAAUGUCGGUCGAUUCUGUCGUUUCUAUUGCGUAUGAUGUCUUCAAGAGCUAUGUAGUUGAUCCCGUCAAGCGUCGAUUCAGAUACGUGAUCUCCUCCAAGAAUUUCGCCGACGAUCUUCGGGUGGAAGUCCGGAACCUGGAGAACGAGGCUCAGAGGGUCCACAUUUUGGCAGAAGUGGCCCGAAACAACCUUCGGAAUUUCUAUGGUUACUUCCCAGAGUGGCAGCAAAGUACUGACAAGGCCUUGGAGGAGGCGGGAGACCUGUUGGGCGACAUGGGUGAGGCGAGCAAGACUUGCUGCCACGGGACUCUUCCCGACGCCAAAUGUCGCUAUCAGUUCAGCAGGAAGGCCGAGGACAAGAUCAAGGUCAUUAAGCAACUCGCUCAAAAAGGCAGCGGAUUCAAGGAAUUGAACGACAUCUCCUUCACUGAUCCUGCUCCGGGAAAUGUCACUGCUACGAAUCCAGCCAGGAGAGAAGGCGAAGAAUUCGUCCAGCCGACCCCUGCAACGGCCUCCGCUUCUUCUGCCUCGACGUCAAAUGAGCUUAGUAAGGAUGGCGUCUUCGAAUCCAGAACUGCGAUCAUAAGGGACGUAAUGGGCGCUCUUGCCGAUAACAGCAAUAGUGUGGUCGGGGUUCACGGGAUGGGUGGGGUCGGCAAGUCCACCCUUUUGGACGACGUGGUAAGCAGAAUAAGAGAAGAGAAGCGGUUCGAUCUGGUCGCCAAGGCCGACGUGUCACAAAAUCCUGACAUCAAGAGAAUUCAAAGUGUGAUUGCCCAUGCGUUGGGCCUGGACAUGAAAGAUUAUGAGUAUGAGAGCAUGCGAGCGGAUCGUCUGCGCGAGAGGUUGGGAAAUGAGGAAAAGAAGGUCCUCAUAAUACUGGACAACCUAUGGAAAGGGCUUGACUUGAAAUCUGUUGGAAUUCCUUGCGGGCAUGACAACAAAGUCAUGGGAUGCAAGUUGUUAUUGACGUCGAGAGACCGAAAUGUUUUGCAAAGGGAAAUGGGCUGCGACAAGGACUUCUUUCUUGAUAGGCUGGAGGAGAAAGAGGCAAAUAUAUUGUUUGAGAGGAUGGUGGGAGAUAAAGUUCAUAAUGAUGAGUUCAGACCCAUGGUGAAUGAAGCACUCCGCAAAUGUGCAGGUUUGCCUUUGUUAAUUGUCACAAUGGCGAAACAUUUGAAAUACGGUCGUUUGCCUGAAUGGAGGAAUGCUCUAAAUCAAAUUGAGCGGUGUUCAAACAAAGGGUUAAGUGCAGCGAUCAAUACGAUGUUGCAAUUAAGUUAUGAUCAUUUAGAAAGCGAGGAAGCGAAAAAUUUGUUACAACUCUGUGUUGCUGUUGACGUCUCUAAUCCCUCUGUUGAAGACUUGGUGAGGUAUGGCUAUGGUUUAGGGAUAUUUCAAAGAGAUAGUAGCAUAAAAGAAGCUAGAGAUGAAGUGAGUACACUCAUCCACACUCUUCAAGCCUCCUCCCUUCUGUUGGACAAUAGAGAUGACAAUGCUUUCAAGAUACAUGACUUGGUUCGUGACUUUGUUGCUCAGUUCAUUUUAAAAGAUCGGCCUCUUCUCGUGUUGGAAAAUGAAGAAAUGUUGGCAACACAAUUGUGGAGGGAGAGGCUCGAAAGUUGUAUGGCGAUAUGCUUUCCCUAUAUUGACAUGAAGGGCCUUCCCAAAGAAUUAGAUUGCCCCGAAUUGCACAUCUUUUUGCUUUUCGCCCGUAGUGGAUUUCUUGAGGUUCAAGAUUCAUAUUUCAACUCUAUGAGGAAACUUACAGUCCUAGAUCUUUCCGGAAUACAUCUCACUCAUUCACCAACCCCAUUGCAAUUCUUGGAGAACUUACAUACUCUAUGUCUUAGUAGUUGUUCACUAGAGGAUGUGGCCAUUCUCGGCAAGCUGAAAGGCCUUCAAAUUCUCAGCUUUGUGUACUCGAGAGUUGAACGAUUGCCAAAAGAAAUUGGGCAACUAGUAGAGCUGAGGUUGUUGGACUUGAACUAUUGUUCACAUCUUCAGAUAAUUGAACCGGGUGUGCUUGGAAGAUUGAUCAAAUUGGAGGAGUUGUAUAUGGAGAAUAGUUUUGAUCAAUGGAAUCCUGUGGAGCAAACUCAACCAACUAAUGCGAGUUUGAUUGAGUUGAAUCACCUGAAGAAUCUUUGCAUUCUACAUGUCUCCAUUCCCAAUCCAAGUGUGCUCCCUGAGGACCUAGAUGUCAAGAAAUUAACCAAGUACAAAAUCCGAAUAGGUUAUGCAACACGUUGGAGCAAGGACCUAGGAUCGAGGAUUUUGGACCUCAAGUUGGAUCCAACAAGUGAUGUUCUUCGAAAAGGAUGCAUACAAAGUCUCCUAAGCAAAACAGACAAUCUGUUUUUGGCCAAGUUGAACGGAAGCAAGCAAAGUAUUUGCGGAUUAUCUCAAGAAGGCUUUCCAGAAUUAAAGCAUCUGCUGGUCAUGUAUGGUUCCUCUAUCCAAUACAUCCUCCAGUGGCGUUCUGUUAGUACUUUUGAGAUGUUGGAGUCAUUAUUUCUCAUAGAGCUCAACAACUUGACAAAGAUAUGCUACAGCCAUAUUUCCUCCUCCAAGUCCUUCGGUAAAUUAAAAGUAAUUCAAGUCAAACGUUGUGACAAGAUGGAAGUUUUGUUUCCUCUUUCAUUACUGAGAGGACUUCCACAAUUAGAAGAGAUUGAAGUUGUCUAUUGCAAGUUAAUGCAUGGGAUUGUAGAUGUUGAUGAUUGUGGCAAGGUGGAGUUGCAAAAUUUGCGUAUAAUGAAAUUGCACCACUUACCAAAUAUCAAGAAUUGUUUCACCGGCGGAUCAACUCUUUCGAGCAAUACAUCAGACGACCAAGUUGGAACUCAAAUUGCAUUCUUCAAUGGGCAACGGGUAAUUUUCUAUCAAAAAAAUAUAAUUUUUAUUACUUUUUCCUACCUUGCUAAUUAGAUGCACAACAUAUCAUGUUGCUUAUUCAUUUUGUUAUUUUUAGUUUACUUCUUUCCUAAUAACCUUAUCCGUUCAUUCCUUCUUUGCAAUUAGAUAAAUCAGUCUUCAGUUUCCCUUCAUUGUGUAGAAAUCCAACUAAUUGUAUGAUAUCCAUGUAAAUUUAGUUUGUGGUAGGUUCUGAGUUAUUUUCAAUUUAAAUGCUACUAGUAUAUCUAUGUUAAUAGGGUUUAUUAAAGAAAAACUAAAGAGAAUUUCGGCACUAAAGUAAUUCCAUAAGUAAUUUUAAAUCUUUUGAUAUGGAUUUGAUUGAAUUUACUUAUCAAACUUUGUUAUUAUUCACAAAAUGGGAAGGAGGACUAGGUUUUUUCUUCUUCUUCUUCUUCUUUUAUAAAUAAAAGCAACUAGGCUAAUGUAAUUGAUGCAUGUCUUCUAUGUAUUGUGUUUAAAUAAGAAGUUAGUCAUUGUAUAGAUCCCAUAAUUAUAAGAGUACAUAGUUUUGUGCAUGUUCAUGCAUGUACAUUGUAUACAUAGAUACCUUAAUACGUACUUUUGGCAUCACAAAAACAAAUUCACAAUUUGUAUUUAAUAUCCUAUUAAAUUGGUUAUUGAUAGUGAUUUGCUAACAUUAAAGAGAAGUUAGUAAAGCAAGGAUGAUCAAUUGCUCAACUAAGAAAAGCACAUGGCUAUUUUACACGGGGAAAAUAUUGCUACGAGUGGGACCUUUUAAUUGACUAGAUAAGAUAGCCCUUUAAUAGUGGCCCAAUUAUCACUGAAGUUGAUCAUUGGCCAUGAGACUCACAAAAUAGAUUAGUUUCCCUGUCAGCAAAAAGCGGUGGAAAUUUAAGUCGUGGGUCCCACACGCUAGUGUGUGACUUCUCUUCUUCCCCUGCUUUGAGCUUCCAUGGAGAGAACGCUUUCAAAGAUAAUGGAACUACAUCAGAAAUUUUUUACAAAAAGCCUUUAUGGCUUUGCUUCUUUUUCUUUUUUACAUCAUAAUCUUGUACAGUAGAUCCUCUUAGUAUAAUCUUUACACCAAGCUUAAAGAAGAUGACAAAUCAUUCAAGCUCAACAAGGGUGAGAAAUUACAAAGUUGAUAAAGUAGUUUUGCACAAAAACAAUUAAUUGCAUUCAAUUGAAAUUGAAGGCGAUUAUUUGUAGUCUAUUCAAUUCUAGACUAGUAGGUGGAAAUAUAGUUAACAGUUAAACUAGCUUUAGUGAUAAUAUUUUAUAGGAGAUCCUUUUCCUAUAAUAUCUACACCAAGUUUAUAGAAGAUGACAAAUCAUGCAAUUUUAAAAAUGGAAGCAAUUACAGGUGAAAAUCUUUUGUUAUUUGUUUUUCAAAGAAAAUGAUGUUAGGCCACUGUAGAUAUAUUUUAUGGUCCUAUUUGCACUUAUACGGAUAAUAAUUUACUAACAUGAAAGAGAAUUAGUAAAUUAAGGAUAAACAAUGCCCUCUAUUAAGGAAAGCUCACGGCUAUAUUAUAUGGGUGAAAACUACCGCAAUUAGGGGGUUUUAUUUGAUUAGAUAAGAUAGCUCCCUUAUAGGAGCGCGGGCCCAAGGCUGGUGCCAUACGCAGUUUCCCUUGUAAGAAAGAGCGAUGGAGAUAUAAGUGGCGGGUCCCACAAGGCUGUGAUGUGAAAGUGUGACCUUUCAUCAACCCUUGCUUUUAAUAGAAACUAGAUCGCGAAAUUUUGCUUUGUAGAUUUGCCUCUUUUUUUUUUUUGGCGGUAUUCUUUGGGGCUUUUAACUUUGUGUGAUUCUAAUUCUUCAAAAAAGAGUUACUGAUGCUUUAGUACUUCUUUUUAUUUUUACUUUUGUGUAAAAUCUAGAUAUGCAAAGAUUCAUGGGUUUAUAAUGAAAUACUUCUUAAAAUUGUAAUAAGUCUCCUCCGACAUUAUAAAGUGGUGGUAGCAUACAAAGUAGUAGUUAAGGUUUGUCAAGAAUAACAAUAGACUAAUGAACGAGACACAAAAGUUAAACUUGUUGUAUAGGUGGGAGUGAGGGGUGAUGGCGAGAUACAUGGGAGUUUGAGAGUAACUUGGCAGAUGAAAGCUUUCUUAGAGUUGUAGCAAUGAACUUUCGGAAAAAAACUAGUUACUCUUUGCAGAAAAAAAAAGGAAAAGAAGAGAAUAAAUAAAGCUUUCCAUUGUCAUGGCGACCAUGGGUCUCUUCACCUUUCAGACAUGUUGAUUAACAAAAUUACAACAACAAGGAUAAUUAAUUAGGAUGGGCCACAUAUGCAUCCGACUUGAAAGGAAUACUCGAGGUAAUUUACAAAUGAUAGGGAAAAAGACGUUCAAAUAAUCUCAAGUUAUUUACUCUUUUUCAAGGAUAGUUGGGAUCUCAACCCAUGGUGAUGACUAAUGACUACUAAGUUGUUGUGAUAACCCAAUUGCUGACGUGUCUAAUUUCAUGUUGUUUGCGGGUAAAUUAGUCCUUUUUUGCCUAAUAAAUUUGGAGAAAUCAAAGACAUUUGAAAAGGAAAAGACAAUAAAAUGCCGUCUUGUUGGAUUUUAUCAAGGAAGCAGGCAAUAACAGUGUGUGAGAAGUCCUCUUGACCUAAAUGAGAAUGAGGUCACAUUCAGCUAUCAACUCCCUGUGUCCGUAGGUCACACUCAUAUACCAUUGCAAUCCCAAGGUUUAAUUUCUGAGUUGGGCUCAUAACUAGAUGAUAUAUAAUAGGCCCAAUCUUACCUGAGACCAAUGGGACAUAAGCGGCAUAUAUCUCCAUCUAAUUGUCAAAUAAUUGAUAUAAUUUGACAAUUAGAAAAAUAUUUCAUGCAGAAAUUGAUUGUUAUUAGUAACCGGAAUGAGAGCGAAUUCUUGAUGAUUGCAAUUCCUGAUAUUGCUAGUAAAAUACAAACAAAAUCCAAUUGUAAUAGUAUCCCUUUUUAUGUCGUAAAGAAAAGGUCAAGUUCAUUAGUUGUCUUUUAAGGUCAUAAAUUAGCUUUUGUUUAUCAUAGAUUUUCAUACGUGUGAAAAUUAUCCUAAAGGCUGUACAUUAUCUUGCUUAUAAAUUUCUUUGGCAACCAUUUAUAAUACCUGCUAUAUACGUAAAUUUCCUAACUGUCUUUUGUAAUUGUAAAUGCUAUGUUGAUGGAUUUGUCUGUUACAUUUCAAUCCCGUCCUUGUGGUCCUUGACAAUGGAAGGACUUCCCAAUCCAAAAGAAAUAUGUUAUCAAACUAAUUGUAUAAAAUCCUUGCAAAUUUAGUUUGUGAUAGGUUCUGAAUUAUCUCAACAUUGCAAGUAUAUUUAUAUUAAUAGGGUUUCAUCAAAACAAAAUGAAGGGAAUUAUUGGUAUUAAAGUAAUUCCAUAAGUAAAGUAAUUUAUAAUCUUUUGAAAUAUGUUCCCUUGAAUUUAGUUAUAAAAAUUUGUUAAUAUCCACAAAAUGUUUAAUAUAGGUGACUCUUAAAAAGCAAUACGAAGAAUGAGAAGGAGGACUGAAUUUUCAAAUAAAAGCAGCUACGCUAAUCUAAUUGAUGCAUGCCUUUUGUGUAUCAUGUUUAAAUAAAGCCCUUAAUCAUUGCAUAGACCCCAUAAUUGUAAGAGUACAGAAUUUUGUGCAUAGUUUUUUUUUUUUUUAUAGUAAAAGUAGGCCUUGGCAAUUGUAUGAUUUUCAUUAUGUCACAACAAACUCGUCAUUUCAAAUUCAGAAUUCUUGUUCUUGGAAUUCCUAAGUGGUAUUCAGAAUUCUUGUUAUUGGAAUUCCUAAGUGAUGUUCACCAUUUCUUUACUCCACACAGCAGAAUUUGAAAUCCCCUGUGGUAAAAGAAAUUAAUGUCUUGCUAAAUAAUUCAUGAGUAAGAUUCACCUUAAAGAUCAUCUUAUUUGGUGAUCACCCUUAGAUACUCCUUUGGUGAGAUUGGGACACAUGAAUAAGGCCGCGUCUGUAACAAUAUCAAAUAAUGGAACUUGAUACCUUAAUGGAAAAUUCAAUAUCGUGAAGUCCAGAAAAUUUUAUAGACUUACUUCAUAAGUUUCAACGGGUCUUGUAUUUCAAUUCAGCUACUUAGUAUGUGUUAGUUUAAUUUCCGAAGCUUCAAGUGUUUGACAUUAUAAUCUUCAAGAAAUUUGUGCCAAAAUUUUAGUUUUUAUUUUUUAUUUUUUUAUUGUUGAGUCCAUCCAACUUAGAUUGUAAAUUUUAUGUGGCUUCAAUAUUUUAUCAAGAAAUGGUUGCCUAGUCUCGUAGGACCAUAUGUGGUUAUUGCGGUUUCUCUUCAUGGCGAUCUACAAAUCUAAAUACCAAGUCCUUUCAACUAAGUGUCUUUGCAUUUGGCCUUUAUAGUAUUAUAGAUAUAAUUGAAUGCACUUUUGGCAUCAUGAACACAAAUUGACAUAUUUAUGUUUGAUAUCCUGUUAAAUUGGUUAUUAAUAAUGAUUUGCUAACAUUAAACUAAGGACAAAAAAUUGCCUGGUUAAGAAAAACGCACGACGAUUUUGUCCAGCAAAUGUUGAGGCGGCUACUUAGUUGACCAGAAAAGAUUGCACCCUCAUAGUGGCGAUUAGCGCUAAAGUUGAUGGCGGGGCCCAAGACUCCUGUGAUGUAUUAAUUUCCCCUCGGUCAGUAAAGGGUGCUGGACAUAUUUGUUGCGGGUCCCGCAAGGCAGUGUGUGUGAGUCUUUACGUAUUUGCUUUUUCUUAAUCGUCGUAGUCUUUAGAGCUUUUGACUUUAGCCAUAGUUCUUGGUGGACACUGGCAAUGGAUAUGAGUUGAACUCUUUUUGGGCCGAAAUUUGAGGUUGAAAGUGUUGUUGGGUUUUGCUUUAUUGUACAUAGAGAGAUGAGCAAUGCUCCACUCGCUUGUCCAUUUCCGAAGGAGAGAUUCUUCGAACGAAAUAAAACUAGCUCACUAAUCAAACUAAGCUCAGCAUUGCAAGUUAUUUAGCGAAGGAAAGAGUGGAAUUAGAAACGGCAUUAAUAUAGAGAUUUUUUUACUCCGUUUUUCUUAUUCUCUUUUUUCUUUUCCUUUGGAGCUACCUUAAUGAUCCCCCUCUCCCCUUGGCACUCGUAUGUAUUUACAUUUUGAAAGUUCAUGAAUUCAAGAUUUAAAUUAAUUGUCAAUUUCGUGAGCAAAUUCUGCAGGUUGCCUUUCAAAGAUUGGAGACAUUAGAAAUCAAUGACUUGGAUAACAUCAAAUUUAUAUUUUUCCCAUCCAUGGUUGAAUCUCUCACACAACUAAAAAAGCUGACCAUAUCGAAUUGCGAGAAGAUGGAGGCGAUCAUUAUGAAGGAAGAAGGGUUGGGAAUGGAAACAUCAGAAAUUUUGACAUUCCCGAUGUUAACCAAUUUAUGCUUAGAACGAUUGAAAAGUUUGACAUGCUUCUCUUGUGGAAAGGGUAGGAUUGAUUUUUUUGUUUUUAUCGCUAAUAAUUGUCUUGUAGAUAUGUUCUUCCCUACAAUACAAAUGGUGAUAUUCUUUUCAUCCAAUGAAAUACCAAUGACAGGUGCACGAGAGAGUCAAAAUCAAGAUCGCGUCAGAUCACGCGCCACUACUCUCUUCAAUCAAGAGGUACAUGAUUGACACUAUGUUAAAAUAUUAAAUAUAUCGGACAUAAGCAUAGCCAAGAUAAAAAUUAAGUUACUUAUAAUGUAUAUUUUGGUUAAAAUAUUUUAACAGAAAACGAGUGUCGUACAAGCUUAAGUGUUCACGGUUAUUGACAUGUAUGAGUUACAACUUCUUACUUUUAAUUUCUCUACAAAUAGUUCCCAUAAAGAUGGUUGAACAUCUCUUAUCGUACCUGCACGAAGCAUGAACAGGUAACACAAUUGCCAAAUAGGAUCUCUAAAUGCGUCUGAUGUUCCCAAAAAACUUAAAAACUCUCAUCAGCCUCACAUGUAAAUUUCCUAACCGUCCUUCAUAAUUGUAAAUGCUCUGUCAAUGGGUUUGUCCGUUAGAACAAAAUCCCAUCCUUGUCCUUGAUAAUGGAAGGACUUCCCAAUCCAAAAGAAAUAUGUCGUCAAGCUAACUGUAUAAAAUCCUUGCAAAUUUAAUUUGUGAUAGGUUCUGAGUUACCUCAAUUUAUUUAGUUUGUGAUAGGUUUUGAGUUAUCUCAAUUUACGCGUCGCAAGUAUAUCUAUAUUUAUGGGGUUUCAUCAAGACAAAUUGAAGGGAAUGUUGGCAUUGAAGUAAUUCCAUAAGUAAUUUAUAAUCUUUUGAAAUGUGUUCCAUUAAAUUUAGUAAUCAAAAUUUGUUAUUAUCCACAAAACGUAUAAUAUGGGUGACUCUCUUAGAAACCAAUACGAAGAAUGGGAAGUAGGACUAAAUUUUCAAAUAAAAGCACCUAUGCCAAUCUAAUUGAUGCAUGCCUUUCGUGUACCAUGUUUAAAUAAGCACUUAAUCAUUGCAUAUGCCCAAUAAUUGUAAGAGUAUAGAAUUUUAUAAGUUUUUUAGCAAAGGGAAGACUGGAAUUAUGGAGAUUUUUUUACUCCGUUUUUUUUAAUUAUUAUUUUCUUUGUUCUUUUCCUUUUGGGCUACUCAAUAAUCCCCCUCUCCCCUUGGCACUCACCUGUAUUUACAUCUUGAAAGUUCAUGAAUUUGAGAUUUAAAUUAACUACCGAUUCCGUGAGUGAAUUCUGCAGGUUGCCUUUCAAAGAUUGGAGACAUUAGAAAUUAGUGACUUGGAUAACAUUGGGUUUAUAUUUUUCCCAUCCAUGAUUGAAUCCCUCACACAACUAAAAAAGCUGACUGUAUCGAAUUGCAAGAAGAUGGAGGCGAUCAUUAUGGAGGAAGAAGGGUUGGGAAUGGAAACAUCAGAAUUUUUGGCAUUCCAGAUGCUAAUUGAUUUACGCUUAAAACAAUUGAACAGCUUGACAUGCUUCUCUCGUGGAAAGUGUAAGAUUGAUUUUUCAUUUUUAUUGCUAAAAAUUGUCUUGUAGAUAUAUUCAUCCCUAUAGUACAAAUGGUGGUAAUGACAGGUGUACGAGAAAGUCAAAGUCAGGAUUGCAUUAGAUCACAUGCCACAACACUAUUCAAUCAAGAGGUAUGUAAUUAACAUUAAUCAAAUUAUUAAACAUACCGGAGACAAGCAUAGCCAAGAUAAAAACUAAGUAAGUCAUUUAUUAUAUAUAUUUUGGUUAAAAAAUUUAACGGAUGAUGAGUGGUGUACAAGCAUAAUUGUUCAGAGUUGCCGAUAUGUAUGAUUUGCAAUUUCUCGCUAUUAAUUUCUCUAGAAAUAAUUUCCAUAAAGAUGGUUGAACAUCUCUUAUGGUAUAUACACAAAGCAUGAAUGAGUAAUACAAUUGCCAAAUAGGAUCUCUAAAAGCUUUCCGAUAUUACCAGUAACUUAAAACUCUCAACAACCUCACUUGUAUGGCUUAGACAUUGCAUGCAUGUACAUUGAAAGCAGUUGACAAAACAAUCGAGAGGAAAGUGAGCUAUAAGUUUCAAGAGGCUGGAGAUGAAGGGCCUUUUAAGACACUCACUUGACUUCAUUUGCACUAACAAGAUCUUCUUCUUUUUUCCUAGUUAAAGGAAGCUUUACUCUCUCUUAAUUGCAUUAGCAAAGGGAAUCGAAGCCUUCUCCGUCGCCAAACUGAGCGAGACCUCUCGGGUCUUGGGCUUCAGAUAUCACCCCUCUUAUUUUUUCCAUGAAUGGCAAGACCAUUAUUAUGGAACUUUUAUUAAAGAAAUAAAAUACAUUUUGCAAAAGCAACCAUUUUUGUUGAGUCAUUUGAAUUGUCGAGCGCAUAGCGAAAAAUGUUCCUGUGGAGAAUGAAAUAGAGCAAUGUACAGACCAGUUGACUUUGACUAAACUAAAAGCAAUAUAGGCCGUUCACCUAAAAUGUUGUCUAUGCAGCCAAAAUAGGCUGUACAAAUGGGCCCUCCCAUGGGAUUAAUACGUUGACCUUCUUAGAUAUUUUUAAUAUAUUAUAAUGAGAUAUUUAACACCAUUUUCUAUAAUUUGACUCCAGUUUAUGUAUAUGAUCUAUCGUUUGCAUAUAACUAUUAGACCUUCUAGCAUUAAUAGAAAAUCAAUUUUAAAGGAAAAUUCAAUUGAUUUAAGUAUAUAGCAGUUUGAAGUGUGGAAUGAUGUGAGUAGGAUUUGUUCAUUUGACCCAAGCGAUUCCUAUUUUAAUUGCUUUCUCGUAGCCUAACUAUGUAAUUGCUUUAUAGUGAUCUAAUAUUGAUUAGUGGCAUUCGGUAUUAGAUAAAAUCAUAUCUCUUACUGUAGUGCACCAUUUGAUGGUUGAUCUAUCACCUUUUUAAUUUCAAUCUCUCCAUCAUUUUCUUUCUAAUGCCUAAUGUUCUUCCUCAAGCGAUCCCUCAACUGCAUUCUCUAACGGUGAUUACCCAAUUGACUUGCUUUUUGUUUCUUUAACUAAAUUCUUCCUCAUACUUAAUUAAUUUACGAAAUGGUGCAGAUUCAUUGAAGAAUUUCAUCCAUAUUGUAACUAAUGUCAUUAGGUUAUUGUUAUAUGAGCGUAUUCAAAUUACCAUUUUGCCCAUAUUUAACACAUUCUGGUUAGAAUCCCUACAUAGAACUUUUUGUUUUGUCUCCGGUACAUUUCAAUAGCCUUCCCAUUCUAGAGUCAUCGACAUUGGUAUGGAGAUUUUUUUUUUUUUUUACUAUUUUCAUUUUAUUCUUUUUCUCUUUUGUGCAACUUAAGAUAGAAUUACCAAUUCCGUAAAUUUGUAAUUUACAUCUUGGCACUCUUCUUAUUUACAAUUUGAAAGUUCAUGAAUUUGUAAUUUAACUAAAUCACCAAUGCUGUGAAUACUGCAGGUUGUGUUUCCUAACUUGGAGAAAUUAUUUAUCGAGGGCAUGGAUAAAAUCGAGACAAUAUGGGAUGAUCAAAUUCCUACGAAUUCUUUCUCUAAGCUAAGAUUGCUUUCAAUGAAUGAAUGCAAAAAGCUUGUGCACGUUGUACCUUCUUUCAUUUUAGGACAGCUCUUGAGCCUGGAAAUUUUGAAGGCAAAAGCAUGUGCUUCCCUUGAAGUUAUUUUUAAACUCCAGCCACUAACUCCUCUAGAUGGAAAUAGUGUUGCUCGUUCUCCAUUAAAAGAGCUGAAGUUAAAUGAAUUAUCAAAGCUAAACUGUGUAUGGGAUAAGGAACUCUACCAUCAUAUUAAAUUCCAGUGCCUACGUUUGGUUACCCUUCAGGGAUGCACUAGGCUCACCUCUUUGUUUUCAGCCUCAAUAGCCAGAGAUCUAAUCCAACUUGGGAAUUUGGAGAUCAAUCAAUGCGGCAUUGUGGAACUCAUUGAGAAGGAAGGACCCGAUGAGUUGAGCAUCAAUGUGGAAGCCAUAGAAGGCCCAAGUCAUGGGCUAAAAGUAGCAUCAUCCUUUCCAAGUUAUUUUCAGCAUUUGAAGACUCUAGAUGUGUCAUGUUGUCAUGGGUUGUCAAAUAUGUUCACACCGACAAUGGCUAUGAAUUUGGUGGAACUCACAAGAUUGAGAAUUAGUAGAUGUGAAAUAUUAACAGAAGUCAUUAGUGAUGAGGAAGGUGGGGAGGGGCAUGUGGUGGCUUUCAAUCAAUUGAAGUAUAUGGAGCUUGAUGAGUUGACUAGGUUGAGAUAUUUUAGCUCAGGUGGAUACACUUUGACGUUCCCUCUCUUAGAAGAUAUCAUUGUGAAUAGAUGUCCUGACAUGAAGUUCUUCUUCGAGGGACCAAUGGAGGCCCCAAAGCUAGAGAGAGUACAAGUACGUUUGAAUGCAAGGUAUGAAGCAAUAAAGUACCAAUAUUUUUGGAAGGGAAACCUCAACAUGACCAUCCAAAAUAUGUUUGAAGAAAUGGUAUGCUUCAGUUGCUAAAUUCUAUGCAAUUUGAUUUUUUUUAUUAUGACCAAUAAAGUAAUUGUUUUAUUUAUUUAUUUAUAUGAUAACUAGAAUUUUAUGUUUAAUGAUGCAUCUUCUUAUAGGCUACAUUUGCUGGGAGUAAGUUUAUGCGGUUGUUGGACUUCCCGAAGCUGAUAGUAAAAUGGCACAAUGAACCUAAUCCCAUCACAUCAUCUUGGCAACCAAAAUCGCUAGUGGUGGAUAAAUGUCCAUCAUUUAUUAAUGCUAUUCCAUCUAGUUUGAUGCUUGUUUUAGACAAAUUGAGCUUUUUGCAAGUCCGUGAUUGUGAGUUGCUUGAAGAAAUAUUUGAUUUGGAAGGUUUGGAGGCUAUGGAGAGCACUAGAGUACUACCUCAGCUACAAGAAUUGAACUUGGCCAAUCUACCAAAAUUGAGGCGACUAUGGAACAAAGAUCUUCAACAAUCGAUAUGCUUCAAUUCUCUAGGUAGUCUCAUCCUUUAUAAUUGCAACAACUUGGGACAUGCUUUCGCUCCAUCGAUGGCUCGGUGCCUUGCCAAUCUUCAAAAUAUAAAAAUAAAGGAGUGUGGUCAGAUGGAGGGAGUGAUCGCAGAGGAAGAGGGGCAAGGAAGUGUAGUGGAGAAUAUUACAUUCCUAAACCUUUUGCGGAUGGAACUGAAAUGCUUGCCCAAUUUGACUUGUUUCCUAUUGGGAAAAAAUCAUAAGCUGGAAUGCCCCAAAUUACAAACGUUGAGCAUUGCCUAUUGCCCUAAGAUGAGAACUCUGAUUGGGCAGUCUUGGAUGGAGAAUGACCACAACGCCCUUUCACUUUUCACUCCCCAGGUCAGUCUUUCAAACAAAUGCAUUUUUGGCAUUUCAUUUGGAACAUAUUCUCAUAGUAUUGGACAAUGCACGGUACAAUGCAAAUUUUUUUCUUUGCGCGGGUUUAUGUACAUAAUCUUCUAAUAUUUAAUACGAAAACUAAAAAUAUUCUAAUCCUCAAUAAAUAUUACUAUUAUAUGUACAUCUCUAUAUCCUAUUAGAAGCGUUAAGUUGGUGUAAGUUCAUGCAAUCAUAUCAUGCGCAGUACUUUAGAAUUAGUUAGUGAGGUUCCUAAAAAAAGUUAUCACAAUAAAAAAAAUUAUUUUCUGCAACUUCAAUUAUAAUGAACUAAAUAGCAAAAAUAGAAUAACAUCUAAAAAUGGCAAAAAAAUAUGAAGUAUCGCCCACUUCAGAUUUUCUUGCACAGAAGCAAAUUGGCGUCAUUCUAUUAAAAAAUGAAGAAAAUGGGAAAAAGAAAACUUCAUAAUUAUAAAGCCUAGUUCACAAAUUGCUUAGCUAUUAUGAGCAUAAUCAUCUCCCCAAUCAAUGAAAUUGGAGGAAUUAGAGAGAAGUGCUCUUUCAAUUGGAGUGCUCUAAACUUCGAUAAUGAUCAGUUAGUCAACUUUUUUAUAUAUUAAUAAUCACCAAUGCUUGCACUGGGUUUUGAUUAUAAAAUAAAUAAAAAUGGAAAGGCCAAUAUGCAUGAAGUCAUUUGUCUUUUUUGUUCGUAAAUCAUACUCAAUCGCUGUACUCCAACAACCUAUCAUAUUACGUACGUGUAUUAUACAAUAAAUAUUAACUCUAAACUAUCAUAUUGAGUGAUAAUUAGUAUGAUAUUGCACACAAUCUAUGUUUAACAAGAGAAAAUACAGAUUACCUUUUUCAGAAAAAGAAAUGGCGAAAAAAAGGAAAAAAUAAAAGAGACAAAAGGAUAGCUGGAUAAUAAAUAGUAGCAAUUCUUUGGCGGUUGCCAACAUUGCAAGUCUUAUUUCGUAACUAGAUGACAAUAUUUAGUCAAUGUCCUGACUAAAAUAAAAUUAAAAAUCGGAAUAAAUUAUCCAACCAACGCCACCACAGAAGGGAAAAUAUUAGGAUUCGUAUUGAAUCAUCCGCAGAUUGACACGUGGCAACGCCGGACCCACUGCUCUCCUCUUCCUGUUAUGGCUCUGCUCCCUCACUCUCUUUCCUCAGCGAAGGUGCAUCUAUACGUGAACCACACCACCGCCUUGGCCUCCAUCAGUUGCGGUGAAAAUAGAAAAAGGAAGAAAUUAGAUCAAGUCUAUUGGGUGUUUUAGACUUUUCCCCCCUUAAGAAUUGUUCUCUCUCAGCCAUUUCGGUUCACCUUGAUCCUCCUUUUCGCAACGAGGAAAAAAAAAAGUUGAACCAAAUCUACACAGUCAAAGUAACAAUAACUCUUCUUUCUUCCCCUCGCCCCCCUUCCUCUACUUUCUUUUUUUGGGGCGAUUGAUUGGGUGGUCCGUCCAAUGGUUGAAUCGGAAGCUUCGGAAUCGCUUCUCUGAAACUCCCCUCCUCUCUGUGCGCGUGCUUCCAUGGGUUCCGAGUGAUUACGCGAACCGGAGCUUGUUGGUUAUGGUGGGUCGAAGUGGGUCUCCGAAGCGGAAGCGAUUUCGGCGAUGAUUCGGUCGGGGCGUUGAUUCUGGCGAAGAAAAAUUAAAAAAAUCUUCUCUUCAGCCCUCUCUUCCUCCUCCUUCGUCCCACAGCCGCCCGACCUCCGCCCCUCCUCCCCUAUCGCCAACGGCGGAGUCACCGGUGCCUUGAUUAGGCUGACCCCCGCUAUGUCCAAGCCGCGUAUGGCCGGCUUCCUCUGUUUUGUCCGUCUCAUCAUUCUACAGAUCUCGAAAUCUGGCCGUCCAUAGCGACGGAGUUGCAGAUCUGGAAGUUGACCACCGCCGCUCGCAGCCAUGGACGAGCCGCUGUUGCUAGAAACAUGGUUGCAGAUCUAGAAGUCCCGUCGCGAGCAACGACGGCUUAUGGACUGCCAUUGUCCCCUCCGUCGUCGCCCGCGAUUGGCUCGUGGUCGUCGCCCGUCCAGAUCUGGGCUGGAGUCGUGCCUCCAGAUCUUGCAGAUCUAGAAGUCCCGUCGCGAGCAACGACGGCUUAUGGACUGCCAUUGUCCCCUCCGUCGUCGCCCGCGAUUGGCUCGUGGUCGUCGCCCGUCCAGAUCUGGGCUGGAGUCGUGCCUCCAGAUCUAGUAUCGUCCAUGGACGCAAGCCUAGCUCGUCCAUGGCUCGCCAGGAGGCUCCUCCACAGAUCUGGCGACCGCAGCUUGUCCAUGGCCAUGAGUCUUGACGGCGAGUUUGAGAUCCCUUCGUCCAUGGACUGCGAGGUCAAACGGCGAAAGAGAGAACAGAGAAAUAGAUGUCAGGGAAGAGCGGCCAUGGACGAGAGGCGUCAUGAAUGAGUAGACCACAGAGACGAUGUAGAGGGUUGGACGCUCGGCAAUGGUCGCCUUGGACGCGACGCCGGCAACUCCGCCGGUGGCGAUGGCUGGGGGACGCGGGAAGGUUGGGCUCAAUGUGGCUGGAGAUGGAGGAGAAAGCGUAGAUGGAGAAGGAAAGUGAGGGGAAUUGAGAUUUUUUAUAUUGAGUCAUCUGACCAAAAAACAGUCAAUAUUUAGUUAAUGUUGUAGCUACAUAAAAAAAUUAAAAAAAAAAUGGACUCAAUCAUCCAGUCAACACUUCCUUUCCGUCUCAUGAAGUUCUCCUCAUGUGAAGACUAAACGCAGUAAAUGACGACCUCCUCCGGCACUUCUUUUUUUGGGUCGAAACUGAGGCACUUGAAAAUGCGCGAUAUCAUUUUUUUAUUACAGAUUCUAUACAAGUUUUUUUUUUCCCCUAACACACGAAAUCCUUUUUUUUUCCUUAUUCUAAUACUUUUGCGCAAUUCUUUCUAUCGUUUUAUACUAGUAGAAUAGAAUGUUUAAUUAUAACAAGUAUCUACACAUCUGUUUACUUUUUAAUUGUAAGAAUUAUCACUAAUUAUUUAUUUAUAAUGCCAUUUGCAUGGAUAAGUUAUUAUAUAAUACCUAGCCCCACAUUCUAAGAAUAUUUCAAAAAGUCAUUAUAACACUCAAUCAACGAUACUAAUAAAUUUGGGGAAGUAUGAAAAUAGUCACCUGAUCUUUUGGUAGUGACAAGUUGUGAUAGAAUUGUUUUCAUUUUAGUGUCAAAUAUGAGCUGUCAUAUAAUAAUUGAUUUCUCCCACAUUAUUAGAUAAUUUAAAAAACUCAUAAAAAUCCUCAAUUAAGAAUAUUGAUAGAUUUAAGGAAGUGUGGAAAGUCUUUUUUUUUUUUUUUUGUGACAAGUCGUAAUUGCAUUAAAUAUAUUUUAACCAAAUGAAAAAUAUCAAUACUUACUUUUAAAUGGACAAUUCGUCGAGGUCAUGAUGUAGCAAAAAGAAAAAAAGAAAAAAAAGCACUCUUGAUUUUCUCCAUACAAACAAAAUGCAAUCAGUGGGUGCACACCCACUUUUUGCCAAAGGGUGGACCACUCGUACGCCACAAGAUUCUAUUUUUUUUUUUCACCUCAAAUUUGAAUAAAAUAUUAUUUCAAGGAUGUUAUUAAAGGUCCAAUGUAAAACUAGUAAAUUGUCCCAACUUGCUUUUGCUGAGAUCAUAACAUUAUGUUAUUUAUUCAAGUCGUUAUGUUGCCCAUGCCUAUUAAGAAAUUAUUUUCUUUUAGUACAAAAUUUUUCCAUGCAUAAAAAAGAAAAAGGUUGUGAACAAUUGAAGUUACUAUAUUUAUUUUUUUAUAUCCGGUUCGCCAUAUCCUUGACCUUAGCCAUCAGUCAACUUGUAUAAAAGCAUCAAUCAACCUCUCCCUAUUUAUGUCCCCAACAAAAUCUUGAGUUCUCAUGAUUUGUGAGAACAAGGGAAGUCUGGAAAUUCCUUCUUUAAGGUCAUAACUCAAUGUAAUCACAUUCAUUGUGUCAUUUUUUUUCUCACUAUGGCAGGUACAAUUUCCUGAACUUAGGUCGAUGGAUCUCUCCCACAUGAACAAUUUAAGCAAAAUAUGGACUGACACUCCUCAAGAAACUCUUACUUUUGAUUGUCUAAGGAAAGUGGAGGUUCGGAAUUGUAAGGGCCUUGAAAAUUUGUUUCCGUAUUGGGUGGCUACAAGUUUAACCCACCUUGAAAAACUUCAAGUGGAGUCUUGUGAGAUCGAGGAAAUAGUCGCUAAUGGGGGUGACACUCCAAGCUCCAAUACUACUCAAGAUCUUUUCCCAGUACUAACCUCUUUGGUGUUACGUGACAUGCCACGACUCAAGAGUUUCUAUCCUAACUUGCCCACUUUGCAUUGGCCAUUAUUGGAGGAAUUACGAGUGAUUCACUGUGACAAACUGAACAUGUUAUCCUUUACGGCAUCCAUGAACAGUUGGGCUCAAAAAUAUGAUCAACAAGACCUUUCAAAUCAAGAAGCACACUCUUCAUUCGAGAGGGUAUGAUUGUAGCUACUCUCCAUUAGUUUCUACUUUGUUCUUUAAAGCAGUCAUUAAUAUCAUAUCCAUUGCAUAUCAUGUCGCGUUAUAAUGUUAUAGAAAACAUGAUCUCCCUUACUUAUUAGUUUGUCGACAACAUUAAGAUAUUUCUAAUAUCUUAAGUAUACUUUCAUUUGUGGACAUGCAUAAGAUAUUCCAUUACCUAGAGUUACAAAAAUAUUUAUAGUAUUCUAUUGACAACAGAAUAUAUUCCUAAUCUAACUGAAUGGUGCUCCUUGGUGACAUCAAUAAGAAUUUGACAAGAGGUCCUCUCAAUUAUUGACAUGUGUCGCACAUUUGAACUUUUCUUCUCUAUUUCAUCUUCUACAAACUCUAAAAAAACAC